rnacentral:lncRNA from 1 species
GGCGGAGUCGGGUAGACGGCUCGUGCUGCUUUCUUUCCUUCACUGUAGCUAUUCAUUCAUUUGGAUGCGGUCGUAGUCGUAGCGCGAUUAUUAUUCUUGGUUGUAGAAAGGAGGAGAAUGAAGGAGGACCAGGUAUGUGGUUAGUAGGUGGCCAACUAGAUAUAUAUCUGGGUUCUCAUUCGUGUGAAUGGUGUAUUAUAUUUAUAUUGUUGCAGUUUAUUAUGUGUAUUGUAUCUAUUUAUCAUCUGUCACUUUGUCCUUGUGUGUAAAGGAAGGAACAAACAUAGGCAUGGAUGAAUUUUAUCUUUUCUUUUGGCAGAUCUUUAACGGAUGGCUACUGAAUUUUGUUAGCAACCUAUAAACUGUUUACGGCCAACAGUUCCCCCCUUAGGGAUGUUGUAUGUAUAAAUACUGCACGGCUCGUCCCACUGUAUUCUCAUCUGUGCAUUCUCUCUCGUUCGCCCUCUCGAUCUCUCCCCCUCUAUCUUUGCAUCAUCGCCAAUGGCGCUGCCGGUGAGCCCACGCGCCAAGGAGAAGAUGCUGCUCCGCAAUGAUGACCUUGCGCCAAGCAGCGACGAGGAGGAUCCCUAUGCGCCACCGGACUUGGUCGCGCCUGACCCUCCCACCGAGGAGUGGUUUUGGAGUCAGUUUGACCUCGCUCUGUGGAAGAUGUUGCCACUGGCUGAAAAAGCCAGGCGUGUGGCGGCCAUGAAGGCGGACGAGAAGAAGCGCGAGGAGGAAGAGGCGGCUAAGGCCGCCAGGAAGGUGGAGGAGAUGGAGCUCUGGCGGGAGGCGCGUUGGCAUGCGCAGGAGGUUGAUGAAGGCGGCUGCUUCAACGCCAAGAGGGCCAGAGGCGCUUCGCGCCUCCUUGCUGCAUGGAGGUGGGCGGAUCGCGUCGAGAAGGCCAUCAACGAAGAGCUCACCUACGCGCUGUCUACAAUGGCCAGGGCGGAGGCCUACGCCCGCCGGGAAGCCGCCGAUGCACAUGUUGUGGAGUGUGAGGCGGAGGAGGUCAGCUCCCUCCGCGCUGGGAAGCCGGUGCGCACCAGGGAGUCUGUGGCCAGACGCAGGGAAAGGGCCCUCAUGAGGGACUAUUGAUUUUUAGUUAAUUUAUUACUUGUCUUUGAAUUUAAUAUAUUUGUAGUACAACAAUUAUCAUCACACGUAUAUGUGUGUGAUGAUAUAUAUUAUGUAAUGAACUGGAUUGUGGAGUAUUAUUGAUGAAUUUCUAUCUUAUUUACCUACUUGAUGUCUCAUUUUUUUUAGUAAAACUACCUAUUAUGAGCAUAUAUUUAUACCAACGUCAAUCACACACGUUUUCGAAGAGUUGACUAUUUGCGAUUUGGGCUACAAAAACACAUGAGGUGGCGUGAUCUGUACAGACGUUCUCUGCAAAAUAGAUGUUUGUGAAACUUCAAACAUCACAUACAAUUGCUUUCUAGUAAUCGUGUGAAUUGUAUCGCACACGGAGUAACUACUGAAGUCGUAUGUGACGUGUUGUUAUCAUCACACACAAGUCCAUAACUCGACCCCAACCAGUUUUAGCCCACGAUCUCUCAAAACUGAUCGCGUGCAAUGGAUUAAGCCAUUGCAUACAUUUUAUUUUGAAGAACAAUCUAAGGAUUUGGCCAUGGAAGGAUAAUUGAAGAAGGGGGCAACAUGAGCGUCGAAGAAGUUGGCAACAUGAGCAGUGCCAUUUUACAUAGAGUUGACACUUUGAAACUGGAAAUGAUGCGGAUUAAUCACAAGAUGGCAAACAUCUCUAGUUAUCAAGACGUGAUGGAUCCUAAUGAUCUUUGUAUUGGUGUUGUUUGUGCUUGUGGGUUUUGUCUCUCAUAAGUGGUGUUAGUUAUCAACAGUACCUUAUAAGUGUCACACGUUAAUGACAAUUAGUUGAUCUUGUGGAAAGAAUUGUUGUAUCUUAUCAACACUUCCGAUUAGUAGUUGAUGUUGUGGCCAUUGUUCUCAGUUAUUUUUUCCAUGUGUAAAUGAUGGUCUGCCACUGUUAGUUUGUGCAUAUAAUUAGGGGCAAACCUAAGUGAUAAUUGGCUCCUCUUCUUCCUUAGAAACAUCAUUAGAUGAAAUGUCCUGAUGCUCAUUAGCUGCCACUUUCAUCAUUUGAUGAAUCAACAUGUAUGGCUCUUGAAGUUGUCCUCUCGUGCAACAUAGGGGAAAGUCGAGCCUCUUUAAUCGGAAGUCCAUCUUUGUUAUAACCAUCUUCUCCUUAAUGUGAACAACUAAUUGUCACAAACAUGCAACUUACUUUUGUUCUUCUGAUGUCUUUCCUUUUUGCCAUGCUUUUUGGGUGGGGGUUUAACUAGUGGACCAUUCAUCUUUUCCUAAUCUCUCUCAUCUUUGUAGGGUAAGAUGGUAUGCUCAUAUGCCUUGCAAAAUGUUGCAAUGCUAUAACAUUUGUCCACUAGAUCAGGCUCAAGUAUUUCAUCUUUGCAGCAAGUAACACCAUGAUGGUAUCCUUUCCGUUUAUCUCUCUAAGUCCAUCGGUGUUGACUUGUAGAGCAGGAAUACAAUCACACACCUUCAUCAUUGCCUGUUUCUCAUAACAUAUUUCCUCUAUUAGAUUAUCGGCACUUGAUGGUGACCAUGCCAUCUUGUCAGAAUGACCGAACCAAAUACCCUUUCCCGCGAAAUAUGACAUGUUUCUACCAGACCCCACAAAAAAUCCCCCACGAAGUAACUGAACACAGAAAUACGGGCCAUGCGGAUCCGCGCAGUGUGCAUGCAACACAUCAAUUCCACAUCCAUAAGUACCGAGUCGUUAGCAGUAAACAGAAAAGCGCAAAGUUGAGGUCCUAUUCCAAACCCUGGCGUGUAACCCCAAUUUUUGGCAUUCCACAUGCCCAAACUAGCAGGACUAAGGCGAUGCGAUCCCAAUGCCCCAAGGGAAUAACAAGAUUUCAAACUUAAAAAAGGAUGGAUUCUGGGACACUUACCAAAUUCGGGCGAGCGGUGGUGUGCGCUCCGGGCGGUGAACAUAUGGACCAUCGGAAACCAACGUUCGUUUCACCCCGCCUUCCUUGGACGGACACUAGUUCUCCAAGCAACCUCCCGACUCAUCCUCAUUUCCUCGGCCGCUCAGAAUCAUCGAGCAUGUUCAACAACGGCGAAAAUGAAUUUUGAGGAGAAUUCGAGAUUGUCGGCGGGUGAAUUUCACAUCGGAUCGGAGUAGAAGAAAGUUUUGUUGGUUGCGGCGAGUGGUGACACACCCUCACACACAUAGAAGAGAAGAGAGGGGAAGGCCAGAGGAGGGCCGGCAGAAGCAAACAAAGAGGAGGGGAUUGAGUUUGGAUUCAUAUCACAACACAUCUUGGGUCCCUCCCGGUUUCCUCCUCUGUCUUCGUCCCGGACAAAACCACAGCGAACCAACCUCUCCUCCUCCUUCCUCCGGCGGAUCUCAUCUUCUCAUCCCACCAAGACCACCGAGAUCUCGUCUUCACAUCCAAGCGGCGCGAGCAAGGGAGGAGACGCGCUCGCUCGCUCCACCGUCAGCAACCAAGCCAGGUACGCCCGCACUCGGCCCCCUUGAAGAUCUGAGCUUUUGCCAGGGGACUCGGAGCUCAGAUCGGAUCGGAUCCGCCGCCAACCCGGACCGGACCGGAGCGGACCGGAUCUUGUUUCUUUCUUUCCUUCUUUUCUUUCUUUCUCCAAGAUCCCGAUCCCCACCGCCCUAAUUCCAUACCCGAUCCCUCUGACCACGAUCCCGUCCGUCCAUCGGCUGUGUCCUGUCCAGGCAAAGGGCGGCGAUGACGUUCGACAAGGUGGAGGAGCUCCGGCCGGGCACCUACGGCCACAACCUGCAGCUCCGGGUGCUCAGCGCCAAGCCCGUCGUGCUCCACAGGCCGCAGGGCGGCCGGGCCGGCGGCAACAUGCGCAUCGCCGAGUGCAUCGUCGGCGACGACACCGGCGUCGUCGUAUUCACCGCACGCAACGAGCAAGGUAGCCCCUCCCAGAUCCGUCCACUCGCCUCCGUUUUCCUUCUUCCUCUUCUUUCGCCCGAUUGAUUCACUUGAAGAAAUUUACUACGGCAUGCUUCUUCUUUCGCCUGAUUGAUUGAUUGAUAAUACGAGUACAUAAUCGGCAUCUUAUCUGUCAGAAAUUCUACUAGUUCAGGCAGAGCAUUUAACGGCACAGGAUGGGCGCUCAUCGGUGCUAUAAUGACACACUGGCUAAUCUUGAAAUCGUGAUGCUCUGCUGCUGCUGCUGCUGCUGCAUACAUGUUUCAGCCCAGAUAGCCUGCUGCUCAUGUUCACUCAUUGCUGGCUUCUUAACUUAAUUACCCUGUUUCUUCUUUUGCCUGCUAAAUUGCACAGUCGACAAACGUUUGACCCCUUGUAAUCAGGGUUUAGCUUGCUCAGGCUUUCCAGAAUUAGCCCACUUCUGAUCAUACCCCCUGUAUUAAUAUAUCGUGCAUUCAUCGCUUGGCUUGAUGAUGUAAUCAUGGUUUUACUUUCUGGGUUUGCAAAACUUCCUGGACCCGGGCCGGUUUCCGGUGGUGACCUGCCUCUCUGGAUUGCAAUAAAUUUGUUUUUCUUUACCUUGAGCCGGUUUCCAAUCUAUCUUGUUAAGAAAUUCUGCUAGUUCCGACAGGCCCGGCACUUCAACUAACUCGCACUAUAAUCACUGCAUGGCAUUUGUGGAAUGAUGUUUAAGUUGAAAUCAUGAUACUCUCUGCUGCAUGUAUGUUUCAGUCCAAACAUCCUAUCAAUGACCCCUCAUUGCUUGCUGGCUUAACUUGAUUACUAGUAUAUUGAUCAACUGGCCUGACUGGAAUUUAUCGUGCGUUUUCUUGCUCCAGUGGACAUCAUGAAGCCCGGGGCGGUCGUGGAGGCGAGGAAGGCGAGGGUGGACAUGUACAAGGGGUCGAUGCGCCUGGCGGUGGACAAGUGGGGGACGCUCAAGGCUGCUGAGAGCCCCGCGGACUUCAAGGUGAAGGAGGACAACAACGUGUCCUUGGUCGAGUUUGAGCUCAUCACCGUGAUGCAGUGAUUGAAGAGGGCUCCUCCUCCUCGCCUAGGAGGAGGAGGCAGAGGAGGCUCAGCAGCUGCUAGGCUGAGCACAAAGCAAUAAACCGGCCAAAAUCAUGGCUCUUGUUCUUCACCCCCCCUUCCCCCUCUCUCUGUUUACUGUUUAUUUGCUGGAAGUUUUGCUAGUCCUGCUACCUUUGGAUUAACUGUCAUUAGUAAUACUAUAUAUGUUUGUGAGGAGUUGCAUCCAGAUUGUUGUGAGUGAGUCCUGCUAUAUCCCUUUGUGUUAGACCUGGUAUAUCAAUUAACUGAUUAUGUUAAGCACUGGUGACAUAUAUCUACUACGGAAGUCCUUCACGGACGACAUUUUGCUGAACGACAUGCGCACCGAUGGCUUGCCCAUGGAUGGUACGACAUGACAUGCCGCGCGCUUGCCCAUGGAUGGUACGACAUGACAUGCCGCGCGCUUGCCCAUGGAUGGUACGACAUGACAUGCCGCGCAUCUUUCGGUUGGCAACUGUCGUCCGUGUAGCAGCGCUCUAUGUCUAUGAGCUUAGUGAAGUGAUGUUUUGCUUGCCUGAAUGUUGAGUGCUAACUGAUCAUGAUGAUGAUGAUAAUGAUAAUGAUUUUGUAGUGCAAUGUUGAUGUCUUGUUAAGGUGAUGGAUCAGCAGGCAGGCAGUUGGCACAAUCACCUUUUUGCUGGGUGGGGGGUGGGGUGGACACUAGGCAGGGGCCACCUCAGGACACCACACCACUAUGUUGUGUUGUUUGUGGUCUGGUCUUUGUUCUUGUGAUAGUUAUGGGACAGUCAAAGAAGAGAGGAGCAUGCAAUGGUGGCUGUCUGUUGUUGCAGUGGUUGCAUUGUUGUGCUGUCCUGCUGUCUUUGCUAGCUGGUAAUAAUUGCAAUGUGUUGUGCUUGUGAUUGGGCCACCCACAUCAUCACCAUCAUCAUCUUGAUUUAUCUUGUUGGAUGUGGAUAAUGUAAAGUGACAACAAGAUGAGCCAUAAUGCCGCGGUGGGCGGUACCACGGUGUUUUGUGCAGUACACCAAAAAAAUCACAGUGGUAGUGAUAUAGCUUUUGAUUGCUGAGCUACGGUGAGCCCUCCAUUUUUUUGACGGAAAAAGAAGAGAAUGAAAUGGUGGUAAUAUAUGCACAUAUAACUAUAAUUUUAUGUAAAUCCAAAAUAGUAAUGUUGAGAUAUAAUUUUAUUUUGCCAGACCAUAUUUGUCUUCAUGUAGCCUACAUGUGUUUAAAAAAAAAACUAUAAACCCAUCAACUCUUCCUCCGCUGCAACUCUAGUUUGUAAAGAUCCAAUAUAAUAUCACAUGCAUCUUUAUAGUGUUCUGGGUUUGGUUUAUAGGACAUAUUUUUCCCCUUUGUUUUCUAUACUACGUUUCCCAAUACAUUCCUUGUAAUGUUACAUUUAUUUCCUCGGAAAAAAAGUUAGGUCAUUUAGGGUGUUGUGUCUAGUCGAACCUCUAUGACGUUGUAUGGGUCAUGCCUUGCCGGCGUUGUAGCAUCAUUCUUGUUCGAGAUCGAAAGUGAAAUCUAUGUAUUGAUUGAUGGUUACAGGCGCUACUUAUACCAUCUGGAGAGACACGAGCGAAGGGAGGCGUCGGUUCCAGAGGGUAGGAGCGAAAGGCGUCUGUGCGGGACAAACCACACGACGGUUUGGGCAAGGGGAGAUUUCCCCCUAAUUAUAAAUUGUAAUUAAUUCUAACACUCCCCCUAAUCUACACUUGACCAUGUAGAAUCAUCUUCACAAUUGUCCGGGAAGCUCUAUCAUCUUAAAAAGAUUCUCCUCCAAAAGUUCUUCAUAAAAUCUUUGAUGAGAUCCUGAAACAUAUACUCACAAAGAGAGAUAGCGUAAUGCGAUGUUUGAACAAGGAUAUCUCAAGAAGAGACCCUCCCCCUAACGCUUGCAAGUCCCAAAGUCAUCGCAUACCAAUUCCAUGAACAUAUUUCUGGAAUGUAGAAUUUGGUAGAGACUUGGUAAAUAAAUUAGCAAGGUUGUCGUAUGAUUUGACUUGUAGAAUGCUUAUUUCCCUGCUUUUCUGAAGAUUAUGGGGGAAAACCAUUUAGGAGAAAUAUGGUUGGUGAUAUUACUCUUGAUGUAUCCUGUUUGCAUCUGUGCAACACAGGCCGCAUUAUCUUCAUAGAUAAUGGUAGGUGAUUUUAUCGAACCAAUUCCAUAUGACUGUUGUAUGUGGUUUAUCAUUCUGCGAAACCAUACACAUUCGCAUAUUGCUUCAAAUAAUGAAGUUAUUUCAGAAUGAUUGAUAGAAGUUGCCACCAGAGUCUGUUUCGAAGACUUCCAUGAUAUAGCAGUGCCACCAUGUAGGAACAUGAAGCCGGUCUGUGAUCUGGCAUUAUGGGGAUCGGACAAAUAGCCGGCAUCUGCAUAUCCAAUCAUAUCAGAGUCCUGGUUUUUUUGGAAUUGGAAAAAUAGGCCAAGAUCCUUUGUGCCUUGAAGAUAUCAAAAGAUAUUCUUCACUUCAGACCAAUGCCGUUUGGUGGGAGCUGCGCUAUGUCUUGCAAGAAGAUUCACUGCAAAUGCAAUGUCAGGUCUUGUGCAAUUUAAGAUACAUAAGCGCUCCAACAGCACUGAGGUAUGGAACUUCAGGUCCCAACACCUCUUCUCCAUCAUCCCUUGGUCUGGAUGGAUCUUUCUCCACGUCUAGAGAUCGAACCACCAUGGGAGUUUUAGAUGGAUAGGAUUUGUCUGAAUUUCUCCAAUAUUUUCUAGAUAUAGGUAGAUUGAUGUACCGUGAUUCCUGAGGGAAGGUGCUCAAGUUGAAUGCCUAAGCAAAAUUUGGUUUUACCCAAAUCCUUCAUCUCAAAUUCCAUCUUUAGGUGAUUGCGUGUUUCAUCAAUGUCUGGUGUGUUGUCGAUGAUGUUGAGAUCAUCAACAUAUACAAAAAUGAUGCAAAAUCGUGUAGUAUAUUUCUUGAUGAAAACACAUGGGCAAUCAGCACUAUUGGAGUAACCUUUCUGAAGAAGGAACUCACCGAGCCGGUUGUACCACAUCCGUCCCGACUGCCUUAAGCCAUAUAAUGACUUAUUCAACUUUACACAAUACAUGUUGCGUUUUGCAUUUUUAUUCGGGACAGAGAUUCCAUCACGAAGCCGGUAAUUGCCUUUGGCUCCUAGGUGCAUAUGCACCCAUUGUCGAAAUACACAUUUCGAAAAGUUGAAAAAUUUGGAACAAAAAUCCCGUGUGUAUAUCCGGACAUUUUAUGUGCGUGCACAAGGUUUCAGUGAAAAACGACGUUUUUUGUGGCUUGUGUAAAAAAACAAUUUCUGAUGCUUCAUUUUAACUAUCCACGAGGCAUUUCUUUAUCUUUUUUACACAAGCGAUUUGUACCCCACAUAGAUCCCCAACUUCCUGUGUGGGCCCAUAGAUGUCCGCCGUGGUGGUGAGAUUGGGAUGUAUGCAACACAUCCGAACUUAUGCAGUUGGGAAAUGCUAGGAGGAUUUCCAUGUACCAAUUCUAAAGGGGAAGAACUGUGAUAUGCAGUUGGCCUCAAUUGUAUCAAGUCAGUAGCGUGUGAAACAACGUGACCCCAACAAGAGGUUGGCAAGUUGCAAUUCCUCAACAAAGGUCUUGCAAUGAGUUUAAUCCUCUUAAUUAAUGAUUCAGCCAAACCAUCUUGUGUAUGGACAUAUGGAACAGAGUGCUGAACUUCAAUUCCCAAAGCCAUGCAAUAAUCAUCGAAAGCAUGUGAGGAGAAUUCUGCAGCAUUGUCCGUUCGAAUUGACUUAAUUCGACUUUCAGGAUAAUGGGCUUACAACUUAAUCACUUGCCUCAUUAUCUUGGCAAAUGCAUGGUUCCGUGUGGACAGAAGGCACACAUGUAACCAUCGUGUAGAUGUAUCAAUCAAAACCAUGAAAUACCUGAAAGGUCCAGACAAUGGCUGAAUGGGACCACAAAUGUCUUCUUGAAUACGUUCAAGGAACCGAAGUGGUUCACCUUGUAUUUUUGAGGUGCGAGGCCUCAAAAUUAGCUUUCCCGUGGAGCAAGAUGUGCACACAAAAUCUGAAGAUUGAGGAAAUUUUGACUCAAGCAAAUUAUGACCAAUGGAAUUGGUAGUAAUUUUUCCCAUCAUCCCGAUUCCAGGAUGUCCUAGGCGAUCAUGCCAGGUUUGGAAUGCGUUAACAUUCCGAAAAAUUACUUUGUAUGCAACAUGCUCCACGGGUUUGAUGUACGUAUAGUACAAACCAGACAAUAGAGAAGGAAUUUUCUCAUGUACCUUUUUGUCAUAUCCGCGAUCUUUAGUAAAGAGUAGAUACUCCUCUUUGUUGUGUUCAUGGGUUUCAAUAUGAAAACCAUUCUUACGGAUAUCUCGAUAACUAAUCAAGGUACGUGAUGAGUCAGGAUACAAUAAAGCAUCCUCAGUCGUCACUUGUGUACCACUUAGGAGGGUGAAUAUGUCACGUCCAGUAGCAACAAUCAUUGUAUCGCGUCCAGCGAUAGUUAGAAUAUCUCCAUUCAUCUUUUUUAGAGUUUGGAAAUAUUUCAUCUCCUUCAGUAUGGAGUUUGUGGUACCAUUGUCCACAAGGCAUAAUUCCUCAUCCAUCAGAUUGUCCCUGUAGAAAUCGGCGGCGAGUGCUCCCUCUCGACUCCUCUCUCUGUUGCCUUUUUCGCUCUCGCUGGCUGUUCUAUGUGCGUGAUAACGUGUUCGAGAUCGAAAGUAAAAUCUCUGUAUUGAUUGAUGGUUACAGGCACUACUUAUACCAUCUGGAGAGACACAAGCGAAGGAAGGCAUCGGUUCCAGAGGGUAGGAGCGAAAGGCGUCUGUGCGGGACAAACCACACGAUAGUUUGGGCAAGGGGAGAUUUUCCCCUAAUUACAAAUUGUAAUUAAUUCUAACAAUUCUUUCUUAACGAAUUCAGGUAGAUCUUCCGCAUGGUUCUGAAAACAAAAAGAACAGAAUGGGUCAAUUAUCUUCUCAUUGUUAACCGAAAGAAUAUGGCUUAUUUGCCUUUUAAUUACUACUAGGCACAAAGCACACAUGAAAAAAGGCAUGAUUGAUUUACUUGGAAUGAGCAGGCUGGUUGUUUUUUCCUUGAACUCCAAAAAAUGGGCAAUUUAUUAACCGAAAGAAUAUGGCUUCUUUGCCUUUUAAUUACUACUAUGCACUAGCAAAGCACACAUAAAAAAGGCAUGAUUGAUUUACUUGGAAUGAUUAGGCUGGUUGUUUUUUCCUUGAACUCCAAAAAAUGGGUAGUUUACCCUUUUAGCAAAGCACACAAAAAGGCAGGGUUACUUACUUUUAUGGGAUGUAAAACUCUUAAAAAUUCCAGCUGUUGACUGGUGUUUGUUAAUCAAAAGAAGAAAGGAGUAUAGCGAUCCCACAUAUGACAGAAAUUUAAACAGAGUACUUUGCGCUAAAAACAUCUCGCCGGAGUUCAUCAACCCAACAUACCAUAGUUCACCACGCAUAGCAUAGGGGAGUUUUUGCAAACCAUAAUAAUCAUACAUAGCAUAGGGGAAUCGAAACCUAGCAUAGGAGAUCUACUAGUCGCCGAAGGGGGUGGGCAGGGGUCUACUUCACCGGGGUUCUACUCGUUGGAGUCAGAUUCGUCGCCCUCAUCAUUGUCGUCGCUGGAGAUGACCUCGGCGGGCAGCGGCUUCCGUCCAUGAAUGGUGUCGUAGAUGAGGUCGCGGUAGAUCCGGGUUUGGAGUUGGUACUCAUCCCAGAGCAUCAGCAGCCGCACAACCGCAACCGCAUCUUCGGCAUCGGCGGCAGUCCUUGCCUCAAACCACACCCACUCGGCCUCCCACUGGCGCUGGAUCGCUGAGUCGAAGAGCCGGCCGCAGCGUCGGAAGGUCUUCCACGCACGCGACCUCGAUCCAGCGCUGCAGAACUUGGCGCCACGCGUGCACGCCGCCUCCCGUUGCUUCUUCGACACCGGAGAGCGGAGGCCAGAGCCGCCGGCCUCGUCGUCGUUCUGGCACUUGCGGGCGAAGAAGCCGCCGCGUGCAUCGACUCCACAGCAACACCUGAAGCCACCAGGAUUGCCGAACCCCCUUCCGCCGCCACGAGCCGCACCGGCGGAUGCCAUGGUAUCUUCGAUCCGGCGGAAAACAAGCUGCAAUAGGCCGUCGAAGCACGCUCGAUUUCUCGCCGGAGUACACGAAAUGCGGCGGAGAGGGAUAGAGGAAAUGGAGGGCGGGUACCCUAAAUCGUCCGGAAGCCGGCAUAUAUACCGGAUGGGGGGGCUUUUCAUGGGCCGAGACUUUUUUUGGGUAUCUGCUCGGGCCGAUUAUUUGGGUCAUCCCGUAUAACGGGCGGAAAAGCAUAGUUCGCCGGCCUUAUGCGGGAUCUGCUAGAGAUGCUCUAAUAACUUCUUCUUUUUUGCGAAUAAGAGAUGCUCUAAUAACUUAUAAUAUAGCUUUUUUUUACUGAGCUACGGCGAGCCCUCCAUUUAGUCUAUUUUUUUGACAGAAAAAGGAAAGAAACGGCGGUAAUAUAUGCACAUAUAACUACAAUUUUCCGUUAAUCCAAAAUAGUAAUGAUGAAAAUAUAAUUUCAUUUUGCCUGACCAUAUUUGUCUUCCUGUAGCUUAUAUGUGAUGAUUUUAAGAUAUUUAUACCCAUGAUAUCUUGUAGACUAGAUUUGUUGCGCAUGCCAACAUGCAAAUGUUAGUUUAAAAAAAACUAUGAGCCCUGAGUAAGUUCUUUUUUUACUAGUAUUCGAGAUAAAUUCCAAAUUGUUAUGUGUAUUUCCUUUUACAAUAGCAAAAGCCGGCAAUUAUACUCAUGUAAUCAUUGUUGUGACAUGUGGCAUUUCAACCCGAAAUUAUGCUCAAACCAAUAUAUUGCUCACCAUACAUACAUAAUUUAUACAAUACAAAUAGGUUUUGUCGCGGGUUAACUGAGGCUUUUGCUCAUGGCUGUUCAACUUUUGUUGCUCAAUAAUGUUGUGCCUAUACUUUCAAUCGGUUUGGCUCAAGGUUAUUGUCCCCGUGACGCUUUUGCUUCAGUGGCCGUUGUUGUGGUAAGCGAGUUUGGGUCGUGUUUUUGUAGGCCGGGCUUCAACUUUCGUAGUGUAAGAGUUUCGGUUCAAUUCCUUGUGAUGUUAGGUCAUUUAGGGUGCUAUGUCUAGUCGAACCUCUAUGGCGUUGUAUGGGUCAUGCCUUUUGCGGUGUUGUAGCAUCAUUCUUUCUUAAGGAAUUCAGGUGCAGUUAGAUCUUCCGCAUGGUUCUGAAAAUAAAAAUAAAAGAAUGGGCCAAUUGUUUUUUCAUUGUUAAACGAAAAGAAUAUGGCUUCUCUGCCUUUUAGUUACUACUAGUGGGCUGAUUGUUCUGAAUAUGGCUUCAUUUCCUUGAACUCCAAAAAAAUAGGUAAUUUUCCCUUUUAGCAAAGCACACAAAAAGGCAGGGUUACUUACCCUUUUUUGAAUGAAAAACACUUAAAAAUCCCAGCGGUUGACUGGUGUUUGUUAAUAAAAAGAAGAAAGGAGUAUGAAAGCAGGAAGGUUGGAGGGGAAAGCGAAGGAAGCGAGUGAUCGGUUUAUUCCUGUAGUUUCCUUCCCUACACACUCAUGCAAGCGGUUUUAUUCUUGCGGUGUCCCCAUCACGCUUGUGCUUCAGUCGAUGUUGUUGUCAUCGUUUCCAUGGUGAUCGAGUUUGGGUUGCGUUUGUCACGGUAGUCAUAUUUUUUCGUUGUUAGCCGAAAGAAUAUAGCUCGUUUGCCUUUUAAUUGCUAGCAAAGCACACAUAGAAAGGCAUGAUUGAUUACUUGGAAUGAGCAGGCUGGUUGUUUUUGUCUUGAAACCCCAGAAAAUGGCCCUUUUAGCAAAGCAGAAGAAAAGGCAGGGUUACUUACUUUAUUUGGGAAUGGAAAACUCUUAAAAAUCCCAGCAGUUGACUGGUGUUUGUUAAUGAAAAGAAUGGGCCAAUUGUCUUUUAAUUGUUACCGAAAGAAUAUAGGAAAAUGCUUAGUGUCAACCGGUGGAUUUUCUCUCACUCGUCCACCGUCUUCCACGGGCGACGCGUGUCCCAGUGGGUGUGCACCGCUUUGCAUCCUGCCUUAUCUUCUCGUCCGACUGCUCCCAUCCACAUCUUUUGUUUUCUUUUGCCUUCUUUCUUCCUUCCUCAGCGACCCAUUCUUCUCCAUUACGCACACAAUCAGGGACAUGCUCGGAGAUGUUGGAGACACCCACAGCCGAGAUUUUCUGAAGAGAUGCUGGAGGCACCGCCGCUUUCGUGUGCGGGUGUUCGAGGGUGGAUCUUCAAAGUUUUCUGCAACAUGGUAGUUGUUUCUGCAACGCAGCCAUUGUUUCAGGAAUUGUUUCUGCAACACGGCCGUUGCUUCAGAAUUGUUUCUGCAAUCUCCAAAUUUUUGCAACAUGGUAGUUGUUUCUGCAACACAGCCGUUAUUUCAGGAAUUGCUUCUGCAACGCGGCCGUUGUUUCAGGAAUUGUUUCUGCAACGCGGUCAUUAUUUCAGGAUUGUUUCUGCAAUGCGGACAUUGUUUCUGCAACUGGUUUAUUGUUUCAGGAAUUAGUGUGUCGGGACACCGAUGAGCCGCGUGCGAGUAACUUGAUCGGACGGCUCGCGCGCGAAGAUCCGACAGCUGUCGAGGUGGUGGAUGUUUACUAAACAUCUGCCGGUAGAUGCGUAGCGCUCCCCAAGAAUAUAGCUUCUUUGCCUUUUAAUUACUGCUAGGCACUAGCAAAGCACACAUAAAAAAAGGCAUGAUUGAUUUACCCAACAUACCAUAGUUCACCACGCAUAUCAUAGGAGAGUUUUUGCAAACCAUAAUAAUUAUACAUAGCAUAGGGGAUCUACUAGUCGCCGGAGCCGGGGGUGGUCGGGGGUCUACAUCACCGGGGUUCUACUCAUCCGAGUCAGAGUCAUCCGAGUCAAAGUCGAUGUCCUCAUCGUCCUCGUCGCCCUCAUCGUCGUCGUCGCUGGAGAUGACCUCGGCGGGCAGUGGCUUCUUUCCGUAAAGGGUGUCGGUGAUGAGGUCACUGUAGAUCCGGGUUUGGAGGUCGUACUCCUCCCAGAGCGCCGACAGCCGCGCAGCCGCAGCUGUAUCUCCAGCGUCGGCGGCAGUCCUCGCCUCAAACCAUGCCCGUCCGGCCGCCCGCUGGCGCUGGAGUGCCGGGUCGAAGAGCCGGCCGUAGCGCAGGAAGGUCUUCCACCCAUGCGACCUCGAUCCGGCGCUGCGGGACUUGGCGCAGCAAGUGCACGCCGCCUGUCGUUUCUUCUUUGACACCGGAGGGGGGACGCCAGAGCCACUGGCCUCGUCAUCGUUUUGGUGCUUGCGGGCGAAGAAGCCGCCGCGCGCGCCGCCUCCACCACGGCACCCUAAGCCACCACGAUUGCCGAACCCCCUUCCGCUGCCACGCCCCGCACCGGCGGACACCAUGGUAGCUUCGAUUCGGCGAAAAACAGGUCGCAAAAGGCUGCCGGAGCACACUCGAUUUCUCACCGGAGUACAUGAAAUGCGGCGGAGAGGGCUAGAGGAAACGGAGGGCGGAUACCCUAAAUCGACUGGAAGCCGGCAUAUAUAUCGGAUUGGGGGCGGUUUACGGGCCUCCCGUAAACUUUUUACGGGCCGGGACUUUUUUCGGGUAUCUGCUCGGGCCGAUUAUUUGGGUCGUCCCGUAUAACGGCCGGAAAAGCAUAUUUCGCGGGCCUUAUGCGGGAUCUGCUAGAUAUGCUCUAAUAACUAAUAAUAUACCUUUUGUUUACUGAGGUACGGCGAGCCCUCCAUUUAGGCCACUUUUUGGACAGAAAAAGAAAGAAACGGCCGUAAUAUAUGCACACAUAACUACAAUUUUCUGUUAAUCCAAAAUAGUAAUGAUGAAAAUAUUAUAAUUUCGUUUUGCCAGACCAUAUUUGUCUUCGUGUAGCCUACAUGUGAUGAUUUUACGAUACUUAUACCCAUGAUAUCCAGUAGACUAGAUUUGUUGCGCAUGCCAACAUGCAAAUGCUAGUUAAAAAAAAGACUAUGAACCCUGUGUAAAUUCAUUGCGUUCCUUUUUACUAGUAUUUGAGAUAAAUUCCAAAUUGUUAGGUGUAUUUUCCUUUUACACUAGUAAAAGCCGGCAAUUAUACUCAUGUAAUCAUUGUUGUGACCUGUGGCAUUUCAACCCAAAAUUAUGCUUAAACCAGUAUAUUGCUCAAUAAUGUUGUGCCCAUACUUUUAAUUGGUUUGGCUCAAGUUUAUUGUCCCCGUGACGCUUUUGCUUCGGCGGUCGUCGUUGUGGUAAGCAAGUUUGGGUCGUGUUGUUGUGGGUCGGGCUUCAACUUUCGUAGUGUAAGAGUUUCGGUUCCAUUCCUUUGUGAUGUUAGGUCAUUUAGGGUGCUCUGCCUCUACCUAGUAGUGCCUCUAUGAUGUUGCAUGGGUCAUGCCUUCUGGGCGUUGUAGCAUCAUUCUUUCUUUAGGAAUUCACGUGCAGCUAGAUCUUCCGCAUGGUUCUGAAAAUAAAAAGGAAAUAAUGGGCCAAUUGUUUUUCAUUGUUAAACGAAAGAAUAUGGCUUCUUUGCCUUUUAGUUACUACUAGUGGGCCAAUUGUUCUGAAUAUGGCUUAAAAUGGGUAAUUUUCCCUUUUAGCAAAGCACACAAAAAGGCAGGGUUAUUUACUUUUUUUUUGGAAUGAAAAACUCUUAAAAAUUCCAGCGGUUGAUUGGUGUUUGUUAAUAAAAAGAAGAAAGGAGUAUGAAAGUAGGAAGGUGGGAGGGGAAAGCGAAGGAAGCGAGUGAGCGGUUUAUUUUUGUAGUUCCCUUCCCUACACACUCAUGCAAGCGGUUUAUUCUUGCGGUGUCCUCAUGACGCUUGUGCUUCAGUCGAUGUUGUUGUCAUCGUUGUCACGGUGGUCGAGUUUGGGUUGCGUUUGUGACGGUACUCAUCUUUUUUCAUUGUUAAUGGAAAGAACAUGUCUCGUUUGCCUUUUAAUUGCUAGCAAAGCACACAUAGAAAAGGUAUGAUUGAUUACUUGGGAUGAGCAGGCUGGUUGUUUUUGUCUUGAACCCCAGAAAAUGGCCCUUUUAGCAAAGCACAAGAAAAGGCAGGGCUACUUACUUUUUUUGGAAAUGGAAAACUCUUAGAAAUUCCAGCAGUUGGUGUUUGUUAAUCAAAAUAAUAAAAGAAAGAAAAAAGAAGAACAAAGAAGUAUGAGAGCAGGAAGGUGGGAGGGGAAAGCGAGUGAGCGGUUUAUUCUUGCGGUUCCCUUUUCCACACGCUCAUGCAAACGGUUUAUUCUUGCAGUGUCCUCGGGACGCUUGUGCUUCGUUGAUGUUUUCGUCAUCGUAGUCAUGUUUGGGUUGCGUUUGUUGCGGAUUGGGUGCUGGGUUUCGCAUCCAUGCCUUGCGAUGUCAUGUUCUUUAGAGUUUUUCGGCGAGGCACGCCCCCGUGGCGUAAUAGUUUUACCCCUAUGAACGCACACACGCACACCCUACCCCCAUGAGCACCUCCUCGCCCCUGUGGCGUAAUAAUUUCACCCCUAUGAACGCACACACGCACACCCUAUCCCUAUGAGCACCUCCGGAAGACUGAGCCGGCAGGAACGUCUCCUCCCACUGAAUGCGCAUCGCCGGAAAUCCUGAAAUAAAUCCGGGAAUAAAUGUGAGCACCAGGAUUUGAACCCUGGUGGGCUGGGAUACCCCAGUCCCUCUAACCAUCCAACCACAGGUUGAUUCGCGAGUGAAAAAAGUCUUGAUUAUAUAAGAUUGAUAAUUCCAGCAGUUGACCGGUGUGUGUUUGUUUGUUAAUUAUAUUAGUAUAUAUAAAUAAAAGAAGAAAAAGGAGUAUGAAAGCAGUAAGGUGGAAGGGGAAAGCGAAGGAUGGGUUUAUUCUUCCAUUUGUGUUGUAGAAAGAAGUCGUCAUUUUCUUCUUGUUCCACUUCCGUUGCCUUGCCUCCUCCUUCUUUCUUUCUUGUCUAUCAUCAUCAGCAUCCAUCCAUCCACCAAAAUAAAUAAAUAUUCCACCUUUUUGUUUCCAGAUUACCAGAUGAUGAGUUGAUUCAUUCUCAAUAUCCACCAAAAAGGCGGGGUUACUUACUUUUAUGGAAUGGAAAACUCUUAAAAAUCCCAGCAGUUGACUGGUGUUUGUUAAUCAAAAGAAGAAAGGAGUAUAGCGAUCCCGCAUAUGACAAAAAUUUAAACGAAGUACUUCGCGCUAGAAACAUCUCGCCAGAGUUCAUCAACCCAACACACCAUAGUUUACCGCGCAUAGCACACGGGAGUUUUUACAAACCAUAAUAAUUAUACAUAGCAUAGGGGCACCGAAACAUAGCAUAGGAGAUCUACUAGUCGCCGGAGGGGGUGGGAAGGGGUCUACUUCACCGGGGUUCUACUCGUCCGAGUCAGAGUCGUCGCCCUCGUCAUUGUCGUCGCUGGAGAUGACCUCGGCGGGCAGCGGCUUCCCUCCAUGAAUGGUGUCGUAGAUGAGGUCGCAGUAGAUCCGGGUUUGGAGUCGGUGCUCAUCCCAGAGCGUCAGCAGCCGCACAGACGCAACCGCAUCUUCGGCAUCGGCGGCGGUCCUCGCCUCAAACCAUGCCCACUCGGCCUCCCACUGGCACUGGAUCGCCGAGUCGGAGAGCCGGCCGCAGCGCCGGAAGGUCUUCCACGCACGCGAGCUCGAUCCAGCGCUGUGGGACUUGGCGCCACGCGUGCACGCCGCCUCCCGUUGCUUCUUCGACACGGGAGAGCGGAGGCCAGAGCCGCCGGCCUCGUUGUCGUUCUGGCGCUUGCGGGCGAAGAAGCCGCCGCGCGCAUCGACUCCACAGCGACACCUGAAGCCACCGCGAUUGCCGAACCCCCUUCCGCCGCCACGCCCCGCACCGGCGGAUGCCAUGGUAGCUUCGAUCCGGCCGAAACAGGCUGCAAUAGGCCGUCGGAGCGCGCUCGAUUUCUCGCCGGAGUACACGAAAUGCGGCGGAGAGGGCUAGAGGAAAUGGAGGGCGGGUACCCUAAAUCGGCCGGAAGCCGGCAUAUAUACCGGAUGGGGGGGCUUUUCAUGGGCCGGGACUUUUUUUGGGUAUCUACUCAGGCCGAUUAUUUGGGUCGUCCCGUAUAAUGGGCGGAAAAGCGUAGUUCGCCGGCCUUAUGCGGGAUCUGCUAGAGAUGCUCUAAUAACUUUUCUUUUGCGAAUAAGAGAUGCUCUAAUAACUUUUAAUAUAGCUUUUGUUUACUGAGCUACUGCCAGCCCUCCAUUUAGGCUAUUUUUUUGACAGAAAAAGGAAAGAAACGGCGGUAAUGUAUGCACAUAUAACUACAAUUUUCUGUUAAUCCAAAAUAGUAACGAUGAAAAUAUAAUUUCAUUUUGCCUGACCAUAUUUGUCUUCGUGUAGCUUAUAUGUGAUGAUUUUAAGAUACUUAUACCCAUGAUAUCUAGUAGACUAGAUUUGUUGCGGAUGCCAACAUGCAAAUGUUAGUUUAAAAAAAACUAUGAGCCCUGAGUAAGUUCCAUUUUUUUACUAGUAUUUGAGAUAAAUUCCAAAUUGUUAUGUGUAUUUCCUUUUACACUAGCAAAAGCCGGCAAUUAUACUCAUGUAAUCAUUGUUGUGACAUGUGGCAUUUCAACCCAAAAUUAUGCUCAAACCAAUAUAUUGCUCACCAUACAUACAUAAUUUAUACAAUACAAAUAGGUUUUGUCGCGGGUUAACCGAGGCUUUUGCUCAUGGCUGUUCAACUUUUGUUGCUCAAUAAUGUUGUGCCUAUACUUUCAAUCGGUUUGGCUCAAGGUUAUUGUCUCCGUGACGCUUUUGCUUCAGUGGUCAUUGUUGUGGUAAGCGAGUUUGGGUCGUGCUGUUGUGGGCCGGGCUUCAACUUUCGUAGUGUAAGAGUUUUCGGUUCCAUUCCUUGUGAUGUUAGGUCAUUUAGGGUGCUAUGUCUAGUCGAACCUCUAUGGCGUUGUAUGGGUCAUGCCUUUUGCGGUGUUGUAGCAUCGUUCUUUCUUUAGGAAUUCAGGUGCAGCUAGAUCUUCCCCAUGGUUCUGAAAAGAAACAAAAGAAAAAAAUGGGGCAAUUUCUUUUUCAUUGUUAACCGAAAGAAUAUGGCUCCUUUUGCCAUUUAAUUACUACUAGCAAAGCACACAUAGAAAGGCAGGAUUGAUUACUUGGAAUGAGCAAGAUGGUUGUUUUUGUCUUGAACCCCAGAAAAUGGCCCUUUUAGCAAAGGAGAAGAAAAGGCAGGGUUAAUUACUUUUUUUCCAGAAUGGAAAACUCAGAUUCCAGCAGUUGACUGGUGUUUGUUAAUCAAAAGAAGAAAAGAAAAGAAGAAAGAAGUAUGAAAGUAGGAAGGUGGGAGGGGGAAAGCGAAGGGAGCGAGUGAGCGGUUUAUUCUUGCGGUUCCCAUUCCCACACGCCCAUGCAAGCGGUUUAUUCUUGCAGUGUCCCCGCGACGCUUGUGCUUCUGUCGAUGUUGUCAUCAUCGUUGGUCAUGGUAGUCAAGUUUGGAUUGCGUUUGUUGCGGACCAGGUGACGGGUUUCGCAUCCAUGCCUUGCGAUGUCAAAAAAAAAUAAGACCAACCCAAGGGCUAACCCUUGUUGGCAUUCUUUUAUAGAAGAAACUCCGUGAGCACGGCAUGUCAAAGCCAGGGCUUCAACUUGGGUGGGCUGGCAGCUACCCCAGCCGUCCAGCCAACGGGUCGACGCCCCAUCCUCAUGCCUUGCGAUGUCAUGCCGGUGUUUGUUUGUUUGUUAAUUAAUAAAUACUGGUACAGAAGAAGAAAAAGGAGUAUGAAAGCAGUAAGGUGGGAGGGGAAAGGGAAGGGAGCUACCACUGGGUUGGGUUUAUUCUCCCAUUUCAGUUAGACGAGUCAUUUUCUUCUUCUUCUUCUUGUGCUUCCACUUCCCUUGCCUACACGCACGCUCCUCCUCCUUCAUUCUGUUUUUUCACUUGCUUCUUUCUUUCUUUCUUUCUUUCUUGUGCCGACACAACAAAGAGAUCAUGAGAGAGCACCCAUAUUUAUCAUCAGCAUCAGCAUCCAUCCAUCCACCAAAAUAAAUAAAAAUAAAUAUUCCACCUUUCUUCCCCUUUCCUUUUUGUCUUGAGAUUACCUGAUCAUGAGUUGACCCAUUCAUUCUCAGUGCAUACUCUCUAAAAUCUACUCGUAGAUCACCUCACUCUACCUAAUAUCUUUAGCUUACCAAUCCUCCUCUUUACAUAGCGUAGCGUAGGUAGGGGAAAGAAAGGAGUGUGCGUCUGUAAAUACUCCCUCCGUCCCAAAAUUCUUGUCUUACAUUUGUCUAAAUACGGAUGUAUCAAGUCACGUUUUAGUAUUAGAUACAUUCAUAUCUAGAUAAAUUUCAGCCAAGAAUUUUGGGACGGAGGGAGUACUAAAGCAGCAGUCAACACUCAGCAGCAAAAAAAUGUUAGGUCAUUUAGGAUGCUAUGUCUAGUCGAACCUCUAUGGCGUUGUAUGGGUCAUGCCUUGUCGGCGUUGUAGCAUCAUUCUUUCUUAACGAAUUCAGGUAGAUCUUCCGCAUGGUUCUGAAAACAAAAAGGAAAAGAAUGGGCCAAUUGUCUUUUCAUUGUUAACCGAAAGAAUAUGGCUUCUUUGCCUUUUAAUUACUACUAGGCACUAGCAAAGCACACAUAAAAAAAGGCAUGGUUGAUUUACUUAGAAUGAGCAGGCUGGUCAUUUACCCUUUUAGCAAAGCACACAAAAAGGCAGGGUUACUUACCUUUAUGGGAUGGAAAACUCUUGAAAAUUCCAGCUGCUGACUGGUGUUUGUUAAUCAAAAGAAGAAAGGAGUAUAGCGAUCCCACAUAUGACAGAAAUUUUAAACAGAGUACUUUGCACUAAAAACAUCUCGCCGGAGUUCAUCAACCCAACAUACCAUAGUUCACCACGCAUAGCAUAGGAGAGUUUUUACAAACCAUAAUAAUUAUACAUAGCAUAGGGGAAUCGAAACAUAGCAUAGGGGAUCUACUAGUAGCCGGAGCCGGGGGUGGGCGGGGGUCUACUUCACUGAGGUUCUACUCAUCUGAGUCAGAGUUAUCCGAGUCAGAGUCGUCACCCUCAUCAUCACCGUCACCCUCAUCGUCGUCGUCGCUGGAGAUGACCUCGGCGAGCAGCGGCUUCCCUCCGGAAAGGGUGUCGGUGAUGAGGUCACCGUAGAUCCGGGUUUGGAGGUCGUACUCCUCCCAGAGCGCUGGCAGUCGCGCAGCCGCAGCCGCAUCUCCAACGUCGGCGGCGAUCCACGCCUCAAACCACGCCUGCUGGGCCGCGGACUUGCGCUGGAGUGCCGGGUUGAAGAGCCGGCCGCAGCGCAGGAAGAUCUUCCACCCAUGUGACCUCGAUCCGGCGCUGCGGGACUUGGCGCAGCAAGUGCACACCGCCUCCCGUUUCUUCUUCGACACCGGAGGGCGGAGGCCAGAGCCGCCGGCCUUGUCGUCAUUUUGGCGCUUGCUGGCGAAGAAGCCGCCGCGCGCGCCGCCUCCACCACGGCACCCGAAGCCACCGCGGUCGCCAAACCCCCUUCCGCCGCCACGCCCCGCACCAGCAGAUGCCAUGGUAGCUUAGAUCUGGCGGAAAACAAGCCGCAAAAGGCUGCCGGAGCACGCUCGAUUUCUCGCCGAAGUACACGAAAUGCGGCGGAGAGGGCUAGAGGGAAUGGAGGGCGGAUACCCUAAAUCGACUGGAAGCCGGCAUAUAUACCAGAUUAGGGGCGGUUUACGGGCCUCCCGUAAACUUUUUACGGGCCGGGACUUUUUUCGGGUAUAAGCUCGGGGCGAUUAUUUGGGUCGUCCCGAUUAUUUCGGGUAUCUGCUCGGGCCGAUUAUUUGGGUCGUCCCGUAGUUCGCGGGCCUUAUGCGGGAUCUGCUAGAUAUGCUCUAAUAACUAAUAAUAUAGCUUUUGUUUACUGAGGUACGGCGAGCCCUCCAUUUAGGCCACUUUUUGGACAGAAAAAGAAAGAAACGGCCGUAAUAUAUGCACACAUAACUACAAUUUUCUGUUAAUCCAAAAUAGUAAUGAUGAAAUAUUAUAAUUUCGUUUUGCCAGACCAUAUUUGUCUUCGUGUAGCCUACAUGUGAUGAUUUUACGAUACUUAUACCCAUGAUAUCCAGUAGACUAGAUUUGUUGCGCAUGCCAACAUGCAAAUGCUAGUUAAAAAAAAACUAUGAACCCUGUGUAAAUUCAUUGCGUUCCUUUUUACUAGUAUUUGAGAUAAAUUCCAAAUUGUUAGGUGUAUUUUCCUUUUACACUAGUAAAAGCCGGCAAUUAUACUCAUGUAAUCAUUGUUGUGACCUGUGGCAUUUCAACCCAAAAUUAUGCUUAAACCAGUAUAUUGCUCAAUAAUGUUGUGCCCAUACUUUUAAUUGGUUUGGCUCAAGUUUAUUGUCCCCGUGACGCUUUUGCUUCGGCGGUCGUCGUUGUGGUAAGCAAGUUUGGGUCGUGUUGUUGUGGGUCGGGCUUCAACUUUCGUAGUGUAAGAGUUUCGGUUCCAUUCCUUUGUGAUGUUAGGUCAUUUAGGGUGCUCUGCCUCUACCUAGUAGUGCCUCUAUGAUGUUGCAUGGGUCAUGCCUUCUGGGCGUUGUAGCAUCAUUCUUUAUUUAGGAAUUCACGUGCAGCUAGAUCUUCCGCAUGGUUCUGAAAGUAAAAAGGAAAUAAUGGGCCAAUUGUUUUUCAUUGUUAAACGAAAGAAUAUGGCUUCUUUGCCUUUUAGUUACUACUAGUGGGCCAAUUGUUCUGAAUAUGGCUUAAAAUGGGUAAUUUUCCCUUUUAGCAAAGCACACAAAAAGGCAGGGUUAUUUACUUUUUUUUUGGAAUGAAAAACUCUUAAAAAUUCCAGCGGUUGACUGGUGUUUGUUAAUAAAAAGAAGAAAGGAGUAUGAAAGUAGGAAGGUGGGAGGGGAAAGCGAAGGAAGCGAGUGAGCGGUUUAUUUUUGUAGUUCCCUUCCCUACACACUCAUGCAAGCGGUUUAUUCUUGCGGUGUCCUCAUGACGCUUGUGCUUCAGUCGAUGUUGUUGUCAUCGUUGUCACGGUGGUCGAGUUUGGGUUGCGUUUGUGACGGUACUCAUCUUUUUUCAUUGUUAAUGGAAAGAAUAUGUCUCGUUUGCCUUUUAAUUGCUAGCAAAGCACACAUAGAAAAGGUAUGAUUGAUUACUUGGGAUGAGCAGGCUGGUUGUUUUUGUCUUGAACCCCAGAAAAUGGCCCUUUUAGCAAAGCACAAGAAAAGGCAGGGUUACUUUUUUUGGAAAUGGAAAACUCUUAGAAAUUCCAGCAGUUGGUGUUUGUUAAUCAAAAGAAUAAAAGAAAGAAAAAAGAAGAACAAAGAAGUAUGAGAGCAGGAAGGUGGGAGGGGAAAGCGAGUGAGCGGUUUAUUCUUGCGGUUCCCUUUUCCACACGCUCAUGCAAACGGUUUAAUCUUGCAGUGUCCUUGGGACGCUUGUGCUUCGUUGAUGUUGUCGUCAUCGUAGUCAUGUUUGGGUUGCGUUUGUUGCGGAUUGGGUGCUGGGUUUCGCAUCCAUGCCUUGCGAUGUCAUGUUCUUUAGAGUUUUUCGGCGAGGCACGCCCCCGUGGCGUAAUAGUUUUACCCCUAUGAAUGCACACACGCACACCCUACCCCUAUGAGCACCUCCUCGCCCCUGUGGCGUAAUAAUUUCACCCCUAUGAACGCACACACGCACACCCUACCCCUAUGAGCACCUCCGAAAGACUGAGCCGGCAGGAACGUCUCCUCCCACUGAAUGCGCAUCGCCGGAAAUCCUGAAAUAAAUCCGGGAAUAAAUGCGAGCACCAGGAUUUGAACUCUGGUGGGCUGGGGAUACCACAGUCCCUCUAACCAUCCAACCACAGGUUGAUUCGCGAGUGAAAAAUGUCUUGAUUAUAUAAGAUUGAUAAUGUCAGCAGUUGCCGGUGUUUGUUUGUUUGUUAACUAUAUUAGUAUAUAUAAAUAAAAGAAGAAAAAGGAGUAUGAAAGCAGUAAGGUGGAAGGGGAAAGCGAAGGAUGGGUUUAUUCUUCCAUUUGUGUUGUAGAAAGAAGUCGUCAUUUUCUUCUUGUUCCACUUCCGUUGCCUUAGCCUCCUUCUUCUUUCUUUCUUGUCUAUCAUCAUCAGCAUGCAUCCAUCCACCAAAAUAAAUAAAUAUUCCACCUUUUUGUUUCCAGAUUACCAGAUGAUGAGUUGAUUCAUUCUCACUAUCCACUCUAAAUCUACUCGAGCUCACCUCAUCCAUCCACCAAAAAGGCGGGGUUACUUACUUUUAUGGAAUGGAAAACUCUUAAAAAUUCCAGCAAUUGACUGGUGUUUGUUAAUCAAAAGAAGAAAGGAGUAUAGUGAUCCCGCAUAUGACAAAAAUUUAAACAAAGUACUUCGCGCUAGGAACAUCUCGCCAGAGUUCAUCAACCCAACAUACCAUAGUUCACCACGCAUAGCAUACGGGAGUUUUUACAAACCAUAAUAAUUAUACAUAGCAUAGGGGCACCGAAACAUAGUCGCUGGAGGGGGUGGGCAGGGGUCUACUUCACCGGGGUUCUACUCGUCAGAGUCAGAGUCGUCGCCCUCGUCAUUGUCGUCGCCCUCGUCAUUGUCGUCGCUGGAGAUGACCUCGGCGGGCAGCGGCUUCCCUUCAUGAAUGGUGUCGUAGAUGAGGUCGCAGUAGAUCCGGGUUUGGAGUUGGUACUCAUCCCAGAGCGUCAGCAGCCGCACAGCCGCAACCGCAUCUUCGGCAUCGGCGGUGGUCCUCGCCUCAAACCAUGCCCACUCGGCCUCCCACUGGCACUGGAUCGCCGAGUCGGAGAGCCGGCCGCAGCACCGGAAGGUCUUCCACGCACGCGAGCUCGAUCUAGCGCUGCGGGACUUGGCGCCACGCGUGCACGCCGCCUCCCGUUGCUUCUUCGACACGGGAGAGCGGAGGCCAGAGCCGCCGGCCUCAUUGUCGUUCUGGCGCUUGCGGGCGAAGAAGCCGCCGCGCGCAUCGACUCCACAGCGACACCUGAAGCCACCGCGAUUGCCGAACCCCCUUCCGCUGCCACGCCCUGCACCGGCGGAUGCCAUGGUAGCUUCGAUCCGGCGGAAACAGGCUGCAAUAGGUUGUUGGAGCGCGCUCGAUUUCUCGCCGGAGUACACGAAAUGCGGCGGAGAGGGCUAGAGGAAAUGGAGGGCGGGUACCCUAAAUCGGCCGGAAGCCGACAUAUAUACCGGAUGGGGGGGCUUUUCAUGGGCCGGGACUUUUUUUGGGUAUCUGCUCGGGCCGAUUAUUUGGGUCGCCCCGUAUAACGGGCGGAAAAGCGUAGUUCGCCCGCCUUAUGCGGGAUCUGCUAGAGAUGCUCCAAUAACUUUUCUUUUGCGAAUAAGAGAUGCUCUAAUAAUUUUAAUAUAGAUUUUUUUUACUGAGCUACUGCCAGCCCUCCAUUUAGGCUAUUUUUUUGACAGAAAAAGGAAAGAAACGGCGGUAAUAUAUGCACAUAUAACUACAAUUUUCUGUUAAUCCAAAAUAGUAAUGAUGAAAAUAUAAUUUCAUUUUGCCAGACCAUAUUUGUCUUCGUGUAGUUUAUAUGUGAUGAUUUUAAGAUACUUAUACCCAUGAUAUCUAGUAGAGUAAAUUUGUUGCGCAUGCCAACAUGCAAAUGUUAGUUUAAAAAAAAACUAUGAGCCCGGAGUAAGUUCCAAUUUUUUUACUAGUAUUUGAGAUAAAUUCCAAAUUGUUAUGUGUAUUUCCUUUUACACUAGCAAAAGCUGGCAAUUAUACUCAUGUAAUCAUUGUUGUGACAUAUGGCAUUUCAACCCAAAAUUAUGCUCAAACCAAUAUAUUGCUCACCAUACAUACAGAAUUUAUACAAUACAAAUAGGUUUUGUCGCGGGUUAACCGAGGCUUUUGCUCAUGGCUGUUCAACUUUUGUUGCUCAAUAAUGUUGUGCCUAUACUUUCAAUCGGUUUGGCUCAAGGUUAUUGUCCCCGUGACGCUUUUGCUUCAGUGGCCGUUGUUAUGGUAAGCGAGUUUGGGUUGUGUUUUUGUAGGCCGGGCUUCAACUUUCGUAGUGUAAGAGGUUCGGUUCCAUUCCUUGUGAUGUUAGGUCAUUUAGGGUGCUCUGUCUAGUCGAACCUCUAUGGCGUUGUAUGGGUCAUGCCUUUUGCGGUGUUGUAGCAUCGUUCUUUCUUAAGGAAUUCAGGUGCAGCUAGAUCUUCCGCAUGGUUCUGAAAAUAAAAAUAAAAGAAUGGGCCAAUUGUUUUUUCAUUGUUAAACGAAAGAAUAUGGCUUCUCUGCCUUUUAGUUACUACUAGUGGGCUGAUUGUUCUGAAUAUGGCUUCUUUUCCUUGAACUCCAAAAAAAUGGGUAAUUUUCCCUUUUAGCAAAGCACACAAAAAGGCAGGGUUACUUACCCUUUAUUUUGAAUGAAAAACACUUAAAAAUCCCUGCGGUUGACUGGUGUUUUGUUAAUAAAAAGAAGAAGGGAGUAUGAAAGCAGGAAGGUUGGAGGGGAAAGCGAAGGAAGCGAGUGAUCGGUUUAUUCCUGUAGUUCCCUUCCCUACACACUCAUGCAAGCGGUUUUAUUCUUGCGGUGUCCCCAUCACGCUUGUGCUUCGGUCGAUGUUGUUGUCAUUGUUUCCACGGUGAUCGAGUUUGGGUUGCGUUUGUCACGGUAGUCAUAUUUUUUUCGUUGUUAGCCGAAAGAAUAUAGGUCGUUUGCCUCUUAAUUGCUAGCAAAGCACACAUAGAAAGGCAUGAUUGAUUUCUUGGAAUGAGCAGGCUGGUUGUUUUUGUCUUGAAACCCCAGAAAAUGGCCCUUUUAGCAAAGCAGAAGAAAAGACAGGGUUACUUACUUUAUUUGGAAAUGGAAAGCUCUUAAAAAUCCCAGCAGUUGACUGGUGUUUGUUAAUCAGAAGAAGAUAGGAAGAAAGGAGUAUGGAGCCGGGAAGGUGGGUGGGGAAAGCGAAGGGAGCGGUUUAUUCUUGCAGUCCCCUUUCCCACAUGCUCAUGCAAGCGGUUUAUCCUUGUAGUGUCCCCGCGACGCUUGUGCUUCGAUCGAUGUUGUCGUCAUGGUAGUCAAGUUUGGAUUGCGUUUGUUGCGGACUAGGUGCUGGGUUUCGCAUCCAUGCCUUGCGAUGUCAUGCCGUUUAGAGUUAAAAAUUUACAAGUGAUUCGAGAAAAAGUAUAGAAGAAGAAAAAGGAGUAUGAAAAUAGUAAGGUGGAAGGGGAAAGCGAAGGGAGAUACCACCAUUGGGUUAUUCUCACAUUUCUUGACCGGUCAUUUUCCUCUUCUUGUUAUGCUUCCACUUGCCUUGCCUACACGCACGCUCCUUCUCCUUCGUUCUUUCUUUCUUGUGCCGACACGGAGUAUUUAACAAAAAACUACCACAUUUAGUGGAACCGUGCCUACAAACUACCAUUUUACAAAUUUGUGUCGAAAACUACCACUUUUUGUCUAAUCUUUGUCUAAAAACUACCAUGUCGGGAAAGUGCCCGAUUCGCCUCUUCUAAACACCUUUCUAACAGGAUGGGCCCACCUGUCAGCAUCAAUCUUCUUCCUCCUCUCUCUCUCUUUGGCAUUUCCUCGAACACCACACGUGCAAUGUUAUGUUGUGUUGUUUGUGGUCUGGUCUUUGUGCUUGUGCAUUAUGGGUCAGUCAAAGAAGAGACAAGCAUGCAAUGGUGGAUGUCUGUUGUUGCAGUGGUUGCAUUGUUGUGUUGUCCUGCUGUCUUGCUAGCUGGUAAUAAUUGUAAUGUGUUGUGCUUGUGAUUGGGCCACCCACAUCAUCCACAUCAUCUUGAUUUAUCUUGUUGGAUGUGGAUAAUAUAAAGUGACAACAAGAUGACCCAUAAUGCCGCGGUGGGCGGUACCACGGUGUUUUGUGCAAUACACCAAAAAAAUCACAGAGCUACGCGAGCCCUCCAUUUAGGCCUUUUUGACCAAAAAAGAGAGAGAAUGAAACGGCGUUAAUAUAUGCACAUAUAACUAUAAUUUUCUGUAAACCCAAAAUAGUAAUGUUGAGAUAUAAUUUCAUUUUGCCAGACCAUAUUUGUCUUUGUGUGGCCUACAUGUGUUUUUUUAAAAAAAAACAAUAAACCCACCAACUCUGCCUGCGCUGCAACUCUAGUUUGUAAAGAUCCAAUAUAAUAUUAUAUGCAUCUUUAUAGUGUUAUGGGUUUGGUUUGUAGGAAAUAUUUUUCCCCUUUGUUUUCUAUACUACAUUUUCCAAUACAUUCCUUGUAAUGUUAAGUCAUUUAGUUCCUCGAAAAAAAUGUAGGUCACUUAGGGUGGUAUGCCUAGUCGAACCUCUAUAGCGUUGUACGGGUCAUGCCUUGUCGGCGUUGUAGCAUCAUUCUUUAUUAACGAAUUCAGGUAGAUCUUCCGCAUGGUUCUAAAAACAAAAAGAAAAGAAUGGGCCAAUUGUCUUUUCAUUGUUAACCGUGUUAAACAACGUUGCUUACAUACAUGUCACGAUCCCAAUCCAACCAGGAGGUGUUCGGCUUUGGUUAGGUUUAGAGAUAUAUUUGGCUAGUAGUUUAAACACAUCACAAUUGUAACUACUUCUAUCUCUCCUCUCCAAGUAAUCUCUCUCGAUCUGUACCAAUCUCCUAAUUCUCUGUAUCGAUCGUGGGGUCGCGUCCCCUCCUUAUAACGUGAACCACGUCCCUCGAGAGAGGUAAGAUGUUUUCCGCUAUCGCACAUGGUAGUCAGAGCCUUCCUUUUCCCAUCCGAAGCUUCUGUCGAAUCCAUCUAAGCCUAGCCAUGUCUUCCUUCUCUGCCUCCGGUGCCUUCUCCUCAAACCUCAAUAGCCAGGUCACGGAGAAGUUGUCCCGCACGAACUACGUGCUAUGGCGAACGCAGAUCACCCCCCAACUGCGUGGCGCCGGCGUCUACGGCUACGUCGACGGCACCACACCGGAGCCGGCGAAGUUCCUCAUCACCACCAAAGAAGGCAAUGAGACUUCAUCACCCAACCCUCUCCACCCUCUCUGGGUCCGGGAGGACCAGCAGGUCCUUGGCUUCCUGCUGGCCAACCUCACAAAGGAGGUUCUGGUGACGGUGACCACGGCCACCACGGCGAGCGCGCUCUGGACGACGCUCGCUGCCAUGUUCUCGUCGCACUCAGCGAGCCGCAUCAACAACAUCCGCACCUCCCUCAUCAACACGCAUAAGGGUAAUCCCUCGGUUGCCUCUUACUUUUCUGCUAUGCGAGGAUAUGCAGAUGAACUAGCCGCGGCAGGCAAGGCCAUCCAGGAUGACGAACUAGUCUCCUACAUCAUCCACAGACUCGACGCCGAUUACCAGCCUCUGGUGUCUGCUCUCGACGCUCGAGUCACCCCCGUCACACUCGAUGAACUCUACACCAUGCUCUCAAACUUCGACCAGCGUGUGGCUCAUUACCACGGGUCUGGCGGCAGCGGCUUCAAAUCUUCAGCCAACAUGGCGUCCCGUGGGCGGGGUGGCGGCUCCCGUUCACGUGGCCCUCCUCGCAAAGGGCAAUCUGGUGGCGGCGGCGGUAGUGACCGCGGCUUCUCUCCUCAGCGCACCGGCGGCAGGGGCCGCAGCCGUCGCGGUCGUGGCAGCGACAGGAUGCGCCCCGACACUCCAAGAUGCCAGAUCUGUGGGAAACCUGGACACACAGCAAAAGAUUGCUGGUACAGGUAUGAGGAUGAUGAUGAUUCCCAAGAUGAUGACAAAGUCGCUGCGGCGGCUGAUGGGUCCUACGGUGUUGACACCAAUUGGUACGUUGACAGUGGGGCCACAAACCACAUCACCAAUGAACUCGAGAAGGUGACCAUGAAGGAAAAAUAUCGCGGCAAGGAUCAAAUCCACACUGCUAGCGGAGAAGGUAUGAGUAUAUGUCAUGUUGGUCACUCAAUAUUUCGUACCCCUAGACGUAAACUACAUCUUAGGAAAAUUUUGCAUGUCCCUAGUGCACACAAAAAUCUUCUUUCUGUUCAUCGAAUUGCCAUCGAUAAUCAUGUUUUUCUCGAGUUUCGCCCUUAUUUCUUUUUGAUCAAGGAUCAGGCAACGAGGGAAAUACUCUAUCGAGGUAGAUGUGUUCGAGGGCUCUAUCCGUUGAUUCCAGAGUUUAGAAGAUUCAAUAAACAAGCUUGUGGUGCUAUCAAGCUUACGUCCACACGAUGGCACGAUCAUUUAGGACAUGCCUCUUUUUCUUUAGUUGAAAAGUUACUUAGGAAAAAUAAGCUCCCGUUUGUUGGUGGGCGUCAUGUUGAAACAAUUUGUGAUUCAUGUCAACGAGCUAAAAGUCAUCAAUUACCAUACCCCGUUUCUACUAGUAUUUCUACCAAACCUCUCCAACUUAUUUUUUCUGAUGUUUGGGGUCCAGCCCCACACUCUGUUGGUAGACAUACGUAUUACGUCAGUUUCAUUGAUGACUACAGUAAAUUCUCUUGGAUCUAUCUUCUCAAACGAAGAUCAGAUGUGUUUCAAGUUUUUCAAAACUUCCAAGCUCUUGUUGAAUGCAAGUUNNNNNNNNNNNNNNNNNNNNNNNNNNNNNNNNNNNNNNNNNNNNNNNNNNNNNNNNNNNNNNNNNNNNNNNNNNNNNNNNNNNNNNNNNNNNNNNNNNNNNNNNNNNNNNNNNNNNNNNNNNNNNNNNNNNNNNNNNNNNNNNNNNNNNNNNNNNNNNNNNNNNNNNNNNNNNNNNNNNNNNNNNNNNNNNNNNNNNNNNNNNNNNNNNNNNNNNNNNNNNNNNNNNNNNNNNNNNNNNNNNNNNNNNNNNNNNCUCCUUCUUCCAGAACCUUGGUAUUUCUCACCAAGUAUCAUGCCCACAUGCUCACCAACAAAAUGGCUCAUUUGAGCGCAAACAUAGACAUAUCAUAGAGGUAGGCCUUGCUCUUUUGGCAGGAGCCUCCAUGCCUCUCAAGUUUUGGGAUGAAGCAUUCCUCACUGCCGUUCACAUUAUCAACAUGCUACACAGUCGUGUUAUUAAUAAUGAAACUCCGGUAGAACGCCUCCUUCACAGAAAACCAGACUACAAAUCUCUUCGAGUCUUUGGGUGUGCAUGUUGGCCAAACCUCCGUCCCUACAACAAUUGCAAACUCAUGUUUCGCUCAAAACAGUGUGUCUUCCUAGGAUACAGCGCCCAUCAUAAAGGUGUCAAAUGUCUAGAUGUCUCCACUGGUCGGGUUUACAUCUCACGUGACGUCGUAUUCGAUGAAACCAAGUUCCCAUUUGCUGAUCUUCACCCCAAUGCUGGCGCCCUUCUUCACAAAGAAAUCCUUCUUCUGCCUUCACAUCUCACUAGUUUUGAUCAAGGGGGGCAAGAUAUCGAUGAUCAACUAUUGACUAACUCAUCUAAUGAUCUGCAUGAGUCUUGUGUUGAUGAUACAGGAGAAAUCCAUGAAGAGAUCGUUGUUGAAAAAAAUUCAGAUGGACCAUAUUUUAUGUGUCCCACAAGCGGAGACAGAUCCUCCUCGGGAUCCAUCCAGGAGUAGCGAAUCAGAUUCGCUUUGGGAUCGCAGCCUGACGUGACAGACGCAGGCGACCGCGUGGUCUUCCCUGAUUCCCGCAGCACCGGUCCCAUGGGCGACACGCGGGCUGCGCCCGCUGGCUGCGCUGGCUUCCCCGCUCCGCGCUAAUCGCCGCCCCCCACUUGGCCGGCUCCGGGUGGCCCAGAAGCUGCGCGCCGCCCCACCCAACCGGUGACCUACAAACGGCGCACGAGCACGCGGUCCAGGGAGGGCGCGGGCCCUGGCGCGGGUCUCGGUGCAGGUCCGACCGCCCCUGGCGCGGAAAAACUGGCGCAGCUGGCGCGGAAACUUGCGUGGGCCCUGGCGCGGGUCCGACCGGCACGGAAAUCCGAGCAGAUACGGAAGCUCCGGGAUUCUUUGUGGCUGCCUCAGGCGCCUCGCCUCGCGUUUCAGCUACAGAAGAUCCGGUGUUGGGUGGCGCUGCUACUGCUGCCGAAUCCUUUUUGGGUUCUGGUCCAGCCAAUGAUUUGGAAACCAUGGGAUCCUCUAUGGCAGCAGAUGUGAGUACUCAGCAGCCACGUCGUACACGCCUUCAACAAGGAAAAAUUCAACCUGUCAACUACAAGCAUAUAUCCAAGUAUGGUAUGGUUUGUUCCACAGGUGAACCAGAUGAACCUAACACCCUUGAAGCAGCACUGUGUGAUGAUAGGUGGAAGAAAGCCAUGAAUGAAGAGUAUAUGGCAUUGAAGAAAAACAAAACAUGGCAUUUGGUUCCCCCACAGCAAGGUAAAAAUUUAAUUGAUUGCAAGUGGGUUUUCAGGAUCAAAAGAAAAGCUGAUGGAACUGUUGAUCGUUAUAAGGCUAGGCUAGUAGCAAAAGGUUUUAAACAGAGAUAUGUCAUAGACUAUGAGGACACGUUUAGUCCGGUGGUAAAGGCUUCCACCAUUCGUCUUGUCCUAUCCAUUGCUGUUUCCAGAGGAUGGAGUCUCAGACAGCUUGAUGUUCAGAACGCGUUUCUCCAUGGUGUUCUGGAAGAGGAAGUGUACAUGAAACAACCUCCUGGGUUUGAGAGUAAGAAUGCUCCUUCAUAUGUAUGCAAGCUUGAUAAGGCACUAUAUGGGUUGAAACAGGUUCCAAGGGCAUGGUAUGCUCGUCUCUAUCACAAAAUGCAAGCACUUGGUUUUGUUCCCUCUAAAUCUGACACAUCAUUGUUCAUCUACAACAAGUCCAACACAUGCAUAUUUGUUCUCAUAUAUGUUGAUAAUAUUAUUGUAACCAUCUCAUCUGAUGAAGCUAUCAGAGGACUUCUUAAAGAUCUAAGUGCAGAAUUUGCUCUAAAGGAUCUUGGUGACUUGCACUAUUUUCUUGGGAUUGAGGUGAAGAAGCACAAAGAUGGACUUCUGCUCUCUCAGGAAAAAUAUGCCACUGAUUUGGUUAAGAAGGCUGGGCUACAGGGAUGCAAGCCUUCUCCCACUGGUGGCUUUGCAGUAUUCUUUGGACCAAAUUUGAUAUUCUGGUGUGCACGAAAACAGGCCACUGUAUCCAGGUCCAGUACAGAGGCAUAAUACAAGGCAUUGGCAAAUGCUACAACUGAAAUAAUAUGGGUUCAGUCUAUGUUGAAGGAACUUGGUGUACAAAGUAAACAAGCUCCCUGCUUAUGGUGUGACAAUCUUGGUGCUACAUAUCUCUCUGCAAAUCCGGUGUUUCAUGCCAGGACAAAGCACAUAGAGAUUGAUUUUCACUUUGUCAGAGAAAGAGUUGCUCAGAAACAACUUGACAUUCGCUUGUGCAUUCCAAAGAUCAACUUGCAGAUGGAUUCACAAAGCCCUUGCCCACAAGAAGCUUUGAAGACUUCAAGCAUAAUCUCAACUUAAUGAAGUUGUGAUUAAGGGAGGGUGUUAAACAACGUUGCCUACAUACAUGUCAUGAUCCCAAUCCAACCAGGAGGUGUUCGGCUUUGUUUAGGUUUAGAGAUAGAUUUGGCUAGUAGUUUAAACACAUCACAAUUGUAACUACUUCUAUCUCUCCUCUCCAAGUAAUCUCUCUCGAUCUGUACCGAUCUCCUGAUUCUCUGUAUCGAUCGUGGGGUCGCGUCCCCUCCUUAUAACGUGAACCACGUCCCUCGAGAGAGGUAAGACGUUUUCCUCUAUCGCACAAACCGAAAGAAUAUGGCUUCUUUGCCUUUUAAUUACUACUAGGCAGUAGCAAAGCACAUAUAAAAAAGGCAUGGUUGAUUUACUUGGAAUGAGCAGGCUGGUUGUUUUUUCCUUGAACCCCCAAAAAUGGGUAAUUUACCCUUUUAGCAAAGCACACAAAAAGGCAGGGUUACUUACUUUUAUGGGAUGUAAAACUCUUAAAAAUUCCAGUUGUUGACUGGUGUUUGUUAAUCAAAAGAAGAAAGGAGCAUAGCGAUCCCACAUAUGACAGAAAUUUAAACAGAGUACUUUGGGCUAAAAACAUCUCGCCGGAGUUCAUCAACCCAACAUACCAUAGUUCACCACGCAUAGCAUAGGUGAGUUUUUGCAAACCAUAAUAAUCAUACAUAGCAUAGGGGAAUCGAAACCUAGCAUAGGGGAUCUACUAGUCGCCGGAGCCGGGGGUGGGCGGGGGUCUACUUCACUGUGGUUCUACUCAUCCGAGUCAGAGUUAUCCGAGUCGGAGUCGUCAUCCUCAUCGUCGCCGUCACCCUCAUCAUCGUCGUCGCUGGAAAUGACCUCGGCGGGCAGCGUUUUCUCUCCGUAAAGGGUGUCGGUGAUGAGGUCACUGUUGAUCCGGGUUUGGAGGUCGUACUCCUCCCAGAGCGCCGGCAGCCGCACAACCGCAGCCGUAUCUCCGGCGUCGGCGGCGGUCCUCGCCUCAAACCACACCCGUCCGGCCGCACGCUGGCGUUGGAGCGCCGGGUCGAAGAACCGGCCGUAGCGCAGGAAGGUCUUCCACCCAUGCGACCUCGAUCCGGCGCUGCGGGGCUUGGCGCAGAAAGUGCACGCCACCUCCCGUUUCUUCUUCGACACCGAAGGGGGGAGGCCAGAGCCGCCGGCCUCGUCGUCGUUUUGACACUUGUGGGCGAAGAAGCUUCCACGCGCGCCGCCUCCACCACGGCACCCGAAGCCACCGCGGUCGCCGAACCCCCUUCCGCUGCCACGCCCCGCACCGGCGGACGCCAUGGUAGCUUCGAUCCGGCGAAAACAGGCCACAAAAGGCUGCCAGAGCGCGCUCGAUUUCUCACUGGAGUACACGAAAUGUGGCGGAGGGGGCUAGAGGAAACGGAGGGCGGAUACCCUAAAUCGACUGGAAGCCGGCAUAUAUAUCGGAUUGGGGGCGGUUUACGGGCCUCGCGUAAACUUUUUACGGGCCGGACUUUUUUCGUGUAUCUGCUCGGGCCGAUUAUUUGGGUCGUCCCGUAUAACGGCCGGAAAAGCGUAGUUCACGGGCCUUAUGCGGGAUCUGCUACAGAUGCUCAAAUAACUAAUAAUAUAGCUUUUGUUUACUAGGGUACGGCGAGUCCUCCAUUUAGCCCAUUUUUUGGACAAAAAAGAAAGAAACGGCGGUAAUAUAUGCACACAUAACUACAAUUUUCUGUUAAUCCAAAAUAGUAAUGAUGAAAAUAUAAUUUCGUUUCGCCAGACCAUAUUUGUCUUCGUGUAGCCUACAUGUGAUGAUUUUAAGAUACUUAUACCCAUGAUAUCUAGUAGAUCGACUAGAUUUGUUGCGCAUGCCAACACGCAAAUGUUAGUUUAAAAAAAACUAUGAACCCUGUGUAAAUUCAUUGCGUUCCUUUUUACUAGUAUUUGAGAUAAAUUCCAAAUUGUUAGGUGUAUUUUCCUUUUACACUAGUAAAAGCCGCCAAUUAUACUCAUGUAAUCAUUGUUGUGACAUGUGGCAUUUCAACCCAAAAUUAUGCUUAAACCACUAUAUUGCUCGAUAAUGUUGUGCCCAUACUUUCAGUCGGUUUGGCUCAAGGUUAUUGUCCCCGUGACGCUUUUGCUUCGGUGGUCGUCGUUGUGGUAAGCGAGUUUGGGUCGUGUUGUUGUGGGUCGGGCUUCAACUUUCGUAGUGUAAGAGUUUUGGUUCCAUUCCUUGUGAUGUUAGGUCAUUUAGGGUACUCUGCCUCUACCUAGUAGACUAGUAGUGCCGCUAUGAUGUUGCAUGGGUCAUGCCUUCUCGGCGUUGUAGCAUCAUUCUUUCUUUAGGAAUUCACGUCCAGCUAGAUCUUCCGCAUGGUUCUGAAAAUAAAAAUGAAAUAAUGGGCCAAUUGUUUUUCAUUGUUAAACGAAAGAAUAUGGCUUCUUUGCCUUUUAAUUACUACUAGUGGGCCAAUUGUUCUGAAUAUGGCUUAAAAUGGGUAAUUUUCCCUUUUAGCAAAGCACACAAAAAGGCAGGGUUACUUACUUUUUUUUUGGAAUGAAAAACUCUUAAAAAUUCCAGCGGUUGACUGGUGUUUGUUAAUAAAAAUAAGAAAGGAGUAUGAAAGUAGGAAGGUGGGAGGGGAAAGCGAAGGAAGCGAGUGAGCGGUUUAUUUUUGUAGUUCCCUUCCCUACACACUCAUGCAAGCGGUUUAUUCUUGCGGUGUCCCCAUGACGCUUGUGCUUCAGUCAAUGCUGUUCUCAUCGUUGUCACGGUGGUCGAGUUUGGGUUGCGUUUGUGACGGUACUCACCUUUUUUCAUUGUUAACGAAAAGAAUAUGGCUCGUUUGCCUUUUAAUUGCUAGCAAAGCACACAUAGAAAAUGCAUGAUUGAUUACUUGUGAUGAGCAGGCUGGUUGUUUUUGUCUUGAACCCCAAAAAAUGGUCCUUUUUAGCAAAGCACAAGAAAAGGCAGGGUUACUUACUUUUUUUGGAAAUGGAAAACUCUUAAAAAUUCAAGUUUGGGUUGCGUUUGUUGCGGAUUGGGUACUGGGUUUUGCAUCCAUGCCUUGCGAUGUCAUGUUGUUUAGAGUUUUUCGGCGAGGCACGCCCUACCCCUAUGAGCACCUCCGAAAGACUGAGCCGGCAGGAAUGUCUCCUCCCACUGAAUGCGCAUCGCCGUAAAUCCUGAAAUAAAUCCAGAAAUAAAUGCGAGCACCAGGAUUUGAACUCUGAUGGACUGGGGAUACCACUGUCCCUCUAACCAUCCAACCACAGGUUGAUUUGCGAGUGAAAAAAGUCUUGAUUAUAUAAGAUUGAUAAUGUCAACAGUUGACCGGUUUGUGUUUGUUUGUUAAUUAUAUUAGUAUAUAUAAAUAAAAGAAGAAAAAGGAGUAUGAAAGCAGUAAGGUGGAAGGGGAAAGCGAAGGAUGGGUUUAUUCUUCCAUUUGUGUUGUAGAAAGAAGUCGUCAUUUUCUUCUUGUUCCACUUCCGUUGCCUUGCCUCCUCCUUCUUUCUUUCUUGUCUAUCAUCAUCAGCAUCCAUCCAUCCACCAAAAUAAAUAAAUAUUCCACCUUUUUGUUUCCAGAUUACCAGAUGAUGAGUUGAUUCAUUCUCAAUAUCCACCAAAAAGGCGGGGUUACUUACUUUUAUGGAAUGGAAAACUCUUAAAAGUUCCAGCAAUUGACUGGUGUUUAUUAAUCAAAAGAUAAAAGGAGUAUAGCGAUCCCGCAUAUGACAAAAAAUUAAACAAAGUACUUCGCGCUAGAAACAUCUCGCCAGAGUUCAUCAACCCAACAUACCAUAGUUCACCACGCAUAGCAUACGGGAGUUUUUACAAACCAUAAUAAUUAUACAUAGCAUAGGGGCACCGAAACAUAGUCGCCCGAGGGGGUGGGCAGGGGUCUACUUCACCGGGGUUCUACUCGUCGGAGUCAGAGUCGUCGCCCUCGUCAUUGUCGUCGCUGGAGAUGACCUUGGCGGGCAGCGGCUUCCCUCCAUGAAUGGUGUCGUAGAUGAGGUCGCAGGAGAUCCGGGUUUGGAGUUGGUACUCAUCCCAGAGCGUCAGCAGCCGCACAGCCGCAACCGCAUCUUCGGCAUCGGCGGUGGUCCUCGCCUCAAACCAUGCCCACUCGGCCUCCCACUGGCACUGGAUCGCCGAGUCGGAGAGCCGGCCGCAGCGCCGGAAGGUAUUCCACGCACGCGAGCUCGAUCCAGCGCUGCAGGACUUGGCGCCACACGUGCACGCCGCCUCCCGUUGCUUCUUCGACACGGGAGAGCGGAGGCCAGAGCCGCCGGCCUCGUUGUCGUUCUGGCGCUUGCGGGCGAAGAAGCCGCCGCGCGCAUCGACUCCACAGCGACACCUGAAGCCACCGCGAUUGCCGAACCCCCUUCCGCCGCCACGCCCCGCACCGGCGGAUGCCAUGGUAGCUUCGAUCUGGCCGAAACAGGCUGCAAUAGGCCGUCGGAGCGCGCUCGAUUUCUCGCCGGAGUACACGAAAUGCGGCGGAGAGGGCUAGAGGAAAUGGAGGGCGGGUACCCUAAAUCGGCCGGAAGCCGGCAUAUAUACCGGAUGGGGGGGGGGGGGCUUUUCAGGGGCCAGGACUUUUUUUGGGUAUCUACUCGGGCCGAUUAUUUGGGUCGUCCCGUAUAACGGGCGGAAAAGCGUAGUUCGCCGGCCUUAUGCGGGAUCUGCUAGAGAUGCUCUAAUAACUUUUCUUUUGCGAAUAAGAGAUGCUCUAAUAACUUUAUAGCUUUUGUUUACUGAGCUACUGCCAGCCCUCCAUUUAGGCUAUUUUUUUGACAGAAAAAGGAAAGAAACGGCGGUAAUAUAUGCACAUAUAACUACAAUUUUCUGUUAAUCCAAAAUAGUAAUGAUGAAAAUAUAAUUUCAUUUUGCCAGACCAUAUUUGUCUUCGUAUAGCUUAUAUGUGACGAUUUUAAGAUACUUAUACCCAUGAUAUCUAGUAGACUAGAUUUGUUGCGCAUGCCAACAUGCAAAUGUUAGUUAAAAAAAAACUAUGAGCCCUGAGUAAGUUCCAUUUUUUUACUAGUAUUUGAGAUAAAUUCCAAAUUGUUAUGUGUAUUUCCUUUUACACUAUCAAAAGCUGGCAAUUAUACUCAUGUAAUCAUUGUUGUGACAUGUGGCAUUUCAACCCAAAAUUAUGCUCAAACCAAUAUAUUGCUCACCAUACAUACAUAAUUUAUACAAUACAAAUAGGUUUUGUCGCGGGUUAACCGAGGCUUUUGCUCAUGUUGUUCAACUUUUGUUGCUCAAUAAUGUUGUGCCUAUACUUUCAGUCGGUUUGGCUCAAGGUUAUUGUCCCCGUGACGCUUUUGCUUCAGUGGUCAUUGUUGUGGUAAGCGAGUUUGGGUCGUGCUGUUGUGGGCCGGGCUUCAACUUUCGUAGUGUAAGAGUUUUCGGUUCCAUUCCUUGUGAUGUUAGGUCAUUUAGGGUGCUAUGUCUAGUCGAACCUCUAUGGCGUUGUAUGGGUCAUGCCUUUUGCGGUGUUGUAGCAUCGUUCUUUCUUUAGGAAUUCAGGUGCAGCUAGAUCUUCCCCAUGGUUCUGAAAAGAAACAAAAGAAAAGAAUGGGGCAAUUUCUUUUUCAUUGUUAACCGAAAGAAUAUGGCUCCUUUUGCCAUUUAAUUACUACUAGCAAAGCACACAUAGAAAAACAUGAUUGAUUACUUGGAAUGAGCAAGAUGGUUGUUUUUGUCUUGAACCCCAGAAUAUGGCCCUUUUAGCAAAGGAGAAGAAAAGGCAGGGUUAAUUACUUUUUUUCCAGAAUGGAAAACUCAGAUUCCAGCAGUUGACUGGUGUUUGUUAAUCAAAAGAAGAAAAGAAAAGAAGAAAGAAGUAUGAAAGUAGGAAGGUGGGAGGGGGAAAGCGAAGGGAGCGAGUGAGCGGUUUAUUCUUGCGGUUCCCAUUCCCACACGCCCAUGCAAGCGGUUUAGUUUUGCAGUGUCCCCGCGACGCUUGUACUUCUGUCGAUGUUGUCGUCAUCAUUGGUCAUGGUAGUCAAGUUUGGAUUGCGUUUGUUGCGGACUGGAUGACGGGUUUCGCAUCCAUGCCUUGCAAUGUCAAAAAAAAUGAGACCAACCCAAGGGCUAACCCUCGUUGGCAUUCUUUUAUAGAAGAAACUCCGUGAGCACGGUAUGUCAAAGCCAGGGCUUCAACUUGGGUGGGCUGGCAGCUACCCAGCUGCCCAGCCAACGGGUCGACGCCCCAUCCUCAUGCCUUGCGAUGUCAUGCCGGUGUGUGUUUGUUUGUUAAUUAAUAAAUACUGGUACAGAAGAAGAAAAAGGAGUAUGAAAGCAGUAAGGUGGGAGGGGAAAGGGAAGGGAGCUACCACUGGGUUGGGUUUAUUCUCCCAUUUCAGUUAGACGAGUCAUUUUCUCCUCCUCCUUCAUUCUGUUUCUUCACUUGCUUCUUUCUUUCUUUCUUUCUUGUGCCGACACAACACAGAGAUCAUGAGAGAGCACCCAUAUUUAUCAUCAGCAUCAGCAUCCAUCCAUCCACCAAAAUAAAUAAAAAUAAAUAUUCCACCUUUCUUCCCCUUUCCUUUUUGUCUUGAGAUUACCUGAUCAUGAGUUGACCCAUUCAUCCUCAGUGCAUACUCUCUAAAAUCUACUCGUAGAUCACCUCACUCUACCUAAUUUCUUUAGCUUACCAAUCCUCCUCUUUACAUAGCGUAGCGUAGGUAGGGGAAAGAAAGGAGUGUGUGUGUCUGUAAAUACUCCCUCCGUCCCAAAAUUCUUGUCUAACAUUUGUCUAAAUACGGAUGUAUCAAAUCACGUUUUAGUAUUAGAUACAUUCAUAUCUAAAUAAAUUUCAGACAAGAAUUUUGGGACGGAGGGAGUACUAAAGCAGCAGUCAGCACUCAGCAGCAAAAAAAUGUUAGGUCAUUUAGGGUGCUAUGUCUAGUCGAACCUCUAUGGCGUUGUACGGGUCAUGCCUUGUCGGCGUUGUAGCAUCAUUCUUUCUUAACGAAUUCAGGUAGAUCUUCCGCAUGGUUCUGAAAACAAAAAGGAAAAGAACGGGCCAAUUGUCUUUUCAUUGUUCCGAAAGAAUAUGGCUUCUUUGCCUUUUAAUUACUACAAGGCAGUAGCAAAGCACACAUAAAAAAAAGGCAUGAUUGGAUUUACUUGGAAUGAGCAGGCUGGCUGUUUUUUCCUUGAACUCCAAAAAAAUGGGUAAUUUACCCUUUUAGCAAAGCACACAAAAAGGCAGGGUUACUUACUUUGAUGGGAUGGAAAACUCUUAAAAAUUCCAGCUGUUGACUGGUGUUUGUUAAUCAAAAGAAGAAAGGAGUAUAGCGAUCCCACAUAUGACAUAAAUUUAAACAGAGUACUUUGCGCUAAAAACAUCUCGCCGGAGUUCAUCAACCCAACAUACCAUAGUUCACCACGCAUAGCAUAGGAGAGUUUUUGCAAACCAUAAUAAUUAUACAUAGCAUAGGGGAAUCGAAACAUAGCAUAGGGGAUCUACUAGUCGCCGGAGCCGGGGGUGGGCGGGGGUCUACUUCACUGAGGUGCUACUCAUCUGAGUCAGAGUUAUCCGAGUCAAAGUCGUCGCCCACAUCGUCGCCGUCACCCUCAUCGUCGUUGUCGCUGGAGAUGACCUCGGUGGGCAGCGGCUUCCCUCCGUAAAGGGUGUCGGUGAUGAGGUCACCGUAGAUCCGGGUUUGGAGGUCGUACUCCUCCCAGAGCGCUGGCAGUCACGCAGCCGCAGCCGCAUCUCCGGCGUCGGCGGCGGUCCUCGCCUCAAACCACGCCCGUCCGGCCUCACGCUGGCGCUGGAGCGCCGGGUCGAAGAGCCGGCCGUAGCGCAGGAAGGUCUUCCACCCAUGCGACCUCGAUCCGGCGCUGCGGGACUUGGCGCAACAAGUGCACACCGCCUCCCGUUUCUUCUUCGACAAAGGAGGGGGGAGGCCAGAGCCGCCGGCCUCGUCGUCGUUUUGGUGCUUGCGGGCAAAGAAGCCACCGCGCGCGCCGCCUCCACCACGGCACCCGAAGCCACCACGGUCACCGAACCCCCUCCCGCCGCCACGGCCCGCACUGGCGGACACCAUGGUAGCUUCGAUCCGGAGGAAAACAGGCCGCAAAAGGCUGCCGGAGCACGCUCGAUUUCUCGCCGGAGUACACGAAAUGCGGCGGAGGGGGCUAGAGGAAAUGGAGGGCGGAUACCCUAAAUCGAUUGGAAGCCGGCAUAUAUACCAGAUUGGGGGCGGUUUACGGGCCUCCCGUAAACUUUUUACGGGCCGGGACUUUUUCCGGGUAUCUGCUCGGGCUGAUUAUUUGGAUCGUCCCGCUAGAGAUGCUCUAAUAACUAAUAAUAUAGCUUUUCUUUACUGAGCUAAGGCGAGCCCUCCAUUUAGGCCACUUUUUGGACAGGAAAAGAAAGAAACGGCGGUAAUAUAUGCACACAUAACUACAAUUUUCUGUCAAUCCAGAAUAGUAAUGAUGAAAAUAAUAUAAUUUCAUUUUGCCGACAUAUUUGUCUUCGUGUAGUCUACAUGUGAUGAUUUUAAGAUACUUAUACCCAUGAUAUCCAGUAGAUCGACUAGAUUUGUUGCGCAUGCCAACAUGCAAAUGUUAGUUUAAGAAAAACUAUGAACCAUGUGUAAAUUCAUUGCGUUCCUUUUUACUAGUAUUUGAGAUAAAUUCCAAAUUGUUAGGUGUAUUUUCCUUUUACACUAGUAAAAGCCGCCAAUUAUACUCAUGUAAUCAUUGUUGUGACAUGUGGCAUUUCAACCCAAAAUUAUGCUUAAACCAGUAUAUUGCUCAAUAAUGUUGUGCCCAUACUUUCAAUCGGUUUGGCUCAAGGUUAUUGUCCCCAUGACGCUUUUGCUUCGGUGGUCGUCGUUGUGGUAAGCGAGUUUGGGUCGUGUUGUUGUGGGUCGGGCUUCCACUUUCGUAGUGUAAGAGUUUCGGUUCCAUUCCUUGUGAUGUUAGGUCAUUUAGGGUGCUCUGCCUCUACCUAGUAGUGCCUCUAUGAUGUUGCAUGGGUCAUGCCUUCUCGGCGUUGUAGCAUCAUUCUUUCUUUAGGAAUUCACGUGCAGCUAGAUCUUCCGCAUGGUUCUGAAAAUAAAAAGGAAAUAAUGGGCCAAUUGUUUUUCAUUGUUAAACGAAAGAAUAUGGCUUCUUUGCCUUUAAUUACUACUAGUGGGCUAAUUGUUCUGAAUAUGGCUUAAAAUGGGUAAUUUUCCCUUUUAGCAAAGCACACAAAAAGGCAGGGUCACUUACUUUUUUUUGGAAUGAAAAACUCUUAAAAAUUCCAGCGGUUGACUGGUGUUUGUAAUAAAAAGAAGAAAGGAGUAUGAAAGUAGGAAGGUGGGAGGGGAAAGCGAAGGAAGCGAGUGAGCGGUUUAUUUUUGUAGUUCCCUUCCCUACACACUCAUGCAAGCGGUUUAUUCUUGCGGUGUCCCCAUGACGCUUGUGCUUCAGUCGAUGUUGUUGUCAUCGUUGUCACGGUGGUCGAGUUUGGGUUGUGUUUGUGACGGUACUCAUCUUUUUUCAUUGUUAAUGGAAAGAAUAUGGCUCGUUUGCCUUUUAAUUGCUAGCAAAGCACACAUAGAAAAGGCAUGAUUGAUUACUUGGGAUGAGCAGGCUGGUUGUUUUUGUCUUGAACCCCAGAAAAUGGCCCUUUUAGCAAAGCACAAGAAAAGUCAGGGUUACUUACUUUUUUUGGGAAUGGAAAACUCUUAAAAAUUCCAGCAGUUGGUGUUUGUUAAUCAAAAGAAUAAAAGAAAAGAUAAAAGAAGAACAAAGAAGUAUGAGAGCGGGAAGGUGGGAGGGGAAAGCGAGUGAGCGGUUUAUUCUUGCGGUUCCCUUUUCCACACGCUCAUGCAAGCGGUUUAUUCUUGCAGUGUCCUCGGGACGCUUGUGCUUCGUUGAUGUUGUCGUCAUCGUAGUCAAGUUUGGGUUGCGUUUGUUGCAGAUUGGGUGCUGGGUUUCGCAUCCAUGCCUUGCGAUGUCAUGUUGUUUAGAGUUUUUCGGCGAAGCACGCCCCUGUGGCGUAAUAGUUUCAUCCCUAUGAACGCACACACGCAAACCCUACCCCUAUGAGCACCUCCGAAAGACUGAGCUGGCAGGAACGUCUCCUCCCACUGAAUGUGCAUCGCCGGAAAUCCUGAAAUAAAUCCAGGAAUAAAUGCGAGUACCAGGAUUUAAACCCUGGUGGGCUGGGGAUACCACAGUCCCUCUAACCAUCCAACCACAGGUUGAUUCGCGAGUGAAAGAAGUCUUGAUUAUAUAAGAUUGAUAAUGUCAGCAGUUGACCGGUGUGUUUGUUUGUUAAUUAUAUUAGUAUAUAUAAAUAAAAGAAGAAAAAGGAGUAUGAAAGCAGUAAGGUGGAAGGGGAAAGCGAAGGAUGGGUUUAUUCUUCCAUUUGUGUUGUAGAAAGAAGUCGUCAUUUUCUUCUUGUUCCACUUCGGUUGCCUUUGCCUCCUUCUUCUUUCUUUCUUGUCUAUCAUCAUCAGCAUCCAUCCAUCCAUUCCUAGUUGGUGCAGAGGCCGGGGAAGUGAAAUUCUCCCCCAUUUUUUAAGAUCCAACCUCGGUGUAAACCCGUUCCUUCAGAGAAGCGAUGGUGAAUUGCUAGGUUCCAUAUCGGACUGCAGAGGAACAGGAGGCGAUGCGGGGGGCGACUGGCGGCUCGUCCGUCGGAAUCACCGCGGGGUCAGCGUCCUACGCGUCCGGUGAUCGCCGGUGCGUGGGGGGCCGCUUCUGGGCCCUGGCCGAUGCUGACGAAGGUGAGGGAGAUGAAGAUCCGGACGUGGCGGCGCCGCUAUCUCCUUCAUCGGCGACUCCCUCAGACUACAUUUGCGAUUUUUUGAGCGUUGGGUACGACGAAGCCGAUGUGGCCGCCACCAUUGAUGAAAUCCUUCCAGUUGACGAUCCGGCGAGAGUCGGGCUUAGUGCGCGGGAGACAACAGAGAUGGUUCGCCGGAUUGUCCACAGGAGAACGGCGGCGGCGGCAGCUCGGCCCUGGAAGGGUCCUUUACCUAAGGUACGUCUUCUGAAUUUGACCUUGUUCGAUAUGAUUCGGCCGGAUUCAUGGACAUUGGUGAAGAGACGAAAGAAUUCUCGCCGGAAUGGAUGUAGAUCGACGCCGGAGGUGACUGCGGCGGCCUCGCCGGCGGUCACGGCGAUCCCGAUCCGGCUCGCUCGCAAGGAGCGUUUGAACAUGUUACUGGGCCGAGCCGAUCCUGAGGUUGUUGGGCUGGCUGGUAUUCUUGGGCCGAGGUCUGGUGGGUAUGAGGCCUAGGCAGAAUCGAUUCCAAUCGUUAUAGAGGGGGGGGACGCAUGCAUGUAUCGAUCAUCGUCGUCCACCCAGUCGCUGCGCCCUAGGGUUUUCCGUCGCCCAUCGCGAUUGCGUACCGCGGGUCCUGGCCGAGCGCGCUGUAUUCCACCUCUCGGAGUGAUGGCAGGGCCUGGAGGCGCGCCUCCUCCCGGAAAGCGGCCGCACCAGCCGGGGGGGCUUCUCGGGCCAUUGGGGCGCCGCCGCCUAGCCAUGGCACUGGCCGGGGUGCGUAGCCGGCGCAGGUGCCAGGUGCGAGGCGUGGCCGCGUCGAGAUCCCCAGCGCUGUGGCAGGCCGCGGGUCGGGUGGACCUGUGGUGCAGCCCUCUGUUGGCGGGGUUCCAGCUGCGAGGCAGCCAGCCCCGUCCUUGCCUUCGGGCGGGCGUGGCGGACAGGGAGCCGGUCCUCGACCGGUGGCUGCUGACGGUGCUGCGGCAGCAGCUGCGGGUCGGGGCAUUGCUCCUCUCAAGCCGCCGGCAUCUUCGGAUCCGCAUCCCAGAUCGGCCCCUCCUCCCAACGUCGUCACUCGCCCGCUUCCGCUGUCGCAGCCCAACGCGGUUGGGGCUGUGGUUGCGCCCCGAGGGCAGUGGGGGGAUGAUGGCUACGACGCGUAUGGGGCUGGCCAGCACCGUGGUUCGUCGUCCACGGGUGGAGGCCGUGGGUAUGCUUGGCAAAGCGACGGCUCGGCUGAGAGACUGUUCUUGGGUCCGUUCGGUGGUUUCGUUGAGGGGCCUUCCGGUCCGGGUAAUUGGCAGCGGGGAGGUUUCCGGGGCCAUCGUGGUGGUCGGGGUGGUCGAGGGGGUCGGUUCCGUCCACGACAACCGCCCCUCCCGCUGUUGUCGAGCAGACGACAGAGAGCGGGGCUGCCGAGGAGCCAGUGUUGACCGGUCGUGCGAUGGAGGUGGUGACGGCUCUUGCCACUGUCCAGGUUCCUGAGAACGAGGUUAUGGCUGAUGUGUCAGUGGAGUUGUCGGACAGGGCUGAGUCUGACAGGGCGUCCAAAUGGGCUCGCAAGAAGGAAAAGAUGCUUUGCUAUAGAUGUGGUGAAAAGGGCCACUUCAUUGCGGAGUGUGUGGUUCCGCUUUGUGAUACCUGUGGUAAACCGGCACAUGACUCUGGGGACUGCCCAAUGCUACGAGAUCAGGCGCCGUCACUUAUGAUGUACGGAGUUUACUGUGCUGAGCUCAUGUUUUUUGAGUCUUCGAUUGAGAGAGAGGUGGAUUAUGAGACGACGACCAUGAAUACGGGGAUUGUUAAGGUCACUAAAGGGGAGGUUUCUAAGGCACAGAUCGUGCAGAGGCUUCGGGAGUUGGCCCCCGGAGACUUCCAGUGGGAUCUCUUCAGCCUCACUGAUAAGAUGUUCAAGGUUGAGUUUCCUUCAGUGGAGGAUCUGCAGAGGUUGCUGAGUUUUGGGAUGUGUAAAGUGCCAGGAACUGAUUGCGUCCUUGAGUUUCACGAGUGGAAGCAGGUAGAGCCUCAGGGCAAGCCUCUUACUCAGGCGUGGUUGCGGUUCUCCGGAGUCCCUUCCAAGCCGUUGCAGGAUGCUCGGGUUGUGGCCAGUUUGGGUAUUUUGAUGGGAAAGCCUGAGAGGGUGGAUAUGGCGUUUACCAGAGCUCACAGGAUUGCUCGGGUUCUGGUUAGUAUUCUGAACACUGACUUUGUGCCGGAGGUUGUCAAGUGGGCUUAUCGAGGCAUGAUUUAUAGUCUGGUUAUUGAGUUUGAGGAUGAGAGCCUUCUGGCGGCGGACGCUCAUGGGUCGGACGUGGAUAUGCACGAGGGCGAUGGUAGCGCGGGGGCUAAGGAUCCGCCGGUCGAUGACUCUGGACGGCUGCAGUCCAAUGGACCGGGGUCUGAGAGCACGACGACUGAGGGAGGAGCGGCUCCACCUUCCUCGGUGCCUAUGACGACUUUGAGAUUUGGGUCCUUUGAACCCGCUUCUGCUCCCCCGAGACUGUGGAGCGAUCGGGUGGAGUCCGAGGAGGCUUCUGAGUAUGCGUUGCCUACUUUGGACUUUGAGGAUGCUCUUUGUGCUAGUCUGGGGGUUCCUGGUGAUUCGUCGGUACCGGUUUGGGGAGUGGGGGAGGUGAGUCGGCAGGUGGCCACUCCCUCUCGUGCUCACCACGGUGUUCCUCCCCAGGACGUGGCUGGUCUGUCGGCUGAGGGCCCGGGGCAGGAGGCCUCGGGUUACCCUUCUUCUGCCGACGUUGGACCGUUGGGACACGAGGCGCCCGUGUCUGUCGUUGCGCUGGGAGGGGGUUUGGGGCAGGUGGCCUCGGACACCUAUUCUCCCGUCGCAUCGUUCCUGCUGCCAGUGGCGCCCGUGCCGUCGGGAGGGGGCUCGGGGAAGGUGACCUCGGCGCCCUCCUCCCCUGAGGCGCCUACGGCAUUGGCCUCUCCGGUGCAUGGUGGGGAGCUCGGGCAGGUGGCCCAUGCACCCCCUUCCCCCCGUUCACCUCUAGCUCUGCCUUGUGAGGUGAGCCCGUCGCCGGUGGUCGGGGCUUCUGCUCAGCCUCGCCAGAGGAGUGAGGCAGGAGGUCCUACCCUGUCCAGGUUCUCUCGUGAGGAGGUGAUUGCGUUUGGAGGGAUUCAGGACCAGAUGUCUGAGGGGCGACGGGUGAGCGAUCGCCUCCAGACUAUGCCUAAUGUGGACGACAUCCAGCAGCGGUGCGCCAUGAGGGCAGCCAAGCUCUGUGACGUUGAGGUCACUACUGGUAUGUCGGUUAAUAUUUCUAAUUCCAUUAUGCAUUUUUUUAAUGAUGAGAUUGUUGAAAAUGCAAAUCAAUUAGGAGUCUCACUUGGUAGUAAUGUCACUAGAAUCUCUAAUUCCGUUAAUGACCUUCUUGAUCUAGAGGCUGAGAGGGCCUUAGAGAUGAUUCGUAACAUUGCGGCCGUUAGGCCUAUGAGUGAUUCUGAGGUUGAGGCUCUGGGGGUCAGGGUGCUUGAUCCUUUCUGUGCGGACCUUAUUCAUGCUAUUCCGGAGGCGGAGGAGGAGGAGGAUGAAACUUCUCAGGCGGUUUUGCAUGGACCUUCUGCGACGGGUUGUGAGGACCAGUCACAAAGCCAUGUUAAUCCGAAACGCAAGUGGAAACGGAAGGUGUACCCGGUGUCCACGGUGCGUAGGAGUGCUAGGAUUCGUACGGCUAAAAAAUUCCAUGAUGAACUAUGAAAGGAAUCUUUUGGAAUAGCAGAGGUCUAAAGGACUUGUCUAAAAGAAGAUUUCUUGCUGAGGCGGCGGUCGAGCAUCGAUUAGAUUUUAUAGCUCUAUCGGAGACCGGUAGAGAUAAUUUUGCGCCUCAGUUUCUUAGUACUUUGUCAGGCGGGAUUGACUUCGAUUGGCAUUGCUUGCCAACGAGAGGGAGAUCGGGUGGGAUCUUGCUCGGCGUUCGAUGCAAAGCGCUCGAGGUUCGAAGUGUGGUUAUGGGUGACUUUGCGGUCAUGUUUCGGGUUAGAUCGAAGGAGGAUGGUUUUAAUUGGGCUCUGGUUGCAGUAUAUGGGGCUGCGCAACCCGAACUCAAGCCCGAGUUCUUGGUGGAUCUCGUUAGGAUUUGCGGCUCCGAGCAGCUUCCUAUCCUGGUGGGGGGCGAUUUUAAUAUCAUUAGACGGCGUGAGGAUAAGAACAAUGAUAACUUUGAUGGCCGAUGGUCAUUCAUGUUUAAUACUAUCAUUGAAAGUCUUGACCUGAGAGAAAUUGAGCUCUCUGGUAGGAAAUUUACCUGGGCUAACGCGUUGCCAAAUCCGACGUAUGAGAAGUUGGAUAGAGUGUUGGCGAGCGUCGAGUGGGAACAGAAGUUUCCUCUAGUAACAGUUCAGGCUUUGUCCCGUGGGAUUUCUGAUCACACGCCGUUGUUUGUGGACUCCGGUGAGGCCACCCACCUGGGUAAUAAAAACUCCUUCUCGUUUGAGCUGGCUUGGUUUGAACGAGAAGGUUUCUUUGAUCUCGUAGCCAGAGAGUGGGCUAAGGAUUCAGGAGGGAAGACUGCGAUCCAGCGCUGGUAGAAUAAGAUUAGGCAUUUGAGAAGCUUCCUGCGUGGUUGGGCUAAACAUCUUAGCGGGAUUUAUAAGGUCGAAAAGGAAAGGCUCCUUUCCCUUAUUCAGGCCCUAGAUGUGAAAGAUGAAACCACGGUUCUGCCGGCCGCGGAGCUUCAUGCCAAGCUUGAUGCAGAGAUGAGGCUGAAAGAACUCCUUCGAGAGGAAAAAUUGAAGUGGGCGUUGCGGGCCAAGGUCCGGCGAGUAGUCUAGGGGGAUGCGAACACUCAAUUUUUUCACAUGAUCGCUAAUGGUAAACAUAGAAAGAAGAGGAUCUUUCAGCUUGAGCAAGAUGAAUGAACAAUUGUAGGUCAUGAAAACCUUAAGUAGUAUAUUACUGAGUACUACAAGCAGCUAUUUGGUCCUCCCGAGGAUAACUGCGUGUCCUUGGAUGAGUCCAGGGUUGAGGAUGUCCCUCAACUCACAGCGGUGGAGAAUCAUAUUCUCGCGGCACCUUUUUCUGAGAAAGAGGUGUUCGAGGCCAUAUCGCAGAUGAAGAAUAAUAAGGCACCGGGCCCUGAUGGUUUUCCGGCAGAGUUUUAUAAAAAGUGCUGGCAUAUUAUUAAGGGGGAUCUGUUGCCUCUGUUUAAUAAUCUCUUCUCUGGACAGCUUCAGCUUUUCCAGUUGAAUUUUGGGACGAUAACCCUUCUCCCUAAGAAAACAGAGGCUGUGAGAAUUGAGAAAUUCAGGCCCAUCUGUCUUCUGAAUGUUAGCUUCAAAAUCUUUACCAAGGUUGGGACUAAUAGGCUCACAAAGAUUGCGCAUGCGAUGGUAUAGCCUACCCAAACUGCUUUCAUGCCGGACAGGAACAUCCUUGAAGGGGUUGUGGUCCUUCAUGAAACGCUCCAUGAGAUCCACACGAAAAAGCUGGACGGGGUUAUUUUCAAAGUGGAUUUCGAUAAAGCGUAUGACAAAGUCAAAUGGCCCUUCCUUCAACAGGCCUUGCGUAUGAAGGGAUUCGAUGAAGCUUGGCGACGCGAGGUAGAAUCCUUCACGCAAAAAGGGAGUGUUAGAAUUAAAGUGAAUGACGAUAUAGGUCAUUAUUUCCAGACACACAAAGGCCUGAGGCAAGGUGAUCCGAUGUCUCCUGUUUUGUUCAACAUUGUGGCGGACAUGUUGGCAAUUCUUAUAGGAAGGGCAAAGGAGGCCGGUCAGGUGGGUGGCUUGGUGCCUCAUCUGGUUGACGGGGGUGUCUCCAUUCUGCAGUACGCUGAUGAUACAAUCAUCUUUAUGGAGCAUGACUUGGUAAAAGCGAGAAAUAUGAAGCUAGUGUUAUGCUUAUUUGAACAAUUGUCCGGAUUAAAGAUUAACUUUCACAAAAACGAGUUGUUCUGCUUUGGUAGAGCCAAGGAGGAACAAGAGGCUUAUAGGCAAUUGUUUGGUUGUGAGUUAGGGGCUUUACCUUUCACGUACCUAGGUAUACCCAUUCACCAUCGUAAGCUAACGUGGGCACAGAUUCUUCGUAACAAGUAUCUGCAGUCCAAGACUUUGUCACAGGUGACCGUGAGACAAAUGGACUCGCCGUUUUGGAAGGGGCUUAUGAGAGUUAAGGCCGCCUUCUUUAAUAGAACAAAGUUUGUCGUCGAUAAUGGUAACAAUACCCGUUUCUGGGAGGAUACGUGGCUUGGUGAUACACCAUUGGCGUUACAGUAUCCGUCCCUGUAUCGUAUUGUUCAACGACGUGACGCGCUGGUUGCAACGAUUAUGCAGUCCGUUCCCCUUAAUAUCCAGUUUCGGAGGGUGCUUAUUGGUGAUAGGUGGGAAGCUUGGCUUCAUCUGGUGACUAGACUGAUGGAGGUUCAGUUAGCUCAUCAGCCCGAUCAAUUGUGUUGGAAACUUACUGGGUCUGGAGUGUUUACGGUUAGGUCGAUGUAUAUCGAUGUCAUUAACUCUAGCAUCAUUCCUAGUUCCAAACAUGUUUGGAAAGUUAAAGUUCCUUUGAAGAUUAAAGUGUUUAUGUGGUUUGUACAUAAACAAGUCAUUUUAACAAAGGACAACUUGGUUAAGCGCAAUUGGACAGGCUCUAUUAGGUGUAGCUUCUGUAAUCGGGACGAGACCAUUAAGCACCUCUUCUUCGAGUGCCCAUUGGCGAGAGUCUUAUGGCGCACGGUGCAAAUUUCCUUUAACAUUACUCCACCGGACUCGGUAGGUUCGUUGUUUGGAACGUGGCUGGCUGGGAUAGAGUCCGAAACCGCUGGACACAUUCGUGUUGGAGUAUGUGCGUUGUUAUGGGCAAUUUGGAACUGCAGGAAUGAUUUGGCUUUUAACAGAACAACAGCUAUUCAUUUUUUGCAGGUUUUAUUCCAUGCUACGGCGCUGAUCCGUUUGUGGUCCUUACUCACUCCGAUGGCAGCCAGUGAGCGUUUGGUUACUGGGUCUGUCCGGUGGGAGAUGGUUGCGCGGGAUAUCUUCAACCGGUUUGGAUGGCGGUCGUGUAAUAGGAUAGGUGAUUAGUUUUCCUAUCUUUUUUCUGCCAGCCGGUUGUGGCUUUGUGGCCUUUGUUAUGUUUGCAUCGAGGCUCUGUGUGAGCUUCCCUCUAUUUACAUUUUCAGACUUUCAGACUCUGUAAAGCCUUUUUACUUAUAUUUAUGACCGUAUGCAUCGUUCUGAUGCAGAGGCCAGGGAGCCCCCCUUUUCUAAAAAAACCAAAAAGGCAGGGUUACUUACUUUUAUGGAAUGGAAAAACUCUUAAAAAUUCCAGCAAUUGACUCAUGUUUGUUAAUCAAAAGAAGAAAGGAGUAUAGCGAUCCCGCAUAUGACAAAAAUUUAAACAAAGUACUUCGCGCUAGAAACAUCUCGCCAGAGUUCAUCAACCCAACAUACCAUAGUUCACCACGCAUAGCAUACGGGAGUUUUUACAAACCAUAAUAAUUAUACAUAGCAUAGGGGCACCGAAACAUAGCAUAGGAGAUCUACUAGCCCCCGGAGGGGGUGGGCAGGGGUCUACUUCACCGGGGUUCUACUCGUCCGAGUCAGAGUCGUCACCCUCGUCAUUAUCGUCGCUGGAGAUGACCUCGGCGGGCAGCGGCUUCCCUCCAUGAAUGGUGUCAUAGAUGAGGUCGCGGUAGAUCCGGGUUUGGAGUUGGUACUCAUCCCAGAGCGUCAGCAGCCGCACAACCGCAACCGCAUCUUCGGCAUCGGCGGCGGUUCUCGCCUCAAACCACGCCCACUCGGCCUCCCACUGGCGCUGGAUCGCCGAGUCAAAGAGCCGGACGCAGCGCCGGAAGGUCUUCCACGCACGCGACCUCGAUCCAGCGCUGCGGGACUUGGCGCCACGCGUGCACGCGGCCUCCCGUUGCUUCUUCGACACCGGAGAGCGGAGGCCAGAGCCGCCGGCCUCGUCGUCGUUCUGGCGCUUGCGGGCGAAGAAGCCGCCGCGCGCAUCGACUCCACAACGACACCUGAAGCCACCACGAUUUCCGAACCCCCUUCCGCUGCCACGCCCCGCACCGGCGGAUGCCAUGGUAGCUUCGAUCCGGCGGAAAACAUGCUACAAUAGGCCGUCGGAGCGCGCUCGAUUUCUCGCCGGAGUACACGAAAUGCGGCGGAGAGGGCUAGAGGAAAUGGAGGGCGAGUACCCUAAAUCGGCCGGAAGCCGGCAUAUAUACCAGAUGGGGGGGCUUUUCAUGGGCCGGGACUUUUUUUGGGUAUCAGCUCGGGCCGAUUAUUUGGGUCGUCCUGUAUAACAGGCGGAAAAGCGUAGUUCGCCGGCCUUAUGCGGGAUCUGCUAGAGAUGCUCUAAUAACUUUUUUUGCGAAUAAGAGAUGCUCUAAUACUGAGCUACGGCAAGCCCUCCAUUUAGGCUAUUUUUUGGACAGAAAAAGGAAAGAAACGGCUGUAAUAUAUGCACAUAUAACUACAAUUUUCUGUUAAUCUAAAAUAGUAAUGAUGAAAAUAUAAUUUCAUUUUGCCAGACCAUAUUUGUCUUCGUGUAGCUUAUAUGUGAUGAUUUUAAGAUACUUAUACCCAUGAUAUCUAGUAGGCUAGAUUUGUUGCGCAUGCCAACAUGCAAGUGUUAGUUUAAAAAAAACUAUGAACCCUGAGAAAGUUCCUUUUUUUUACUAGUAUUUGAGAUAAAUUCCAGAUUGUUAUGUGUAUUUUCGUUUUACACUAGUAAAGCCGGCAAUUACUCAUUUAAUCAUUGUUGUGACAUGUGGCAUUUCAACCCAAAAUUAUGCGCAAACCAAUAUAUAGCUCACCAUACAUACAUAAUAUAUACAAUACAAAUAGGUUUUGUCGCGGGUUAACCGAGGCUUUUGCUCAUGGCUGUUCAACUUUUGUUGCUCAAUAAUGUUGUGCCUAUACUUUCAAUCGGUUUGGCUCAAGGUUAUUGUCCCCGUGACGCUUUUGCUUCAGUGGCCGUUGUUGUGGUAAGCGAGUUUGGGUCGUGUUUUUGUAGGCCGGGCUUCAACUUUCGUAGUGUAAGAGUUUCGGUUCCAUUCCUUGUGAUGUUAGGUCAUUUAGGGUGCUAUGUCUAGCCGAACCUCUAUGGCGUUGUAUGGGUCAUGCCUUUUGCGGUGUUGUAGCAUCAUUCUUUCUUAAGGAAUUCAGGUGCAGCUAGAUCUUCCGCAUGGUUAUGAAAAUAAAAAUAAAAGAAUGGGCCAAUUGUUUUUUCAUUGUUAAACGAAAGAAUAUGGCUUCUCUUCCUUUUAGUUACUACUAGUGGGCUGAUUGUUCUGAAUAUGGCUUCUUUUCCUUGAACUCCAAAAAAAUGGGUAAUUUUCCCUUUUAGCAAAGCACACAAAAAGGCAGGGUUACUUACCUUUUUUUUGAAUGAAAAACACUUAAAAAUCCCUGCGGUUGACUGGUGUUUUGUUAAUAAAAAGAAGAAAGGAGUAUGAAAGCAGGAAGGUUGGAGGGGAAAGCGAAGGAAGCGAGUGAUCGGUUUAUUCUUGUAGUUCCCUUCCCUACACACUCAUGCAAGCGGUUUUAUUCUUGCAGUGUCCCCAUCAUGCUUGUGCUUCGGUCGAUGUUGUUGUCAUCGUUUCCACGGUGAUCGAGUUUGGGUUGCGUUUGUCACGGUAGUCAUAUUUUUUUCGUUGUUAGCCGAAAGAAUAUAGGUCGUUUGCCUUUUAAUUGCUUGCAAAGCACACAUAGAAAGGCAUGAUUGAUUUCUUGGAAUGAGCAGGCUGGUUGUUUUUGUCUUGAAACCCCAGAAAAUGGCCCUUUUAGCAAAGCAGAAGAAAAGACAGGGUUACUUACUUUAUUUGGAAAUGAAAAGCUCUUAAAAAUCCCAGCAGUUGACUGGUGUUUGUUAAUCAGAAGAAGAUAGGAAGAAAGGAGUAUGGAGCCGGGAAGGUGGGUGGGGAAAGCGAAGGGAGCGGUUUAUUCUUGCAGUUCCCUUUCCCACAUGCUCAUGCAAGCGGUUUAUCCUUGUAGUGUCCCCGCGACGCUUGUGCUUCGAUCGAUGUUGUCGUCAUGGUAGUCAAGUUUGGAUUGCGUUUGUUGCGGCCUGGGUGCUGGGUUUCGCAUCCAUGCCUUGCGAUGUCAUGCCGUUUAGAGUUAAAAAUUUACAAGUGAUUCGAGAAAAAGUAUAGAAGAAGAAAAAGGAGUAUGAAAACAGUAAGGUGGAAGGGGAAAGCGAAGGGAGAUACCACCAUUGGGUUAUUCUCACAUUUCUUGACCGGUCAUUUUGCUCUUCUUGUUAUGCUUCCACUUGCCUUGCCUACACGCACGCUCCUUCUCCUUCAUUCUUUCUUUCUUGUGCCGACAUAGAGUAUUUAACAAAAAACUACCACAUUUAGUGGAACCGUGCCUACAAACUACCAUUUUACAAAUUUGUGUCAAAAACUACCACUUUUUGUCUAAUCUUUGUCUAAAAACUACCAUGUCGGGAAAGUGCCCGAUUCGCCUCUUCUGAACACCUUUCUGAUAGGAUGGGCCCACCUGUCAACACCAAUCUUCUUCCUCCUCUCUCUCUCUGGCAUUUCCUCGAACACCACAUGUGCAAUGUUAUGUUGUGUUGUGUGUGGUCCGGUCUUUGUGCUUGUGCAUUAUGGGUCAGUCAAAGAAGAGAGAAGCAUGCAAUGGUGGAUGUCUGUUGUUGCAGUGGUUGCAUUGUUGUGCUGUCCUGUUGUCUUGCUAGCUGGUAAUAAUUGUAAUGUGUUGUGCUUGUGAUUGGGCCACCCACAUCAUCCCCAUCAUCUUGAUUUAUCUUGUGGAUGUGGAUAAUGUAAAGUGAAAACAAGAUGACCCAUAAUGCCGCGGUGGGCGGUACCACGGUGUUUUGUGCAAUACACCAAAAAAAUCACAGAGCUACGCGAGCCCUCCAUUUAGGCCAUUUUUGACCAAAAAAAGAGAGGGAAUGAAACGGCGGUAAUAUAUGCACAUAUAACUAUAAUUUUCUGUAAACCCAAAAUAGUAAUGUUGAGAUAUAAUUUUAUUUUGCCAGACCAUAUUUGACUUUGUGUGGCCUACAUGUGAUUUUUUUAAAAAAAAAACUAUAAACCCACCAACUCUGCCUGCGCUGCAACUCUAGUUUGUAAAGAUCCAAUAUAAUAUCAUAUGCAUCUUUAUAGUGUCAUGGGUUUGGUUUGUAGGAAAUAUUUUUUCCCCUUUGUUUUCUAUACUACAUUUUCCUUGUAAUGUUAAGUCAUUUAGUUCCUCGAAAAAAAUGUAGUUCAUUUAGGGUGCUAUGCCUAGUCGAACCUCUAUAGCAUUGUACGGGUCAUGCCUUGUCGGCAUUGUAGCAUCAUUCUUUCUUAAUGAAUUCAGGUAGAUCUUCCGCAUGGUUCUAAAAACAAAAACAAACGAAUGGGCCAAUUGUCUUUUCAUUGUUAACCGUGUUAAACAACGUUGCCUACAUACAGGUCACAAUCCCAAUCCAACCAGGAGGUGUUCGGCUUUGGUUAGGUUUAGAGAUAGAUUUGGCUAGUAGUUUAAACACAUCAAAAUUGUAACUACUUCCUUUUCCCAUCCAAGCUUCUGUCGAAUCCAUCUAAGCCUAGCCAUGUCUUCCUCCUCUGCCUCCGAUGCCUUCUCCUCAAACCUCAUUAGCCAGGUCACGGAGAAGUUGUCCCGCACGAACUACGUGCUAUGGCGAACGCAGAUCACCCCCCAACUGCAUGGCGUCGGCGUCUACGGCUACGUCGACGGCACCACACCGAAGUCGGCGAAGUUCCUCAUCACCACCAAAGAAGGCAAUGAGACUUCAUCACCCAACCCUCUCCACCCUCUCUGGGUCCGGGAGGACCAGCAGGUCCUUGGCUUCCUGCUGGCCAACCUCACAAAGGAGGUUCUGGUGACGGUGACCACGGCCACCACGGCGAGCGCGCUCUGGACGACGCUCGCUGCCAUGUUCUCGUCGCACUCGGCGAGCCGCAUCAACAACAUCCGCACCUUCCUCAUCAACACGCAUAAGGGUAAUCCCUCGGUUGCCUCUUACUUUGCUGCUAUGCGAGGAUAUGCAGAUGAACUAGCCGUGGCAGGCAAGGCCAUCCAGGAUGACGAACUAGUCUCCUACAUCAUCCACAGACUCGACGCCGAUUACCAGUCUCUGGUGUCUGCUCUCGACGCUCGAGUCACCCCCGUCACACUCGAUGAACUCUACGCCAUGCUCUCAAACUUCGACCAACGCGUGGCUCCUUACCACGGGUCCGGCGGCAGCGGCUUCAAAUCUUCAGCCAACAUGGCGUCCCGUGGGCGGGGUGGCGGCUCCCGUUCACGUGGCCCUCCUCGCAAAGGGCGAUCUAGUGGCGGCGGCGGCAGUGACCGCGUCUCCUCUCCUCAGCGCACCGGCGGCAGGGGCCGCGGCCGUCGCAGUCGUGGCAGCGGCAGGAUGCGCCCCGACACUCCAAGAUGCCAGAUCUGCGGGAAACCUGGACACACAGCAAAAGAUUGCUGGUACAGGUACGAGGAGGAUGAUGAUGAUUCCCAGGAUGAUGACAAAGUCGCUGCGGCGGCUGAUGGGUCCUACGGUGUUGACACCAAUUGGUACAUUGACAGUGGGGCCACAAACCGCAUCACCAAUGAACUCGAGAAGGUGACCAUGAUGGGAAAAUAUCACGGCAAGGAUCGAAUCCACACUGCUAGCGGAGAAGGUAUGAGUAUAUGUCAUGUUGGUCACUCAAUAUUUCGUACCCCUAGACGUAAACUACAUCUUAGGAAAAUUUUGCAUGUCCCUAGUGCACACAAAAAUCUUCUUUCUGUUCAUCGAAUUGCCAUCGAUAAUCAUGUUUUUCUCGAGUUUCACCCUUAUUUCUUUUUGAUCAAGGAUCAGGCAACGAGGGAAAUACUCUAUCGAGGUAGAUGUGUUCGAGGGCUCUAUCCGUUGAUUCCAGAGUUUAGAAGAUUCAAUAAACAAGCUUGUGGUGCUAUCAAGCUUACGUCCACACGAUGGCACGAUCGUUUAGGACAUGCCUCUUUUUCUUUAGUUGAAAAGUUACUUAGGAAAAAUAAGCUCCCAUUUGUUGGUGAGCGUCAUGUUGAAACAAUUUGUGAUUCAUGUCAACGAGCUAAAAGUCAUCAAUUACCAUACCCCGUUUCUACUAGUAUUUCUACCAAACCUCUCCAACUUAUUUUUUCUGAUGUUUGGGGUCCAGCCCCACACUCUGUUGGUAGACAUACGUAUUACGUCAGUUUCAUUGAUGACUACGGUAAAUUCUCUUGGAUCUAUCUUCUCAAACGAAGAUCAGAUGCGUUUCAAGUUUUUCAAAACUUCCAAGCUCUUGUUGAACGCAAUUUUGAUAGCAAAAUCAUCGCUGUCCAAUCAGACUGGGGGGGGGGGGUACGAAAAGUUGAACUCCUUCUUCCAGAACCUUGGUAUUUCUCACCAAGUAUCAUGCCCACAUGCUCACCAACAAAAUGGCUCAGCUGAUCGCAAACAUAGACAUAUCGUAGAGGUAGGCCUUGCUGUUUUGGCAGGAGCCUCCAUGCCUCUCAAGUUUUGGGAUGAAGCAUUCCACACUGUCGUUUACAUUAUCAACAUGCUACCCAGUCGUGUUAUUAAUAAUGAAACUCUGGUAGAACGCCUCCUUCACACAAAACCAGACUACAAAUCUCUUCGAGUCUUUGGGUGUGCAUGUUGGCCAAACCUCCGUCCCUACAACAAUCGCAAACUCAUGUUUCGCUCAAAACAGUGUGUCUUCCUAGGAUACAGCGCCCAGCAUAAAGGUGUCAAAUGUCUAGAUGUCUCCACUGGUCGGGUUUACAUCUCACGUGAUGUUGUAUUCGAUGAAACCAAAUUCCCAUUUGCUGAUCUUCACCCCAAUGCUGGCGCCCUUCUUCGCAAAGAAAUCCUUCUUCUGCCUUCGCAUCUCACUAGUUUUGAUCAAGGGGGGCAAGAUAUUGAUGAUCAACUAUUGACUAACUCAUCUAAUGAUCUGCAUGAGUCUUGUGUUGAUGAUACAGGAGAAAUCCAUGAAGAAAUCGCUGUUGAAAAAAAUUCAGAUGGACCAUAUUUUAUGUGUCCCACAAGAGGAGACAGAUACUCCUCGGGAUCCGUCCAGGAGCAGCGAAUCAGAUUCGCUCCGGGAUCGCAGCCCGAUGCGACAGAUGCAGGCGACCGCGCAGUCUUCCCCAAUUCCCGCAGCACCGGUCCCACGGGCGACACGCGGGCUGCGCCCGCUGGCUGCGCUAGCUUCCCCGCUCCGCGCCAAUCAUCGCCCCCACUUGGCCGGCUCCGGGUGGCCCAGAAGCUGCGCGCCGCCCCACCCAACCGGUGACCUACAAACGGCGCACGAGCACGUGGUCCAGGGAGAGCGCGGGCCUUGGCGCGGUUCUCGGUGCGGGUCCGACCGCCCCUGGCGCGACUGCCCCUGGCGCAGAAACUGGCGCGGCUAGCGCGGAAACUGGCGCGGGCCCUGGCGCGGGUCCGACCGGCGCGGAAAUCCGAGCAGAUACGACAGCUCCGGGAUUCUCUGUGGCCGCCUUAGGCGCCUCGCCUCGCGUUUCGGCUACAGAAGAUCUGGUGCUGGGUGGCGCUGCUACUGCUGUCGAAUCCUUUUUGGGUUCUGGUCCAGCCAAUGAUUUGGAAACCAUGGGAUCCUCUGUGGCAACGGAUGUGAGUACUCAGCAGCCACGUCGUACACGCCUUCAACAAGGAAAAAUUCAACCUGUCAACUACAAGUAUAUAUCCAAGUAUGGUAUGGUUUGUUCCACAGGUGAACCAGAUGAACCUAACACCCUUGAAGCAGCACUGUGUGAUGACAGGUGGAAGAAAUCCAUGAAUGAAGAGUAUAUGGCAUUGAAGAAAAACAAAACAUGGCAUUUGGUUCCCCCACAGCAAGGUAAAAAUUUAAUUGAUUGCAAGUGGGUUUUCAGGAUCAAAAGAAAAGCUGAUGGAACUGUUGAUCGUUAUAAGGCUAGGCUAGUAGCAAAAGGUUUUAAACAGAGAUAUGGCAUAGACUAUGAGGACACGUUUAGUCCGGUGGUAAAGGCUGCCACCAUUUGUCCUUUCCUAUCCAUUGCUGUUUCCAGAGGAUGGAGUCUCAGACAGCUUGAUGUUCAGAACGCGUUUCUCCAUGGUGUUCUGAAAGAGGAAGUGUACAUGAAACAACCUCCUGGGUUUGAGAGUAAGAAUGCACUCUCAUAUGUAUGCAAGCUUGAUAAGGCACUAUAUGGGUUGAAACAGGCUCCAAGGGCAUGGUAUGCUCGUCUCUGUCACAAAAUGCAAGCACUUGGUUUUGUUCCCUCUAAAUCUGACACGUCAUUGUUCAUCUACAACAAGUCCAACACAUGCAUAUUUGUUCUCAUAUAGUUGAUGAUAUUAUUGUAACCAGCUCAUCUGAUGAAGCUACCAGAGGACUUCUUAAAGAUCUAAGUGCAGAAUUUGCUCUAAAGGAUCUUGGUGACUUGCACUAUUUUCUUGGGAUUAAGGUGAAGAAGCACAAAGAUGGACUUCUGCUCUCUCAGGAAAAAUAUGCCACUGAUUUGGUUAAGAAGGCUGGUCUACAGGGAUGCAAGCCUUCUCCCACUCCAUUGUCUAGUUCAGAAAAACUAUCUCUUGCAGAAGGUGAGCUCUUGAAUCAAGAGGACAACACAAAAUACAGGAGUUUGGUAGGAGCUCUUCAGUAUCUUACACUUUCCAGACCAGAUCUGUCUUUUGCUGUUAACAAAGUCUACCAGUUUCUUCAUGCACCUACCAAUGUUCAUUUGACAGCUGCAAAACGAAUAGUUCGGUAUGUGAAGCAUACUCUGAACUUGGGACUGAACUUUAGCAAAUCACCCUUCACUCUUGUCAGUGCAUUCUCUGACUCAGAUUGGGCAGGUUGUCUUGAUGACAGAUGCUCCACUGGUGGCUUUGCAGUAUUCUUUGGACCAAAUUUGAUAUCCUGGUGUGCACGAAAACAGGCCACUAUAUCCAGGUCCAGUACAGAGGCAAAAUACAAGGCAUUGGCAAAUGCUACAGCUGAAGUAAUAUGGGUUCAGUCUAUGUUGAAGGAACUUGGUGUACAAAGUAAACAAGCUCCCUGCUUAUGGUGUGACAAUCUUGGUGCUACAUAUCUCUCUGCAAAUCCGGUGUUUCAUGCCAGGACAAAGCACAUAGAGAUUGAUUUUCACUUUGUCAGAGAAGGAGUUUCUCAGAAACAACUUGACAUUCGCUUUGUGCAUUCCAGAGAUCAACUUGCAGAUGGAUUCACAAAGCCCUUGCCCACAAGAAGCUUUGAAGACUUCAAGCAUAAUCUCAACUUAAUGAAGUUGCGAUUAAGGGAGGGUGUUAAACAACGUUGCCUACAUACAUGUCACGAUCCCAAUCCAACCAGGAGGUGUUCGGCUUUGGUUAGGUUUAGAGAUAGAUUUGGCUAGUAGUUUAAACACAUCACAAUUGUAACUACUUCUAUCUCUCCUCUCCAAGUAAUCUCUCUCGAUCUGUACCGAUCUCUUGAUUCUCUGUAUCGAUCGUGGGGUCGCGUCCCCUCCUUGUAACGUGAACCACGUCCCUCGAGGGAGGUAAGACAUUUUCCGCUAUCGCACAAACCGAAAGAAUAUGGCUUCUUUGCCUUUUAAUUACUACUAGGCAGUAGCAAAGCACACAUAAAAAAAGGCAUGGUUGAUUUACUUGGAAUGAGCAGGCUGGUUGUUUUUUCCUUGAACCCCCAAAAAUGGGUAAUUUACCCUUUUAGCAAAGCACACAAAAAGGCAGGGUUACUUACUUUUAUGGGAUGUAAAACUCUUAAAAAUUCCAGCUGUUGACUGGUGUUUGUUAAUCAAAAGAAGAAAGGAGUAUAGCGAUCCCACAUAUGACAGAAAUUUAAACAGAGCACUUUACGCUAAAAACAUCUCGCCGGAGUUCAUCAACCCAACAUACCAUAGUUCACCAUGCAUAGCAUAGGGGAGUUUUUGCAAACCAUAAUAAUCAUACAUAGCAUAGGGGAAUCGAAACCUAGCAUAGGGGAUCUACUAGUCGCCGGAGCCGGGGGUGGGCGGGGGUCUACUUCACUGGGGUUCUACUCAUCCGAGUCAGAGUUAUCCGAGUCGGAGUCAUCAUCCUCAUCGUCGCCGUCGCCCUCAUCGUCGUCGUCGCUGGAGAUGACCUCGGCGGGCAGCGUCUUCCCUCCGUAAAGGGUGUCGGUGAUGAGGUCACUGUAGAUCCGGGUUUGGAGGUCGUACUCCUCCCAGAGCGCCGGCAGCCGCGCAACCGCAGCCGUAUCUCCGGCGUCGGCGGCGGUCCUCGCCUCAAACCACACCCGUCCGGCCGCACGCUGGCGUUGGAGCGCCGGGUCGAAGAACCGGCCGUAGCGCAGGAAGGUCUUCCACCCAUGCGACCUCGAUCCGGCGCUACAGGGCUUGGCGCAGCAAGUGCACGCCGCCUGCCGUUUCUUCUUUGACACCGGAGGGGGGGAGGCCAGAGCCGCUGGCCUCGUCGUCGUUUUGGCGCUUGCGGGCGAAUAAGCCGCCGCGCGCGCCGCCUCCACCACGGCACCCGAAGCCACCGCGGUCGCCAAACCCCCUUUCGCCACCACGCCCCGCACCGGCGGACGCCAUGGUAGCUUCGAUCCGGCGAAAAACAGGCUUGAAAAGGCUGCCGGAGCGCGCUCGAUUUCUCGCCAGAGUACACGAAAUGCGGCGGAGGGGGCUAGAGGAAACGGAGGGCGGAUACCCUAAAUCGACUGGAAGCCGACAUAUAUAUCGGAUUGGGGGCGGUUUACGGGCCUCCCGUAAACUUUUUACGGGCCGGGACUUUUUUCGGGUAUCUGCUCGGGCCGAUUAUUUGGGUCAUCCCGUAUAACGGCCGAAAAAGCAUAGUUCGCGGGCCUUAUGCGGGAUCUGCUAGAGAUGCUCUAAUAACUAAUAAUAUAGCUUUUGUUUACUGGGUACGGCGAGCCCUCCAUUUAGGCCAUUUUUUGGACAAAAAAGAAAGAAACGGCAGUAAUAUAUGCACACAUAACUACAAUUUUCUGUUAAUCCAAAAUAGUAAUGAUGAAAAUAUAAUUUCGUUUCGCCAGACCAUAUUUGUCUUCGUGUAGCCUACAUGUGAUGAUUUUAAGAUACUUAUACCCAUGAUAUCCAGUAGAUCGACUAGAUUUGUUGCGCAUGCCAACAUGCAAAUGUUAGUUCAAAAAAAACUAUGAACCCUGUGUAAAUUCAUUGCGUUCCUUUUUACUAGUAUUUGAGAUAAAUUCCAAAUUGUUUGGUGUAUUUUCCUUUUACACUAGUAAAAGCCGCCAAUUAUACUCAUGUAAUCAUUGUUGUGACAUGUGGCAUUUCAACCCAAAAUUAUGCUUAAACCACUAUAUUGCUUGAUAAUGUUGUGCCCAUACUUUCAAUCGGUUUGGCUCAAGGUUAUUGUCCCCGUGACGCUUUUGCUUCGGUGGUCGUCGUUGUGGUAAGCGAGUUUGGGUCGUGUUGUUGUGGGUCGGGCUUCAACUUUCGUAGUGUAAGAGUUUUGGUUCCAUUCCUUGUGAUGUUAGGUCAUUUAGGGUGCUCUGCCUCUACCUAGUAGACUAGUAGUGCCUCUAUGAUGUUGCAUGGGUCAUGCCUUCUCGGCGUUGUAGCAUCAUUCUUUCUUUAGGAAUUCACGUGCAGCUAGACCUUCCGCAUGGUUCAGAAAAUAAAAAUGAAAUAAUGGGCCAAUUGUUUUUCAUUGUUAAACGAAAGAAUAUGGCUUCUUUGCCUUUUAAUUACUACUAGUGGGCCAAUUGUUCUGAAUAUGGCUUAAAAUGGGUAAUUUUCCCUUUUAGCAAAGCACACAAAAAGGCAGGGUUACUUGCUUUUUUUUGGAAUGAAAAACUCUUAAAAAUUCCAGCGGUUGACUGGUGUUUGUUAAUAAAAAGAAGAAAGGAGUAUGAAAGUAGGAAGGUGGGAGGGGAAAGCGAAGGCAGCGGGUGAGCGGUUUAUUUUUGUAGUUCCCUUCCCUACACACUCAUGCAAGCGUUUAUUCUUGCAGUGUCCCCAUGACGCUUGUGCUUCAGUCGAUGUUGUUGUCACCGUUGUCACGGUGGUCGAGUUUGGGUUGCGUUUGUGACGGUACUCAUAUUUUUUCAUUGUUAAAGGAAAGAAUAUGGCUCGUUUGCCUUUUAAUUGCUAGCAAAGCACACAUAGAAAAGGCAUGAUUGAUUACUUGGGAUGAGCAGGCUGGUUGUUUUUGUCUUGAACCCCAGAAAAUGGCCCUUUUAGCAAAUCACAAGAAAAGGCAGGGUUACUUACUUUUCUUGGAAAUGGAAAACUCUUAAAAAUUCCAGCAGUUGGUGUUUGUUAAUCAAAAGAAUAAAAGAAAAGAAAAAAGAAGAACAAAGAAGUAUGAGAGCAGGAAGGUGGGAGGGGAAAGCGAGUGAGCGGUUUAUUCUUGCGGUUCCCUUUUCCACACGCUCAUGCAAGCGGUUUAUUCUUGCAGUGUCCUCGGGACGCUUGUGCUUCGUUGAUGUUGUCGUCAUCGUAGUCAAGUUUGGGUUGCGUUUGUUANNNNNNNNNNNNNNNNNNNNNNNNNNNNNNNNNNNNNNNNNNNNNNNNNNNNNNNNNNNNNNNNNNNNNNNNNNNNNNNNNNNNNNNNNNNNNNNNNNNNNNNNNNNNNNNNNNNNNNNNNNNNNNNNNNNNNNNNNNNNNNNNNNNNNNNNNNNNNNNNNNNNNNNNNNNNNNNNNNNNNNNNNNNNNNNNNNNNNNNNNNNNNNNNNNNNNNNNNNNNNNNNNNNNNNNNNNNNNNNNNNNNNNNNNNNNNNNNNNNNNNNNNNNNNNNNNNNNNNNNNNNNNNNNNNNNNNNNNNNNUUGGGUAUCUUCUCGGGCCGAUUAUUUGGGUCGUCCCGUAUAACGGCCGGAAAAGUGCAGUUCGCGGGCCUUAUGCGGGAUCUGCUAGAGAUGCUCUAAUAACAAAUAAUAUAGCUUUUGUUUACUGAGGUACGGCAAGCCCUCCAUUUAAGCCAGUUUUUGGACAGAAAAAGAAAGAAACGGCCAUAAUAUAUGCACAUAUAACUACUAUUUGUGUUAAUCCAAAAUAGUAAUGAUGAAAAUAUAAUUUCAUUUUGCCAGACCAUAUUUGUCUUCGUGUAGCCUACAUGUGAUGAUUUUAAUAUACUUAUACCCAUGAUAUCUAGUAGACUAGAUUUGUUGCGCAUGUCAACAUGCAAAUGUUAGUUUUAAAAAAAACUAUGAAGCCUGAGUAAGUUCCUUUUUUUACUAGUAUUCGAGAUAAAUUCCAAAUUGUUAUGUGUAUUUUCCUUUUACACUAGUAAAAGCGGGCAAUUAUACUCAUUUAAUCUUUGUUGUGACAUGUGGCAUGCAUUUCAACCCAAAAUUAUGCUCAAACCAAUAUACUACUCACAAUACAUACGUAAUUUAUACAAUACAAAUAGGUUUUGUGUUGAACCCCAGAAAAUGGCCCUUUUAGCAAAGCACACAUAGAAAUGCAUGGUUGUUUUUGUGUUGAACCCCAGAAAAAUGGCCCUUUUAGCAAAGCAGAAGAAAAGGCAGGGUUACUUCCUUUAUUUGGAAAUGGAGAACUCUUAAAAAUCCCAGUAGUUGACUGGUGUUUGUUAAUCAGAAGAAGAUAGGAAGAAAGGAGUAUGAAACCGGGAAGGUGGGUGGGGAAAGCGAAGGAAGCGAGUGAGCAGAUUAUUCUUGCGGUUCCCUUUCCUAAAUGCUCAUGCAAGCCGUUUAUUCUUGCAGUGUCCCCGUGACGCUUGUGCUUCGGUCGAUGUCGUCGUCAUUCGGUCAUGGUAGUCAAGUUUGGGUUGCGUUUUGUUGCGGGUUGGGUGCUGGGUUUCGCAUCCAUGCCUUGCGAUGUCAUUGCCAUUUAGGGCUUUUCGUCGAGGUGCGCCUCUAUCUGGCUGGCGUUGUGUCAUUAAAAAUGUGCAAGUGAUUCGAGAAAAAGAGGGGCUGGGGGGAGUUGAAUGGACCAAUUUUAUUGUAUUUUGUAUUUAGUGAAAUCCAAAAGUGGCUGCUUUGCCCUUUUAGUAAAGCCUUGGUAGAAGGCAUGUUUACUUACUUUUGAGUGAAAGCCCUUGAUUAUAUACAUGUACUAUGAUUGAUAAUUUGAGCAGUUGACCGGUGUGUGUUUGUUUGUUAAUUAAUAAAUACUAGCAUAGUAUAGAAGAAGAAAAAGGAGUAUGAAAGCGGUAAGGUGGGAGGGGAAAGGGAAGGGUUUAUUCUCCCAUUUCUUGACGGGUCAUUUUCUUCUUGCUGUCGUUCCACUUGCCUUGCCUACACGCACGCUCCUCCUCCUUCGUUCUGUUUUUCUUUUCACUUGCUCCUUUCUUUCUUGUGCCGAAACGGAGCAGACCCAUAUCAUCAUCAGCAUCCAUCCAUCCAUCCACCAAAAUAAAUAAAUAAAUAUUCCACCUUUCUUCUCCUUUCCUUUGCUUUUUUUUGUCUUGAGAUUAGCUGACUGAUGAUGAUGAGUUGAUUCAUUUUAUCUCGGUCUCAGUGCAUGCACACUGUCAAAAAUCUACUCGUAGCUCACCUCACUUUACCUAAUUUCUUUAGCUUACUGUAGCAUAGCGUAGCGUAGCCAGAGGAAAGACCUUGGAUCAUGAUCAGCGAGAAGGGUAUCUGCAAUCAUUUCAGCAAAAUAUAUGUCGACAGUUGUAAUCUUACGGUCAAAUGAUCCUCUAGAAUCAACAUAGUUGAUGGAAAUUUCUGGCACCCGUAGUGACUCUUCAUGAUUUCCCAAUAUGAUUGAGUUUGGGUGUUCCGAUGUCCGAGCCAGCUUGUGCAUACUGGAGCUGGGUUGUGGAGGUUGCCCUCCCACCGGGUGUAUACAACCCAUCAGGUGUUUGUCAAUGUUGAGUUGACUUGCAUUUACUGACUCCGAGGUUUUUCUCCUCGAUUUCCUUUGCUGCUUGCUAGAAGUAUGCUCCAGGUCAGAGGCCGUACUACUCCCCCUCUUUUUAGGAAUAGGGAGUUGAGUGGUUUUUAUUGGUACUUCCACUCUUUCUGGCGCGUUUCUGGCCGGAUUUAAGGAUUUUGGAACACCUUUCAGAUCACUAAAUGAAUCUGGCAGUUUAUUUGCAAGAUGUUGCAAAUUAAUGAUCUUCCGAACAUGAAGUUCGGUCUCUUGGAUACGUAGAUCAGAGGAUGAAAUGGCACGAGUAUUCCAAUCAAUUUCCAGGCAUUCUUUCUGUACUUGAAAUCUCCACCUAAUGUCGGAAAAUGUUCCUCUUUAAAUAUGCAAUCAGCAUGACGGGCUGUGAACAGAUCCCCAGUUAGGGGUUCCAGGUACUUGAUAAUCGACAGCGAUUUGUACCCCCACAUAGAUGCCCAACUUCCUAUGUGGACCCAUAGAUGUCCGCCGUGGUGGUGAGAUUGGGAUGUAUGCAGCACAUCUGAACUUACGCAGAUGGGAAAUGCUAGGAGGAUUUCCACAUACCAAUUCCAGAGGGGAAGAAUGGUGAUAUGCAGUUGGCCUCAAUUGUAUCAAGUCAGCAGUGUGUAAAACAUCGUGACCCCAACAAGAGGUUGGCAAGUUGUAAUUCGUCAACAAAGGUCUUGCAAUGAGUUUAAUCCUUUUAAUUACUACUAGGCACUAGCAAAGCACACAUAAAAAAGGCAUGAUUGAUCUACUUGGAAUGAGCAGGCUGGUUGUUUUUUCCUUGAACUCCAAAAAAUGGGGAAUUUUGUUAACCGAAAGAAUAUGGCUUCUUUGCCUUUUAAUUACUACUAGGCACUAGCAAAGCACACAUAAAAAAAGCAUGAUUGAUUUACUUGGAAUGAGAAGGCUUGUUGUUUUUUCCUUGAACCCCCCAAAAUGGGUAAUUUGUUAACCGAAAGAAUAUGGCUUCUUUGCCUUUUAAUUACUAAAAGGCUUUAGCAAAUCACACAUAAAAAAGGCAUGAUUGAUUUACUUGGAAUGAGCAGUCUGGUUGUUUUUUCCUUGAACUCCAAAAAAUGAGUAAUUUACCCCUUUAGCAAAGCACACAAAAAGGCAGGGUUACUUACUUUUAUGGGAUGGAAAACUCUUAAAAUUUCCAGCUGUUGACUGGUGUUUGUUAAUCAAAAGAAGGAAGGAGUAUAGCGAUCCCACAUAUGACAGAAAUUUAAACAGAGUACUCUGCGCUAAAAACAUCUCACCGGAGUUCACCAACCCAACAUACCAUAGUUCACCACGCAUAAGAGUUUUUACAAACCAUAAUAGUUAUACAUAGCAUAGGGGAUCUACUAGUCGCUGGAGCCGGGGUGGUCGGGGGUCUACAUCACCGGGGUUCUACUCAUGCGAGUCAGAGUCAUCCGACUCAAAGUCGACGUCCUCAUUGUCGUCGUCGCUGGAGAUGACCUCGGCGAGCAGCGGCUUCUCCCCGUGAAUGGUGUCGUAGAUGAGGUCGCAGUAGAUCCAGGAUUGGAGGUCGUACUCCUCCCAGAGCGCCGGCAGCCGCGUAGCCGCAGCCGCAUCUCCAGCGUCGGCGGCGGUCCUCGCCACAAACCACGCCCGCUGGGCUGCGCACUUGCGCUAGAGCGCCGGGUCGAAGAGCCAGCCGCAGCGCAUUAAGGUCUUCCACCCAUGCGACCUCGAUCCGGUGCUGCGGGACUUGGCGCAGCAAGUGCACAUCACCUCCCAUUUCUUCUUCGACACCGGAGGGCGGAGGCCAGAGCCGCCGGCCUCGUCGUCGUUUCAGCACUUGCGGGCGAAGAAGCCGCUGCGCGCGCCGCCUCCACUGAUGAAGCUAUGUACCUAGGAUAGGGUCAUGGACCUGUCCAAACUACCCUCCCAAAGGACAUCUCUAGAAGAAACCACCUUUCAAUCGACUCAGAAGUGUUCCACUCGACGGACUCGAAGACACUCGACCAUGAAGCCAACCACUCGACAGCCAGGAGAUCUAAAGUCACUCUGCACACGAUCGGCCGGUUAUUAAGUAGCCUUUAUGGUCAUCAUAGCACUUUAUUUGUGGCAUUACCAGUAACUCCCGAUCUUAAUGUACCUUAAACCCUACAUAACUGAGGGCCGGAGGGGUCUGGCGAACUCUAUAUAAGCCACCCCCCUCCUCAGUGUAAAGGGUUCGCCCCUGUAAUUCAUACACACAUAAUCCAGUCAACCUCCUCCGGGGUCCGAGAUGUAGGGUUGUUACUUCCUCUGAGAAGGGCCUGAACUCGUAAAUCUCUUGCGUAUACAACUACUCCAUAGCUAGGAUCUUGCCUCUCCAUUCCUACCCCCUACACUACUGUCAGAUUUAGAACCACGACAAUUGGCUCCCACCGUGGGGCAGGUGUCUUAGCGACUUAUUGGAGAAGUUGCGAUUUUUCCGAUCUCCUUCAUCAUGGUUUCAGGCGGAGCUCUGGUUGAGGGCCGCGAGAUCCGUCUCGGCGUGCUCACGUUCAUCGCCGACGACUCCGCUUGGCUUCAGGAGGCUCCGCUCGACAUCGACGCGCUCCCUGUCCGCGGGGCGACGCACUUUCGCGCGUGUGUCCGCGGCGUCCUCCUGCGGCAACCGUCAACCCAGUAUCGGUCGGCUCCUGUGUCGUCCCCCCCCUCCCUGUUUCCCGCCGGCGCAAGCGCUCCGGUCGGUCGAGGCUUCAGCGGUGGGUGAGACACGCGGUGGCUCGCCAGUCGGCCACCCCCCAAGUCGCGGCGAUCGAGCCCGACGAAUCUCUCUACGGCAUGUACGACCUGUCGGCUGGCUCCGCAGAGACUACAUCCGAGUGCAACAACAGUGAUCCAGCGGCGGAGGUUCUGAUGGUCGAUGGACCACGAAGUCCUCCUGGUUUUCCCCGCACCGACGGAGGCGACGGCGGAGGCGAUCCGUCGCAUGAAAAUGAAGAGUAUCUCCCCGAGCCCCUCACUUCGCUGCAGAGGGAAGAACUUUGCCGCCGGAACAUGGAUGCGCUGCACACUCCUAUCAUUGGAGAAACCCCCGAGGCUCGUGCCUUGGAGGACGCGCGCUUGGCCAACUUGGCUGAGCGCACUCGACUGGAGAACCUCCAGCGAGCACUCGAUGAGCGUGCGCGGCAACGGGUUCCAGAAUCCAGUCGACGUCAACUCUUUCUACCACCGACUCAGGUAUAUCAAACUCCGAUUCAGAAUUUAGCAGCUGCAGCCCGUAUAGCAGAGUCGAUUCAGCCUUCCCAGUCAGAGGCUGGCAGAGGCUUGCUACAGAUCAAAGCAUUACUCCGGGCAGCAAGAGAUCAAAAUUCAGCUGUAUCGCAGUCGCGGAAUAGGAUUCACAGCAGAUCCAUCGCUGCAAAUACAGUCCAGUCGGCCCAUAGCCCAAGAUCGCCCCCGAGGCGUGAGGGACGUGGAGACCGGCGUGAUCAGUACCAGAACUGUGAGCAGUAUGAUCACCGACUCGAUCGUGAUGAUCGACAUCGAGUGCCCACCCCUCUCCCAAGGGGUGGAUCGUACGUGCCUCGACAGCAGGAUGACAGAUGCCAUCACAGUGUUGGGUGAAGGAUUCCAAUCGACCCCAGGGAACUAGGCUUUGAUGCGAGAUCCAUUAUCGUUCAAGGUUUGGUCGACAGGAACAUAGCUCACCAAGAAGGUCAUGAUAGAGAUGUACCCACCAGCAACAGAGUACACGUCUCAGGACCAGAGUGUUUCAGCAGAGCCAUCAGGGCCGCGGUGAUUCCUCCCAACUUCAGGUUGGCGACUGGAGUCAGUAAGUUCACUAGUGAGUCUAAGCCUGAUACUUGGCUUGAAGACUACCGAGUGGUUGUUCAGAUUGGCGGCGGCAACGAUGAAGUAGCCAUGAAACACCUGCCUCUUAUGUUGGAGGGCUCGGCCAGAGCAUGGUUGAAUCAGUUAGCACCCAGCAGCAUUUACACUUGGGAAGAUCUGGCUCGAGUAUUUGUCAGAACAUUUGAAGGAACUUGCAAGCGACCAGCAGGGUUGACAGAGCUACAAUCUUGUGUGCAGAAGUCGAAUGAAACUUUGAGGGAUUACACCCAGAGAUGGAUCACGUUGCAUCACACGGUAGAGAAUGUAUCUGAUCACCAGGCAGUCUGUGCCUUCAAGGAAGGCGUUAAGUACAGAGAGCUAAAUCUAAAAUUCGGUCGAACCGGAGACAUGUCUCUGAGUCGAAUGAUGGAGAUUCCCACCAAGUAUGCCAAUGGUGAAGAAGAGGAUCGGCUCCGGAGUGGCAAGCAUAAGUUUAGUCACCCACGAAACCGGAGGAGGGAACUCCAGUCGGAAGCAGAAGCGGAAAGCCGAGCCAGCUGUUCCUGGAGAAGCCUUGGCCGUGACUCAAGGAAAGUUUAAAGGGAAGCCCAAAGGGUCUUGGAACCCUAAGAAGGUGAAGGACAAGGAAGGGAAUGACAUGUUGGAUUUGCCGUGCCACAUCCACACGAAGAAAGAUGAGGAGGGUAAACUCAUUUACCCGAAACAUACCACUCGACAGUGUCGGCUCUUGAUCCAGUAAUUCCAGGGGAAACAACCUAAAGAUAAGGAAAAGGAGUCGGACAAAGUUGAGGACAAAGAAGAUAGUGAUGAUGGAUAUCCCCAGGUCAAUUCUGCCCUGAUGAUUUUUGCCAACGUUGAAAGCAAAAGUCGAUUGAAAGUUAUCAACCGAGAAGUGAAUAUGAUUGCUCCGGCGACACCCAGUUAUCUGAAAUGGUCUCAGACUGCCAUCACAUUCGACCAGUCCGAUCAUCCGACACACAUAGCCACCCCUGGGAGGCAAGCUUUGGUGGUUGACCCAGUCGUCGAAGGCACUCGACUGACUAAAGUUUUGAUGGAUGGUGGCAGUGGCCUGAAUAUACUAUAUGAAGAGACGUUGAAAGGGAUGGGUAUUCCGAUGUCCAGACUCAGUACCAGCAACAUGAUUUUCCAUGGUGUCAUUCCUGGAAAGAAGGCUGAGUCACUCGGACAAAUUGCUCUUGAUGUGGUUUUCGGUGAUUCCAAGAAUUACCGCAAAGAAAAGUUGACGUUUGAAGUUGUGGAUUUCUAGAGUGCUUGUCACGCCAUUUUGGACAGGCCAGCUUAUGCAUGUUUCAUGGCUCGACCAUGUUAUGUGUACCUCAAAUUGAAGAUGCCUGGUCCCAAAGGUGUGAUCACUAUUACUGGCAAUCGGAAGAAGGCGGAAGAGUGCUUUCAGAAAGGCUCAAAGAUCGCCGAUGCUCAGAUGGCAGUGGUAGAGCUGCAGCAAUACCAGAAAACUGCAGACCCGAGUGAUUUCUUGCGAGCCAAGAAGCCCGCUACGGAAUCAGCGUUUCAGUCGUCCUGUGAGACGAAACCGAUUCAUAUUCACCCGACCGACCACAGUGCUGCUCCGACUCAUAUCUCUACAACACUCGACUCCAAAUAGGAAGAAGCACUCAUCCAGUUCCUCCGUGAGAACUGGGACAUCUUUGCAUGGAAGCCUUCAGACAUGCCGGGUGUUCCCAGGGGGCUGGCUGAGCACCAUCUACGAGUCGACUCAAAAGCGAAACCUGUCAAAGAACAUAUUCGACGGUCCGCCGUCCAGAAAAGAAAGGCCAUUGGCGAGGAGGUGGCUCGGCUCUUAGCAGCGGAGUUUAUCCGAGAGAUUUAUCACUCCGAGUGGCUCACCAAUGUUGUCAUGGUCCCCAAGAAGGACAAGUCACUUCGCAUGUGCAUCGACUUCAAACAUAUCAAUCGGGCCUGCCCGAAAGAUCAUUUUCCUCUCCCCCGCAUCGACCAAAUAGUCGACUCGACCGCGUGAUGUGAGCGCUUGUCUUUUUUAGACGCCUAUUCCGGUUACCAUCAGAUCCGUCUGUAUGGACCCGAUGAGAACCAAACAGCUUUCAUCACUCCAUUCGGGUGCUUCUGUUAGGUCACCAUGCCAUUCGGCCUCAAGAAUGCCGGAGCCACGUUCAUGAGGAUGAUUCAGAAGUGUUUGCUCACUCAAAUAAGUCGGAAUGUGGAAGCAUACAUGGAUGAUAUUGUGGUCAAGUCACAGAAAGGUUUCGACCUGCUGACUGAUCUUGCAGAGACAUUUGCCAACCUCAGGAGGUAUAAUAUCAAGCUUAAUCCAUCAAAGUGCACAUUCGGAGUUCCUGGUGGAAAGUUACUCCGUUUUCUCGUUUCCGAACGAGGAAUCGACGCCAAUCCAGAAAAACUUGGUACUAUACUCCAAAUGAAACGUCUUGUGCGUGUGCACGAUGUCUAGAAGCUUACUGGUUGCUUGGCCGCUUUAAGUUGAUUCAUCUCUCGUCUCGGUGAAAAGGCAUUGCCUCUUUACCGACUGAUGAAGAAGUCAGACAAGUUCGAGUGGACUCCUGAAGCUGAUGCAGCGUUUGUAGAGCUAAAAGCCCUGCUCUCCACCCAGCCGGUGCUUGCUUCCCCGACCAGCAAAGAGCCUUUGCUGCUUUACAUUGCAGCCACGGGACAAGUCGUCAGUACAGUACUUACGGUCGAGCGGGAAGAAGAAGGAAAAGCCUUUAAAGUUCAGCGCCCAGUAUAUUAUGUUUCUGAAGUUUUGACCCCAUCAAAGGAAAGAUACCCUCAUUAUCAGAAGCUUGUAUAUGGGAUUUAUAUGACCACGAAGAAGGUUGCUCAUUACUCAUCUGACCAUUCCAUUAUAGUUGUCAGCGAUGCUCCAUUGUCAGAGAUUCUGCACAACAGAGAUGCAACUAAUCAAGUGGCAAAAUGGGCGACUGAACUCCUUCCCCUAGAUAUCAAGUUUGAGGCAAAGAAAGCCAUCAAGUCCCAAGCAAUAGCAGAUUUCAUCGCCAAGUGGACUGAACAGCAACUGCCGACUCAAGUUCACACGAAGCACUGGACCAUGUUCUUUGAUGGUUCUAAGAUGCUGAAUGGUUCCGGUGCUGGGGUAGUGUUGGUUUCCCUUCGAGGAGAUAAGCUCAGAUAUGUGCUCCAGAUUCACUUUGAUUCCUCCAAUAAUGAAGUAGAAUAUGAAUCACUUUUGUAUGGGUUGCGUAUGGCCAUUUCACUCGGCGUCCGUCGCCUCAUGGUCUAUGGCGACUCAGAUUUGGUGGUUAACCAAGUGAUGGAGUGGGACGUCAGAAGUCCGGCCAUGACUGGUUACUGCAAUGCAGUGAGAAAGGUAGAGAAAAAAUUUGAGGGGUUAGAGCUUCAUCAUAUACCCCGACUGAAAAAUCAAGCGGCUGAUGACUUGGCAAAAAUAGGUUCCAAGAGAGAAGCCGUUCCUAGUAAUGUGUUUCUGGAACACAUACACACACCAUCAGUUCAGGAGGAUCCUUUCACCGAAGAAGCCCCGCAGCCAAAAAGUGUCACGGAUCCGACUGAAGUUGAGGUCCCAGCUGUGGUCGACCUGAUCAUGGAAGUGUUGGUCAUCACUCCCAACUGGAAAGUGUCGUACAUCGCGUAUAUCCUAAGGAAAGAGCUCCCAGAGAAUGAAGAAGAGGCUCGACAGAUCGUCCGUUGAUCCAAGGCCUUUACUAUGAUAAAGGGACAUUUGUACAGUGAUAGCGCGACUGGAGUCGGUCAGAAAUGUAUAACACCAGAAGAAGGUCAGAUAAUUCUUGACGAUAUCCACUCAGGGACCUGUGGUCAUCAUGCGCCCUCUCGGACCAUUGUGGCUAAAGCAUACCGAGCGGGGUUUUACUGGCCAAGAGCAAAUGAAAUGGCGAAGGAGAUAGUCGACAAGUGUGAAGGAUGUCAGUUCUAUUCCAAUAUGUCACACAAACCCGCCUCAGCCUUGAAGACCAUUCCACUCGUCUGGCCCUUCGCCGCUUGGGGAUUGGAUAUGGUUGGACCACUGAGAACUAGCAGGAGCGGCUUCACCCAUGUACUGGUGGCAGUCGACAAGUUCACUAAGUGGAUCGAAGCCAAGCCUAUCAAGAAUCUUGAUACCUGCACUGCUAUCAGCUUCAUCAAAGAGUUGAUAUUCAGAUAUGGAGUUCCGCACAGCAUCAUCGCUGAUAAUGGGUCAAACUUCGAUUCCGACAAAUUCAGAGCCUUUUGCGCUUCUCAAGGCACGCGAGUCGACUACGCUUCCAUCGCUCACCCCCAGUCGAAUGGACAAGCAGAACGACCUAAUUCUCAAAGGACUGAAACCCCGGUUGAUGCGUGAUCUCAAACACGCAGCAGGCGCGUGGGUCGACAAACUUCCAUAAGUUCUUUGGGGAUUGAGGACUACUCCUAAUCGGUCAACUGGGCGAACUCCAUUCUUUAUGGUCUAUGGAGUUGAAGCAGUUCUGCCGAGUGACCUGCUUCACAAUGCACGCCGAGUCAAGCUCUACUCUGAAGAUGAAGCAGAACAAGCCCGGCAGGACGCAGUCGACCUUCUAGAAGAAUAAACAGAGAUGGCCAUGAUCCGAUCGACUAUCUAUCAGCAGGACUUGCGUCGAUUCCAUGCCAGAAACGUGAAGAGUCGAGCCUUCCAAGAAGGAGACUUGGUCCUCUGAGUGGAUCAACAGAAGCCACACAAACUCGCCCCUACUUGGGAAGGCGCCUUCAUCGUCACUAAAGUUCUCCACAAUGGAGCGUACCGUCUUUACAAUGUCGAUCACUAGAUUGAUGAGCCACGAGCUUGGAACGCGGAGCUGCUCCGCCCCUUUUAUACUUAAGUACUCACUCGGAUGAGAUGUAAUAAAAAGUACCUAUGUAGUUUGUUUAUCAAAGACAAGAGUGUUAUAAUUUUCCCAGUGAUUGUUGUUGCUUUUAUUUACGUGAGAAAUCCCCCAGUGGGUGGCUUAGCUGCGGAUCCGUUUCGCCUAAGUUUGUAAAUAAAAAUUCCUACUGAGUGACGAGCAAGCCUCUCACUCGGGGGCUUAGCUGCAAAUCCGUUUCGCCUAAGUAUUUAAAAAUACUACCGAGUGAUGAGCAAGCCUCUCACUCGGGAGCUUAGCUGCCAUCCAGUACUCGCCUAAGUAUUUAAAAAUCCUACCAAGUGGAGAGCAAACCUCCCACUCGGAGGCUUAGCUGCAGUCCAGUACUCGCCUAAGUAUUUAAAAAUCCUACCGAGUGGAGAGCAAACCUCCCACUCGGGGGCUUAGCUGCAGUCCAGUACUCGCCUAAGUAUUUGAAAAUCCUACCGAGUGGAGAGCAAACCUCCCACUCGGGGGCUUAGCUGCAGUCCAGUACUCGCCUAAGUAUUUGAAAAUUCUACCGAGUGGAGAGCAAACCUCCCACUCGGGGGCUUAGCUGCAGUCCAGUACUCGCCUAAGUAUUUGAAAAUCCUACCGAGUGGAGAGCAAACCUCCCACUCGGGGGCUUAGCUGUAGUCCAGUACUCGCCCAAGUAUUUGAAAAUCCUACCGAGUGGAGAGCAAACCUCCCACUCGGGGGCUUAGCUGCAGUCCAGUACUCGACUAAGUAUUUGAAAAUCCUACCGAGUGGAGAGCAAACCUCCCACUCGGGGGCUUAGCUGCAGUCCAGUACUCGCCUAAGUACUUGAAAAUCCUACCGAGUGGAGAGCAAACCUCCCACUCGGGGGCUUAGCUGUAGUCCGGUACUCGCCUAAGUAUUUGAAAAUCCUACCGAGUGGAGAGCAAACCUCCCACUCGGGGGCUUAGCUGCAGUCCAGUACUCGCCUAAGUAUUUAAAAAUCCUACCGAGUGGAGAGCAAUUCUCCCACUCGGGGGCUUAGUUGCAAUCCAAGUACUCGCCUAAGUAUGAAAUCCAUUCUGAUCCGCAAGGAUGACCUGGUGCAGGUCGACUGCUACCUUCCCCUUCGGAGCUACGCCACAAAUACAACAUGCGCUCUACAAGGACGACGAGGUGCAGGUCGACUGCUACCUUCUCCUUCGGAGCUACGCCACAAAUACAACGUGCGCUCUGCAAGGAUGACGAGGUGCAGGUCGACUGCUGCCUUCUCCUUAAGAGCUACACCACAAAUACAAUGUGCGCUCCAUCCCGAUCCACAAGGACGCAGGUCGACUGCCAUCUGUGCUCCAUCCCUACCUGCAAGAGCGAUGAAGUGCAGGUCGACUGGAUUUUCCACCUCAGAGCCGCGUCUCAAGCACUAAAGUAUAUUCCGAGUGAAGAACAAAGUUCGCUCGAAGGCAAAUGCAAGCAUAUUCAACAAUAAGCCAAGUUCAGAUAACAUCCUACGGAUGCAGAAGUGCUCAGGCGUCAAGCCUAUAAAAGUUUAUCGGUUACAAAACCACUCGACAUUCCGAGGCAAAUUUAAGGCGAAGCAUAGAAGUUUUUCUUACUCCUCAGGCGGAGGACUGGAGGGCGCGACAAACUGGUCCAAGUCAAUUCCGUCAGCAAUCCGACUGGCAGCAGCAAUGAAGGUCUCCAUGAAAGAUCGGAAGUCGUGCUUCUUGGUAUUGGCAACUUUGAUGGACGCCAGCUUUUCCUCGCGCGCAUCCUUGCAGUGAACACGGACCAGGGACAGGGCAACGUCAGCGCCGCACCUGGCAGAAGACUUCUUCCAUUCUUGCACUCGACUUGGAACUUCAUUCAGUCGAGCCAUUAGAGACUCAAGGUCAUUUUCAAGCGUCGCUCCUAGCCAGAGUGUCAUGUCGAUUUGCGAUGCCACAACCUUCAGUCGAGCAAGGUAGUAAACCACACCAGCAACACGAGACUCCAGUCGGAGCACGUUCAUAGCAGUUUCAUCCUUCACAGGAGAGUUAAUGGGGUCCAAGCUUGUCUCCACUCGACUGAUCUCCUCCUCAAAGUUUUGGCAGAACUCUAUAAACACAAUUCAAAGAUAAACCAUCAGUUCUAUGAUAAGUCGAUGAUAACAAGUCAGUCGGGUAGGAGAGAUUACCCUCAAGCAUGAUGAAUAACUUCUUGGCGAGCCCCCCCCCCCCAGAUAAGCCUCCAGAUUGUUCCUCUUCCCUACCAGUUCACUAGCCUUGUCACUCAGAGCUAUCUUAUCAUUCUUCAGAUGGCUGACCUCCUUGUUGGCCGCGUCGAGAGCAGCUUUCAGUUUGGCAUUCUCCUCUUCAAGUUUACUGACUGAAGCCAGUUUUUCUUCCGCAAGCUUCGUUUGUCCAAAGCCGCCUUCUGCGCCUCGGCAAGGUCAUGGUCCUUCUUCUUCAGAGCCUCCUUCAUUUUAUCUGCAAAAUGACAAUGAGAUCAGAAUCAGGAAUGGGCAGAAAGAUAAAGACAGUCGUCAAGUUCUCACCAGUCAUACCUUUUGCUUCGUCUUUCGCCUUUUGAAAGUUCUCCUGGACAAGCUUCAAUUCAAGGUCGAGCUGGAUCUGUUUGUUUUCCAAUUUAGUAUAGCGAGUCACAAGCUCGCAAGACUUUUGUGCAGGGUCAGUCGAUGGACAUCAAAGAUAGGUUGCUUCCGACUGACUAAGAGAAAAUUCAUAACAUUUCUAAGACUACAGCCGAAUCAAAAUAUUCAACAGUAGUCUCGGGGACUACGCCCAGUGGGUGCACACAGCGUGCCCCCACUGGUUCUACCAACUUGGUCUGAUCAGUCGACCAAAAGAGACAAAUAGGUUAUGAUCCUAAAACCAUAGCUAACUGCCAACAGUCAGCCAUGGUCUUAUCAUGAUCUACCUAAAAAACACAGGUUCUUCAGACCUUAGUCGACUGCCAGCAGUCGACCAUGGUCUCAGAGACCACACCCAGUGGGUGCACUCAGCGUGCCCCCACUGGUUCCAAGAUUCCAUUUGACAUGGUCCGUCCAGACCGAGUGAGGAAGUUAGAGUGAAGAAAUUCAAAAUACAAAGACUACAGUCGACUGCCAGCAGUCCACCAUAGUCUCGGGGACUACACCUAGUGGGUGCACUCAGCGUGCCCCCACCGAUCCAAGAUUCCAUUUGACAUGGUCCGUCCAGACCGAGUGAAGAAGUUAGAGUGAAGAAAUUCAAAAUACAAAGACUACAGUCGACUGCCAGCAGUCCACCAUAGUCUCGGGGACUACACCCAGUGGGUGCACUCAGCGUGCCCCCACCGAUCCAAAAAUUCAAUCGACACACGCAGUGGGUGUACUGAUACAAAGAUCUUUGGAAAGAAAGUCUUCAGAUAGCAUAUCCUAACAGAACAAGCGGUGACCAACUAACCUGGACGUUGCUCUGAAGGGCUGAGCUAGCAUCAUAGGCCGCUUGGCUGGCUUCCCGGAUCGCCUUCACCUGCUCCAUCACGAUCCCCGCCUGGCGUAUAGCCUCCUUAGCAGCACCCACUUGGUCCUCUAGGACGUGGUUUGUGGCGAAAAGGGAGGGCGGGUCAGCAGUCGACGACGAAGGCCGAACACUCAUCAACGGCAUAGCGAAGGACACGGAAUUCCGAGUGAUAAUGCCACCCUCUUGAACCGAUGUCUCAGGCACUGAUGCAAUAUGAGUAGUCUCGCCAGCCGGCGCCUUUCUAUUCCUCCUCGACCUCAGUGGCGCCUCGUCGUCAUCAUCAGGGAGAUCAAUGACAUGAGGAGGAGCUACAGGAAAAAUCCAAAGUUAAAAACGAAAAUCCCACCGACCAAGAGUGAAACUACAGAAAUCGUACCAAGGUUGGAGGUGACAGCGUCUUCCAUUUCCUGGUCUUCAUUCUUGGCGGAGGUCUCGGAGGUAGCAACACUGCAGAUUUCAGAAACCAGUCGGUUAGUCAACGAGUCGACCAAGAGUCUGUCCAUGCUAAACGAGAAAACACAAGUUCUGCUGUUACCCGGAAAUGGUAGGAAUGGUCAUUCUCAUCUUGGGCAAGGCCUUCAGCAGCUUUGAUGAUGCCGCCCGCGGAUGCUUCGACGCUUUUUCAGUCGACGCCGGAGAAGCCGUCCAAGGGCAUUUUGACGACUGCCCAACAGGCGCAGCCGCUUUGCCACGCUCGCUCGCGGGGUCGUGGGUAAGCUUGGAUCCCAUUUCCAUGCGAGGAGGAUCAACUUCCUCCUCCUCCUCUUCACUGGAGCCGUCGUCAUCCUCUUCCCCCUCACCAUCAGAUUGCCACUCCUGCCCACUUUCACCUCCGCUCGCCUCCUCCUUCCCGGUCUAUUCUUGCGCCCCGUUGGGCAUCGAGUACAUGUCAAUAAUGGUCUAGAAGACAACAAACAAGACAAAAGUCAAUCGAUUGAUUUUAAGCAAAUAGAAUGAAGAAAGCAAGGCCGCAGUCAGAGAUGCAGAAUUGGACCUGAUAUACUUCAUACGAUUGGUCGAGUGAAGGAAUCCUCCUGGCUCCUCGGGGGUUAUCUUUGUUCCCUGUGAUGCUUGACAACCACCCCUCCAACGUAGCCUCGUCGACCUCCUCCGGAUGAAUCCGAGUGGUGUCUUCGAGACCCGAAUACAUCCACAUCGGAUGGUCACGAGCUUGGAGCGGUUGGAUACGUCUCCGGAGGAAGACCUCUAGCAAAUCCAUACCAGUCACCCCAUCGCGGACAAGCUGAACCACUCGACCAACCAACACUUUGACUUGUGCCUUCUCUUCCGGUGUCACUUUCAGAGAAGAAGGUUUUUCUACUCGGUUCAGGGAGAAAGGGGGAAGACCCGUCACCUGUCCUGGGGUCGGCCGGUCUCUGCAGUAGAACCAGGUCGACUGCCACCCGCGGACUGAGUCGGGAAGGGUCAUAGCUGGAAAAGAAAUUUUGCUUCUCAUCUGGAUCCCAAGACCCCCGCACAUCUGAAUCACUUGCGUCUUAUCGUCACUCGACUUGGCUUUCUUAACCGACUGAGAACGACAAGUGAAAAUGUGCUUGAAGAAGCCCCAAUGAGGACAGCAACCCAAGAAAUUCUCGCACAAAGACACGAAGGCGGGAAGAUACACGGUGGAAUUUGGAGUAAAGUGAUGAAGUUGUGCUCUGAAAAAGUUCAAGAAACUCCGGAAAAAAGGAUGAGGGGCAGGGAGAAUCCGCGGUCGACGUGAGUGGCGAUAAGGACACACUCACCCUCGAGAGGCUGUUGAAGGAAAUAUGCCCUAGAGGCAAUAAUAAAGUUAUUAUUUAUUUCCUCAUAUCAUGAUAAAUGUUUAUUAUUCAUGCUAGAAUUGUAUUAACCGGAAACAUGAUACAUGUGUGAAUACAUAGACAAACAUAUAGUCACUAGUAUGCCUCUACUUGACUAGCUCAUUAAUCAAAGAUGGUUAUGUUUCCUAACCAUAGACAUGUGUUGUCAUUUGAUUAAUGGGAUCACAUCAUUAGGAGAAUGAUGUGAUUGACAUGACCCAUUCCGUUAGCCUAGCACUUGAUCGUUUAGUAUAUUGCUAUUGCUUUCUUCAUGACUUAUACAUGUUCCUGUAACUAUGAGAUUAUGCAACUCCCAUUUACUGGAGGAACACUUUGGGUGCUACCAAACGACACAACGUAACUGAGUGAUUAUAAAGGAGUACUACAGGUGUCUCCAAAGGUACAUGUUGGGUUGGCAUAUUUCGAGAUUAGGUUUUGUCACUCCGAUUAUCGGAGAGGUAUCUCUGGGCCCUCUCGGUAAUGCACAUCACUAUAAGCCUAGCAAGAAAUGUAGCUAAUGAGUUAGUUGCGGAAUGAUGCAUUACAUAACGAGUAAAGAGACUUGCCGGUAACGAGAUUGAACUAGGUAUUAGAUACCGACGAUCGAAUCUCGGGCAAGUAACAUGCCGAUGACAAAGGGAACAACGUAUGUUGUUAUGCGGUUUGACCGAUAAAGAUCUUCGUAGAAUAUGUAGGAGCCAAUAUGAGCAUCCAGGUUCCGCUAUUGGUUAUUGACCGAGAAUAGUUCUAGGUCAUGUCUACAUAGUUCUCGAACCCGUAGGGUCCGCACGCUUAACGUUACGAUGACAGUUUUAUUAUGAGUUUAUAUAUUUUGAUGUACUGAAGGUUGUUUGGAGUCCCGGAUGUGAUCCAGGACAUGACGAGGAGUCUCGAAAUGGUCGAGACAUAAAGAUUGAUAUAUUGGAAGCCUAUAUUUGGAUAUCGGAAUCGUUCCGGGAGAAAGCGGGAUUUUUCCGGAGUACCGGGGGGGUUACCGAAACCCCCCGGGGGUUAUUGGGCCUACAUGGGCCAUGAGGGAGAAGAGGAGGGCCAGCCAGGGCAGGCCGCGCGCCCCGUCCCCCCCCUAGUCCGAAUAGGACAAGGAGGGGGGCGGCGCCCCCCUUUCCUCUUUCCCCUCCCCCCUUUCCUUCUCCACCAAGGCAAGAGGGGGGAGUCCUACUCCUGGUGGGAGUAGGACUCCUCCAGGCGCACCCCUUGGGGGCCGGCCGCACCUCCCCCCUCCCACCUUUAUAUACGGGGGCAUGGGGCACCCUAGAACACACAAGUUGAUCUACGUGAUCGUUCCUUAGCCGUGUGUGGUGCCCCCCUCCACCAUAUUCCACCUCGGUCAUAUCGUCGUGGAGUUUAGGCAAAGCCCUGCGCCGGUAGAACAUCAUCAUCGUCACCACGCCGUCGUGCUGACGGAACUCAUCCCCGACACUUUGCUGGAUCGGAGUCCGGGGAUCGUCAUCGAGCUGAACGUGUGCUGAACUCGGAGGUGCCGUACGUUCGGUACUUGGAUCAGUCGGAUUGUGAAGACGUACGACUACAUCAACCGCGUUGUCAUAACGCUUCCGCUUACGGUCUACAAGGGUAUGUGGACAUUACUCUCCCCUCUCGUUGCUAUGCAUCACCAUGAUCUUGCGUGUGCGUAGGAUUUUUUUUUUGAAAUUACUACGUUCCCCAACAGUGGCAUCCGAGCCUGGUUUUAUGCGUAGAUGUCAUAUGCACGAGUAGAACACAAGUGAGUUGUGGGCGAUACAACUCAUACUGCUUACCAGCAUGUCAUACUUUGGCUCAGCGGUAUUGUGAGAUGAAGCGGCCCGGACCGACAUUACGCGUACGCUUACGCGAGACUGGUUUCACCGUUACGAGCACUCGUGCUUAAAGGUGACUGGCGGGUGUCUGUCUCUCUCACCUUAGCUGAACCGAAUGUGGCUACGCCCGGUCCUUGCGAAGGUUAAAACAACAUUAACUUGACGAACUAUCGUUGUGGUUUUUAUGCGUAGGUAAGAACGGUUCUUGCUAAGCCCGUAGCAGCCACGUAAAAUUUGCAACAACAAAGUAGAGGACGUCUAACUUGUUUUUGCAGGGCAUGUUGUGAUGUGAUAUGGUCAAGACGUGAUGCUAUAUUUUAUUGUAUGAGAUGAUCAUGUUUUGUAACCGAAGUUAUCGGCAACUGGCAGGAGCCAUAUGGUUGUCACUUUACUGUAUGAAAUGCAAACGCCCUGUAAUUGCUUUACUUUAUCACUAAGCGGUAGCGAUAGUCGUAUAAGCAAUAGAUGGCGUAACGACAACGAUGCUACGAUGGAGAUCAAGGUGUCGCGCCGGUGACGAUGGUGAUCACAACGGUGCUUCAAAGAUGGAGAUCACAAGCACAAGAUGAUGAUGGCCAUAUCAUAUCACUUAUAUUGAUUGCAUGUGAUGUUUAUCCUUUAUGCAUCUUAUCUUGCUUUGAUUGAUGGUAGCAUUUUAAGAUGAUCUCUCACUAAAUUAUCAAGAAGUGUUCUCCCUGAGUAUGCACCGUUGCGAAAGUUCUUCGUGCUGAGACACCACGUGAUGAUCGGGUGUGAUAGGCUCUACGUUCAAAUACAACGGGUGCAAAACAGUUGCACACGCGGAAUACUCAGGUUAAACUUGACGAGCCUAGCAUAUAACAGAUAUGGCCUCGGAACACGGAGACCGAAAGGUCGAGCGUGAAUCAUAUAGUAGAUAUGAUCAACAUAUUGAUGUUCACUGUUGAAACUACUCCAUCUCACGUGACGAUCGGACAUGGUGUAGUUGAUAUGGAUCACGUAAUCACUUAGAGGAUUAGAGGGAUGUCUAUCUAAGUGGGAGUUCUUAAGUAAUAUGAUUAAUUGAACUUAAAUUUAUCAUGAACUUAGUACCUGAUAGUAUUUUGCUUGUCUAUGUUUGUUGUAGAUAGAUGGCUCGUGUUUUUGUUCCGUUGAAUUUUAAUGCGUUCCUUGAGAAAGCAAAAGUUGAAAGAUGAUGGCAGCAAUUACACGGACUGGGUCCGUAACCUGAGGAUUAUCCUCAUUGCUGCAUACAAGAAUUACGUCGUAGAAGCACCGCUGGGUGCCAGGCCUGCUGCUGAUGUAACUGACGACGUUAAGAACGUGUGGCAGAGCAAAGCUGAUGACUACUCGAUAGUUCAGUGUGCCAUGCUUUACGGCUUAGAACCGGGUCUUCAACGACGUUUUGAACGUCAUGGAGCAUAUGAGAUGUUCCAGGAGUUGAAAUUAAUAUUUCAAGCAAAUGCCCGGAUUGAGAGAUAUGAAGUCUCCAAUAAGUUCUAUAGCUGCAAGAUGGAGGAGAAUAGUUCUGUCAGUGAACACAUACUCAAAAUGUCUGGGUAUAAUAAUCACUUGAUUCAAUGGGAGUUAAUCUUCCUGAUGAUAGUGUCAUUGACAGAAUUCUUCAAUCACUGCCACCAAGCUACAAGAGCUUCGUGAUGAACUAUAAUAUGCAAGGGAUGGAGAAGACUAUUCCCGAGCUCUUCGCAAUGCUAAAAGCUGCGGAGGUAGAAAUCAAGAAGGAGCAUUAAGUGUUGAUGGUUAACAAGACCACCAGUUUCAAGAAAAAGGGCAAAGGGAAGAAGAAGGGGAACUUCAAGAAGAACAGCAAAAAAGUUGCUGCUCAAGAGAAGAAACCCAAGUCUGGACCUAAGCCUGAGACUGAGUGCUUCUACUGCAAGCAGACUUGACACUGGAAGCGAAACUGCCCCAAGUAUUUGGCGGAUAAGAAGGAUGGCAAAGUGAACAAAGGUAUAUGUGAUAUACAUGUUAUUGAUGUGUACCUUACUAAUGCUUGCAGUAGUACCUGGGUAUUUGAUACUGGUUCUGUUGCUAAUAUUUGCAACUCGAAACAGGGACUACGGAUUAAGCGAAGAUUGGCUAAGGAUGAGGUGACGAUGCGCGUGGGAAAUGGUUCCAAAGUCGAUGUGAUCGCGGUCGGCACACUACCUCUACAUCUACCAUCGGGAUUAGUUUUAGACCUAAAUAAUUGUUAUUUGGUGCCAGCGUUGAGCAUGAACAUUAUAUCUGGAUCUUGUUUGAUGCGAGAUGGUUAUUCAUUUAAGUCAGAGAAUAAUGGUUGUUCUAUUUAUAUGAGUAAUAUCUUUUAUGGUCAUGCACCCUUGAAGAGUGGUCUAUUUUUAUUGAAUCUCGAUAGUAGUGAUACACAUAUUCAUAGUGUUGAAACCAAAAGAUGCAGAGUUGAUAAUGAUAGUACAACUUAUUUGUGGCACUGCUGUUUAGGUCAUAUCGGUGUAAAGAGCAUGAAGAAACUCCAUACUGAUGGGCUUCUGGAAUCACUUGAUUAUGAAUCACUUGGUACUUGCGAACCGUGCCUCAUGGGCAAGAUGACCAAAACGCCAUUCUCCGGAACUAUGGAGCGAGCAACUGAUGUUGGAAAUCAUACAUAUUGAUGUUUGUGCUCCAAUGAAUGUUGAGGCUCGUGGCGGGUAUCGUUAUUUUCUCACAUUCACAGAUGAUUUGAGCAGAUAUGGGUAUAUCUACUUAAUGAAACACAAGUCUGAAACAUUUGAAAAGUUCAAAGAAUUUCAGAGUGAAGUGGAAAAUCAUCGUAACAAGAAAAUAAAAAUUUCUACGAUCUGAUCGUGGAGGAGAAUAUUUGAGUUACAAGUUUGGUUUACAUUUGAAACAAUGCGGAAUAGUUUCGCAACUCACGCCACCCGGAACACCACAACGAAAUGGUGUGUCCGAACGUCGUAAUCAUACUUUACUAGAUAUGAUGUGAUCUAUGAUGUCUCUUACUGAUUUACCACUAUCAUUUUGGGGUUAUGCUUUAGAGACGGCCACAUUCACGUUAAAUAGGGCACCAUCAAAAUCCGUUGAGACGACGCCUCAUGAACUGUGGUUCGGCAAGAAACCAAAGUUGUCGUUUCUUAAAGUUUGGGGCUGCGAUGCUUAUGUGAAGAAACUUCAACUAGAUAAGCUCGAACCCAAAUCGGAGAAAUGUGUCUUCAUAGGAUACCCAAAAGAGACUGUUGGGUAUACCUUCUAUCACAGAUCUGAAGGCAAGAUUUUCAUUGCAAAAUUCGGAUCCUUUCUAGGGAAGGAGUUUCUCUCGAAAGAAGUGAGUGGGAGGAAAGUACAACUUGAUGAGGUAACUGUACCUGCUCCCUUAUUGGAAAGUAGUUCAUCACAAGAACCGGUUCUUGUGACAACUACACCAAUCAGUGAGGAAGCUAAUGAUAUUGAUCAUGAAACUUCUGAUCAAGUUUCUACUGAACCUCGUAGGUCUACCAGAAUAAGAUCCGCACCAGAGUGGUACGGUAAUCCUAUUCUGGAAGUCAUGUUACUUGACCAUGAUGAACCUACGAACUAUGAGAAAGCGAUGAUGAGCCCAGAUUCCGCAAAAUGGCUAGAGGCCAUGAAAUCUGAGAUGGGAUCCAUGUAUGAGAACAAAGUAUGGACUUUGGUUGACUUGCCCAAUGAUCGGCAAGCCAUUGAGAAUAAAUGGAUUUUUAAGUAGAAGACUGACGCUGAUGGUAAUGUAACUGUCUAUAAAGAUCGACUUGUUGCAAAAGGUUUUUGACAAGUUCAAGGGGUUGACUACGAUGAGACUUUCUCACCCGUAGCGAUGCUUAAGUCUGUCCGAAUCAUGUUAGCAAUUGCUGCAUUUUAUGAUUAUGAAAUUUGGCAAAUGGAUGUCAAAACUGCAUUCUUGAAUGGAUUUCUGGAAGAAGAGUUGUAUAUGAUGCAGCCAGAAGGUUUUGUUGAUCCAAAAGGUGCUAACAAAGUGUGCAAGCUCCAACGAUCCAUUUAUGGACUAGUGCAAGCAUCUCGGAGUUGGAAUAAACGCUUUGAUAGUGUGAUCAAAGCAUAUGGUUUUAUACAGACUUUUGGAGAAGCCUGUAUUUACAAGAAAGUGAGUGGGAGCUCUGUAGCAUUUCUGAUAUUAUAUGUAGAUGACAUAUUAUUAAUUGGAAAUGAUAUAGAAUUUCUGGAUAGCAUAAAGGGAUACUUGAAUAAAAGUUUUUCUAUGAAAGACCUCGGUGAAGCUGCUUAUAUAUUGGGCAUCAAGAUUUAUAGAGAUAGAUCAAGACGCUUAAUUGGACUUUCACAAAGCACAUACCUUGAUAAAGUUUUGAAAAAGUUCAAAAUGGAUCAGGCAAAGAAAGGGUUCUUGCCCGUACUACAAGGUGUGAAGUUGAGUCAAACUCAAUGCCCAACCACAGCAGAAGAUAGAGAGAAAAUGAAAGAUGUUCCCUAUGCUUCAGCCAUAGGCUCUAUCAUGUAUGCAAUGCUGUGUACCAGACCUGACGUGUGCUUAGCAAUAAGCUUGGCAGGAAGGUACCAAAGUAAUCUAGGAGUGGAUCACUGGACAAUGGUCAAGAACAUCCUGAAAUACCUAAAAAGGACUAAGGAUAUGUUUCUCGUAUAUGGAGGUGACAAAGAGCUAGUCGUAAAUGGUUACGUUGAUGCAAGCUUUGACACUGAUCCGGACGAUUGUAAAUCGCAAACCGGAUACGUGUUUUUAUUAAACGGUGGAGCUGUAAGUUGGUGCAGUUCUAAACAAAGCGUCGUGGCGGGAUCUACAUGUGAAGCGGAGUACAUAGCUGCUUCGGAAGCAGCAAAUGAAGGAGUCUGGAUAAAGGAGUUCAUUUCCGAUCUAGGUGUCAUACCUAGUGCAUCGGGACCAAUGAAGAUCUUCUGUGACAAUACUGGUGCAAUUGCCUUGGCAAAGGAAUCCAGAUUUCACAAGAGGACCAAGCACAUCAAGAGACGCUUCAAUUCCAUCCGGGAGCAAGUCCAGGUGGGAGACAUAGAGAUUUGCAAGAUACAUACGGAUCUGAAUGUUGCAGACCCAUUGACUAAGCCUCUUCCACGAGCAAAACAUGAUCAGCACCAAGACUCCAUGGGUGUUAGAAUCAUUACUGUGUAAUCUAGAUUAUUGACUCUAGUGCAAGUGGGAGACUGAAGGAAAUAUGCCCUAGAGGCAAUAAUAAAGUUAUUAUUUAUUUCCUCAUAUCAUGAUAAAUGUUUAUUAUUCAUGCUAGAAUUGUAUUAACCAGAAACAUGAUACAUGUGUGAAUACAUAGACAAACAUAUAGUCACUAGUAUGCCUCUACUUGACUAGCUCAUUAAUCAAAGAUGGUUAUGUUUCCUAACCAUAGACAUGUGUUGUCAUUUGAUUAACGGGAUCACAUCAUUAGGAGAAUGAUGUGAUUGACAUGACCCAUUCCGUUAGCCUAGCACUUGAUCGUUUAGUAUAUUGCUAUUGCUUUCUUCAUGACUUAUACAUGUUCCUGUAACUAUGAGAUUAUGCAACUCCCAUUUACCGGAGGAACACUUUGGGUGCUACCAAAUGUCACAACGUAAUUGAGUGAUUAUAAAGGAGUACUACAGGUGUCUCCAAAGGUACAUGUUGGGUUGGCGUAUUUCGAGAUUAGGUUUUGUCACUCCGAUUGUCGGGAGAGGUAUCUCUGGGCCCUCUCGAUAAUGCACAUCACUAUAAGCCUUGCAAGCAAUGUAGCUAAUGAGUUAGUUACGGAAUGAUGCAUUACGUAAUGAGUAAAGAGACUUGCCGGUAACGAGAUUGAACUAGGUACUAGAUACCGACGAUCGAAUCUCGGGCAAGUAACAUGCCGAUGACAAAGGGAACAACAUAUGUUGUUAUGCGGUUUGACCGAUAAAGAUCUUCGUAGAAUAUGUAGGAGCCAAUAUGAGCAUCCAGGUUCCGCUAUUGGUUAUUGACCGAGAAUAGUUCUAGGACAUGUCUAGAUAGUUCUCGAACCUGUAGGGUCCGCACGCUUAACGUUACGAUGACAGUUUUAUUAUGAAUUUAUAAAUGUUGAUGUACCGAAGGUUGUUCGGAGUCCCGGAUGUGAUCCAGGACAUGACGAGGAGUCUCCAAAUGGUCGAGACAUAAAGAUUGAUAUACUGGAAGCCUAUAUUUGGAUAUCGGAAUCGUUCCGGGAGAAACCGGGAUUUACCGGGGGGUUACCGGAACCCCCCCCCCCCCGGGGGUUAUUGGGCCUACAUGGGCCAUGAGGGAGAAGAGGAGGGCCGGCCAGGGCAGGCCGCGCGCCCCCUCCACCCCUAGUCCGUAUAGGACAAGGAGGGGGGGCGGCGCCCCCCUUUCCUCUUUCCUCUCCCCCCUUUCCUUCUCCACCAAGGCAAGAGGGGGGAGUCCUGUGCGGUGCCCCCCUCCACCAUAUUCCACCUCGGUCAUAUCGUCGUGGAGUUUAGGCGAAGCCCUGCGCCGGUAGAACAUCAUCAUCGUCACCACGCCGUCGUGCUGACGGAACUCAUCCCUGACACUUUGCUGGAUAGGAGUCCGGGGAUCAUCAUCGAGCUGAACGUGUGCUGAACUCGGAGGUUCCGUACGUUCGGUACUUGGAUCGGUCGGAUCGUGAAGACGUACGACUACAUCAACCGCGUUGUCAUAACGCUUCCGCUUACGGUCUAUGAGGGUACGUGGACAUUACUCUCCCCUCUCGUUGCUAUGCAUCACCAUGAUCUUGCGUGUGCGUAGGGUUUUUUUUUGAAAUUACUACAUUCCCCAAGAGCUGCGGCUCGAUCUCGUUCCCCGGGAGGCGCGCAGAUUCGUGGAGAAUGAGUCCCCCCUCGACUAGGUCAUCAAUGUCUUCCUGACGAAUCGCCGAGGGCAUCCAAUCGCCCUGGAUCUAGCCCCGCGGCAAGGAACACCUCGAGGAAGAUCUGCCCCGGCCAGACUUCUUCGCCUUCACCUGCGCCAUCGCCUUCUUCGCGCGCUCUAGGGCCGCCGUCUUCUCCUUCACCAGCGCUGCAGACGAAGCUCGAACGGACCGACGGCACGGGGACGAGAGCAGAGGUGGCGGAGGAAUUCGAGGAGAAAGAGGAAAAAUGAAGGCGCACUGUUCAAAAGCCCUGGGCCAGCGGCUUAUAUGGAGUUGCUUCUGAGUGACUGACCUGUAGGCCCAGACGAUCCUGUCAAAUCCCGCAACAGUCGCGUGCGCGAUACGUGGCGAAAAAGGUGGCGCGGAGAUCGAGGCGUCUCUGCCCUAUCCCGUCCGAUUACUGCGGCCUCCUCCGCCCCGCGCGCUUCCCAAAAUUUGAAUCCCGCAAAAUCCGCGAGCAGCAGAACAACUUGUCAGACGGAGAAUAUCCUCCACACCAUCACUCGGAGCUUUUCAAGUAAAGAAAUUCACUCGACUGAAACCAAGAAUGGAUCAAGGCGACUAAAAAAGAAGUUGGUGUCGUUACUUAAGUUCAUGGAUCCAGAACAAGAUACACUCAAAGCACGAAAAAUGGGUCGGAAGAGUUCUCAACUCCUUCCCCACUCAAACCUCGAUCCAUUUGGGGGCUAAUGAUGAAGCUAUGUACCUAGGGUAGGGUCAUGGACCUAUCCAAACUACCCUCCCAAAGGACAUCUCUAGAAGAAACCACCUUUCAAUCGACUCAGAAGUGUUCCACUUGACGGACUGGAAGACACUCGACCAUGAAGCCAACCACUCGACAUCUAGGAGAUCUAAAGUCACUCUGCACACGAUUGGCCGGUUAUUAAGUAGCCUUUAUGGUCAUCAUAGCACUUUAUUUGUGGCGUUACCAGUAACUCCCGAUCUUAAUGUACCUUAAACCCUACAUAACUGAGGGCCGGAGGGGUCUGGCGAACUCUAUAUAAGCCACCCCCUCCUCAGUGUAAAGCGUUCACACCCCUGUAAUUCAUACACACAUAAUCCAGUCGGCCGCCUCCGGGCUCCGAGACGUAGGGCUGUUACUUCCUCCGAGAAGGGCAUGAACUCGUAAAUCUCCUGCGUAUACAACUACUCCAUAGCUAGGAUCUUGCCUCUCCAUUCCUACCCCCUACACUACUGUCAGACUUAGAACCACGACAUCCACCGUGGCACCCGAAGACACCGUGGUCGCCGAACCCCGUUCCGCCGCCACGCCCCGCACCGGCGGACGCCAUGGUAGCUUCGAUCCGGCAGAAAACAGGCCACAAAAGGCUGCCGGAGCGCGCUCGAUUUCUCGCGGAGUACACGAAAUGCGACGGAGAGGGCUAGAGGAAAUGGGGGGCGGAUACCUUAAAUCGACUUGAAGCCUGCAUAUAUACCAGAUUGGGGGCGGUUUACGGGCCUCCGUAAACUUUUUACGGGCCGGGACUUUUUUCGGGUAUCUGCUCGGGCCUUAUUAUUUGGGUCAUCCCGUAUAACGGCCGGAAUAGCGUAGUUCACCGGCCUUAUGCGGGAUCUGCUAGAGAUGCUCUAGUAAUUAAUAAUAUAGCUUUUGUUUACUGAGGUACGGCAAGCCCUCCAUUUAGGCCAUUUUUUGGACAAAAAAGAGAGAAACGGCGGUAAUAUAUGCACAAAUAACUACAAUUUUCUGUUAAUCCAAAAUAGUAAUGAUGAAAAUAUAAUUUCAUUUUGCCAGACCAUAUUUGUCUUCGUGUAGCCAACAUGUGAUGAUUUUAAGAUACUUAUACCCAUGAUAUCUAGUAGACUAGAUUUGUUGCGCAUGCCAACAUGCAAAUGUUAGUUUAAAAAAAACUAUGAACCCUGUGUAAAUUCAUUGCGUUCCUUUUUACUAGUAUUUGAGAUAAAUUCCAAAUUGUUAGGUGUAUUUUCUUUUGAACUAGUAAAAGCCGCCAAUUAUACUCAUGUAAUCAUUGUUGUGACAUGUGGCAUUUCAACCCAAAAUUAUGCUUAAACCAGUAUACUGCUCAAUAAUAUUGUGCCCAUACUUUCAAUCGGUUUGGCUCAAGGUUAUUGUCCCCGUGACGCUUUUGCUUUGGUGGUCGUCGUUGUGGUAAGUGAGUUUGGGUCGUGUUGUUGUGGGUCGGGCUUCAACUUUCGUAGUGUAAGAGUUUUGGUUCCAUUCCUUGUGAUGUUAGGUCAUUUAGGGUGCUCUGCCUCUACCUAGUAGUGCCUCUGUGAUGUAUCAUCAUUCUUUCUUUAGGAAUUCACGUGCAGCUAGAUCUUCCGCAUGGUUCUGAAAAUAAAAAGGAAAUAAUGGGCCAAUUGUUUUUCGUUAUUAAACGAAAGAAUAUGGCUUCUUUGCCUUUUAAUUACUACUAGUGGGCCAAUUGUUCUGAAUAUGGCUUAAAAUGGGUAAUUUUCCCUUUUAGCAAAGCACACAAAAAGGCAGGGUUAUUUACUUUUUUUUGGAAUGAAAAACUCUUAAAAUUUCUAGCGGUUGACUGGUGUUUGUUAAUAAAAAGAAGAAAGGAGUAUGAAAGAAGGAAGGUGGGAGGGGAAAGCGAAGGAAGCGAGUGAGUGCUGGGUUUCGCAUCCAUGCCUUGCGAUGUCAUGUUGUUUAGAGUUUUUCGGCGAGGCACGCCCUACCGCUAUGAGCACCUCCGAAAAACUGAGUCGGCAGGAAUGUCUCCUCCCACUGAAUGCGCAUCGCCGGAAAUCCUAAAAUAAAUCCAGGAAUAAAUGCGAGCACCAGGAUUUGAACUCUGGUGGGCUGGGGAUACCACAGUCCCUCUAACCAUCCAACCACAAGUUGAUUCGCGAGUGAAAAAAGUCUUGAUUAUAUAAGAUUGAUAAUGUCAGCAGUUGACCGGUGUUUGUUUGUUUGUUAAUUAUAUUAGUAUAUAUAAAUAAAAGAAGAAAAAGGAGUAUGAAAGUAGUAAGGUGGAAGGGGAAAGCGAAGGAUGGGUUUAUUCUUCCAUUUGUGUUGUAGAAAGAAGUCGUCAUUUUCUUCUUGUUCCACUCCCGUUGCCUUUGCCUCCUUCUUGUUUCUUUCUUGUCUAUCAUCAUCAGCAUCCAUCCAUCCACCAAAAUAAAUAAAUAUUCCACCUUUUUGUUUCCAGAUUACCAGAUGAUGAGUUGAUUCAUUCUCACUAUCCACUCCAAAAUCUACUCGAGCUUCGGUUUUAGCCUGGUUUUCCAUCAAUUAACCGGGCAAUUCUCACUUCUUCUUAAUCAAUGAAAAUGGCAAGUCUUUUGCCUCGUUUCAAAAAAAAAUCAACUCGAGCUCACCACAUCCAUCCACCAAAAAGGCAGGGUUACUUACUUUUAUGGAAUGGAAAAACUCUUAAAAAUUCCAGCAAUUGACUGGUGUUUGUUAAUCAAAAGAAGAAAGGAGUAUGGCGAUUCCGCAUAUGACAAAAAUUUAAACAAAGUACUUCGCGCUAGAAACAUCUCGCCAGAGUUCAUCAACCCAACAUACCAUAGUUCACCACGCAUAGCAUAGGAGAGUUUUUACAAACCAUAAUAAUUAUACAUAGCAUAGGGGCACCGAAACAUAGCAUAGGAGAUCUACUAGUCGCCGGAGGGUGUGGGCAGGGGUCUACUUCACCGGGGUUCUACUCGUCGGAGUCAGAAUCGUCGCCCUCGUCAUUGUCGUCGCUGGAGAUGACCUCGGCGGGCAGCGGCUUCCCUCCAUGAAUGGUGUCGUAGAUGAGGUCGCAGUAGAUCCGGGUUUGGAGUUGGUACUCAUCCCAGAGCGUCAGCAGCCGCACAGCCGCAACCGCAUCUUCGGCAUCGGCGGCGGUCCUCUCCUCAAACCACGCCCACUCGGCCUCCCACUGGCACUGGAUCGCCGAGUCGAAGAGCCGGCCGCAGCACCGGAAGGUCUUCCACGCACGCGACCUCGAUCCAGCACUGAGGGACUUGGCGCCACGCGUGCACGCCACCUCCCGUUGCUUCUUCGACACCGGAGAGCGGAGGCCAGAGCCGCCGGCCUCGUUGUCGUUCUGGCGCUUGCGGGCGAAGAAGCCGCCGCGCACAUCGACUCCACAGCGACACCUGAAGCCACCGUGAUUGCCGAACCCCCUUCCGCCGCCACGCCCCGCACCGGCGGAUGCCAUGGUAGCUUCGAUCCGGCGGAAACAGGCUGCAAUAGGCCGUCGGAGCGCGCUCGAUUUCUGGCCGGAGUACACGAAAUGCGGCGGAGAGGGCUAGAGGAAAUGGAGGGCGGGUACCCUAAAUCGGCCGGAAGCCGGCAUAUAUACCGGAUGGGGGGGCUUUUCAUGGGCCGGGACUUUUUUUGGAUAUCUGCUCGGGCCGAUUAUUUGGGUCAUCCCGUAUAACGGGCGGAAAAGCCUAGUUCACCGGCCUUAUGCGGGAUUUGCUAGAGAUGCUCUAAUAACUUUUUUUUGCGAAUAAGAGAUGCUCUAAUAACUUAUACUAUAGCUUUUGUUUAUUGAGCUACUGCCAGCCCUCCAUUUAGGCUAUUUUUUUGACAGAAAAAGGAGAGAAACGGCGGUAAUAUAUGCACAUAUAACUACAAUUUUCUGUUAAUCCAAAAUAGUAAUGAUGAAAAUAUAAUUUCAUUUUGCCAGACCAUAUUUGUCUUCGUGUAGCUUAUAUGUGAUGAUUUUAAGAUACUUACACCCAUGAUAUCUAGUAGACUAGAUUUGUUGCGCAUACCAACAUGCAAAUGUUAGUUUAAAAAAACUAUGAGCCCUGAGUAAGUUCCUUCUUUUACUAGUAUUUGAGAUAAAUUCCAAAUUGUUAUGUGUAUUUCCUUUUACACUAGCAAAAGCCGGCAAUUAUACUUAUGUAAUCAUUGUUGUGACAUGUGGCAUGUCAACCCAAAAUUAUGCUCAAACCAAUAUAUUGCUCACCAUACAUACAUAAUUUAUACAAUACAAAUAGCUUUUGUCGCGGGUUAACCGAGGCUUUUGCUCAUGGCUGUUCAACUUUUGUUGCUCAAUAAUGUUGUACCUAUACUUUCAAUUGGUUUGGCUCAAGGUUAUUGUCCCCGUGAGGCUUUUACUUCAGUGGUCGUUGUUGUGGUAAGCGAGUUUGGGUCGCGCUGUUGUGGGCCGGGCUUCAACUUUCGUAGUGUAAGAGUUUCGGUUCCAUUCCUUGUGAUGUUAGGUCAUUUAGGGUGCUAUGUCUAGUCGAACCUCUAUGGCGUUGUAUGGGUCAUGCCUUUGUGGUGUUGUAGCAUAAUUCUUUCUUAAGGAAUUCAGGUGCAGCUAGAUCUUCCGCAUGGUUCUGAAAAUAAAAAGGAAAUAUGGGCCAAUUGUUUUUUCAGUGUUAAACGAAAGAAUAUGGCUUCUUUGCCUUUUAACUACUACUAGUGGGCCGAUUGUUCUGAAUAUGGCUUCUUUUCCUUGAACUCCAAAAAAAUGGGUAAUUUUCCCUUUUAGCAAAGCACACAAAAAGGCAGGGUUACUUACCCUUUUUUUUGAAUGAAAAAAACUUAAAAAUCCCAGCGGUUGACCGGUGUUUGUUAAUAAAAAGAAGAAAGGAGUAUGAAAGCAGGAAGGUGGGAGGGGAAAGCGAAGGAAGCGAGUGAUCGGUUUAUUCCUGUAGUUCCCUUCUCUACACACUCAUGCAAGUGGUUUAUUCUUGCGGUGUCCCCCUCACGCUUGUGCUUCGGCCGAUGUUGUUGUCAUAGUUGUCAUGGUGGUCGAGUUUGGGUUGCGUUUGUCACAGUAGCCAUAUUUUUUGUUGUUAACCGAAAUAAUAUGGCUCGUUUGCCUUUUAAUUGCUAGCAAAGCACACAUAGAAAGGCAUGAUUGAUUAUUUGGAUUGAGCAGGCUGGUUGUUUUUUUGUCUUGAACCCCAGAAAAUGGCCCUUGUAGCAAAGCAGAAGAAAAGACAGGGUUACUUACUUUAUUUGGAAAUGGAAAGCUCUUAAAAAUCCCAGUAGUUGACUGGUGUUUGUUAAUCAGAAGAAGAUAGGAAGAAAGGAGUAUGGAGCCGGGAAGCUGGGUGGGGAAAGCGAAGGGAGCGGUUUAUUCUUGUAGUUCCCUUUCCCACAUGCUCAUGCAAGCGGUUUAUCCUUGUAGUGUCCCCGCGAUGCUUGUGCUUCGGUCGAUGUUGUCGUCAUGGUAGUCAAGUUUGGAUUGCGUUUGUUGCGGACUGGGUGCUGGGUUUCGCAUCCAUGCCUUGCGAUGUCAUGCCGUUUAGAGUUAAAAAUUUACAAGUGAUUCGAGAAAAAGUAUAGAAGAAGAAAAAGGAGUAUGAAAACAGUAAGGUGGAAGGGAAAAGCGAAGGGAGAUACCACCAUUGGGUUAUUCUCACAUUUCUUGACCGCUCAUUUUCCUCUUCUUGUUAUGCUUCCACUUGCCUUGCCUACACGCACGCUCCUUCUCCUUCGUUCUUUCUUUCUUGUGCCGACACAGAGUAUUUAACAAAAAACUACCACAUUUAGUGGAACCGUGCCUACAAACUAUCACUUUACAAAUUUGUGUCGAAAACUAUCACUUUUUGUCUAAUCUUGGUCUAAAAACUACCAUGUCAGGAAAGUGCCCGAUUCGCCUCUUCUAAACACCUUUCUGACAGGAUGGGCCCACCUGUCAGCAUCAAUCUUCUUCCUCCUCUCUCUCUCUGGCAUUUCCUCGAACACCACACGUGCAAUGUUAUGUUGUGUUGUUUGUGGUCUGGUCUUGUGCCUGUGCAUUACGGGUCAGUCAAAGAAGAGAGAAGCAUGCAAUGGUGGAUGUCUGUUGUUGCAGUGGUUGCAUUGUUGUGCUGUCCUGCUGUCCUGCUAGCUGGUAAUAAUUGUAAUGUGUUGUGCUUGUGAUUGGGCCACCCACAUCAUCCCCAUCAUCUUGAUUUAUCUUGUUGGAUGUGGAUAAUGUAAAGUGACAACAAGAUGACCCAUAAUGCCGCGGUGGGCGGUACCACGGUGUUUUGUGCAAUACACCAAAAAAAAAC